GGAAGGUGGUCUAAUUCAGUGCUUAGCACUCAGCUUGCUCAGGGCUUGGAAAGAGACCCUUCGAUAGUGAGGCAGCUCUUACAGAGGAAUCCAAAGGGGAUUCUAGACAAUAAAGCGGUUGCAAACUCCCUUCAGGAAGAGUAGGGAGGUACCGAAGAGACAAAGACAACUAUGUAAGGCUUAGACAAAGCUACUACCGAGACUCCUUUCUUUGGAAAGCUCUCUCUUCAACAAGCACUCUUGCAAAGAGAAUCAGGGCGGGCUAGCUCUCUCUCUUCAAGCACUCUUGCCUAAUCAGGGCUAGCUCUCUCUCUCUUUCAAUAAGAACUAUAAUCGAAUCACUCUUACCAUUCAAGCACGACUUAUAGCUAUCUAUCCCGACUACUUGUGCUAUGGACUAUCCCGACUACUUGUGCUAUGGAAAGUUCUAAAACUACUAAACGAAAGGAAGGCAAACAGCUUAUGACCAGGAAAAGUACUACAACAACUAUGCCAGCUAUGAAAGUGAGAUCUAUCAUGAACAAGACAAUUCCACUAGAAAAGCGAGAGACAGACCUGCUGUUAAAGUAAGACAAUCAAGAGCUAUAUAGCUAGAAAAUGAUAGACUUGUAAAGUGUGAGACAGAUGACCUGCUCUCUUUAUUGGCGAGAAGAUAAUAAGUCGAAAGGACAAAAAACGAAGCCCUAACCUAAUAAGAAGGAAGAACUACUUCUGGAAGGGUAAGAAACUCCACGGACCUAAAAAAGAGAAAAGAAAGCAAAGAAGAGACCAACUUCUGAGAUACCCGCUAGCUUAGGUCUCAGUGAGCAACGAGCUUCUUCAAUAGCUAGCCUAGCCUUCACCGCUACUUCUUUAUUAUAGUUGUUUAUUAUCAUAUAUUACAGAACGAUUCCUUUAGCCCUACCCUAGCUCCAAAAGACUAGCUACACUCUUUCCAUUCCUUUUCUAAGAGACACUUGAUUUGAUACUAUACUUGCAGAGACACUUUCUUUUAUACUAUACUUGCUAAAGGAAAGGAAAGGCGAAGUAUCAACUUAUCUAACACAAGCACAAGUGCCUAUGCCUCUCUGUCCUAAAGUAGUAUAGGGUUCCCGAUAUUCUAGAGUAACAUGCUUUUGACCCAAUGUUAGAAUAUUGCACACUUAUAUGAAAUUCUUUAGUGGAGUCGAGUCUCAGAUAUACAUACAUACAUUCUGAAUUCUUAAGUCGAGUCUCAGAUAUACAUACAUUCUUAAGUAUAGCCGAGUCUCAGAUAGACAUAUUUGUUAUACGCCGCUCUUCUCUAUCCGUAUUCUUAUCUAUCAUAUUCUACUUAUAUAUCUUUUAUUACUUUACAGAACAGAGCACAGGCCUAACUCAGCCUUGUGUUUCAUCCGUGCUCAAGCAGUCUCCUCGUUUCGUAUCAAGAAGGGAGUGGAGCUGAUCUAGCGUUAGCGAGCUACUUUCCCGGGGUUCAAUUGAUUGAUACCUUACUUUAGACUUUCUACUCAACUUGCAUUAAUAACUAAGCUAAGUCGGCGGAGUUGGGCCUAAGUGAAGUCAACCAUUCAUUUCAUAUUCCAUCUAUAUAGCAUAUGAGAUAUCUAUAUCAUAGUAAAGUCUAACCUCACUCUAAGAUCAUUGUCUUUACUUCAAUCUAUACCCCAUACAUCAUGUGCAAGAAAGAGAACAAGCAAGUCCAACAAGUAACUGAGCAAGCAAUCCAACAAGCUAAUCUAGAUUUGUAGGUUCAGAGCAAGUCCAACUAGCAAUGGAAGAAACAACGGGUAGAUCACCAUCCGCGGGAUCUUCUGCUGCUAUUGGGUAAUCUUCAAGCCUUUGUUUGUGCUUCUGUUAUUGGCUUUCCCUUAUUGAGUAGUGGUCCAACUGAACUAAUUAACACAGACCUAUGAGCUGGAACAACAACUUGCGGACUUUUUCCCUUGCUUAUUUUAGCACAACGGGGAACUAUACAAUAAUAAUGCUAGUUUGCUCGUAGAACUCAACAAUACACUUUGACUUCUCUUCUUGAACUCACAAACCUCAAGGACUAGAUUGAGAAUUAGUAUAUCAGUCUUAAGUAGCCAGAUAGAGAAUUAGUAUAUAAGACAGUAAGUAAGAAAGACAGUAAGUAGAUCUAAUAAAGUGACAACAUUGCGUACUUAUCAAGCAGCAACAACAGUGUUACCAGUGAACAAACAAUCUGAAUGACGAAAAUCUUUUCCUGAACGUGUUAACUCCAAUAACUUGAAGAACUGUUUCCCUUACUUCCGGACUCCUUAAGAACUGCUUCCUUCGUAACUCCCACCUUGAGCCUGGUAUGAGAGCUAGAAUUGAGUGCACCUAGGAACUGGUCACUGUAAUACGGCUUAAAUGCAUUUAAACACCCGAUAGGGUAGCUUGAUGAUGGAUGUUGUUUGUUUAUAUUCGAGUCGUUUCCCGUAGGUGAAAGACCAGAAAGAUGCCUUUUUCAAACGAUGAAGUCUAAAGUGAGAGAGAAAUAAGAUCCGUUUGAUAAGAAGCCGAAGAUCAUAUCCUUUCGAAUGCUUAGCUAAGCUUAGCCCACUGAGCCUGCGUUAAAGUGUUUCUUCGGGGUGUCUCUCUUGCUAUUGACAAGGUGCUUCAAGCCUUUCUAGCAAUAGAGUCCGGAAAGCUUCAAGUAAGGGCGGAGGUUGGCGCGUAAAGAAUAGAUGUUGUCUCAAGUAAGAGGUAAGGAGCUGAAUUGCCAGUUCCAGAAGAAAGAAGAAGGAGCGGGAAGGGAAGUCGACUCGAAUUGCAAGUUCGAAAGUCCGCAGAGGAAGCAUGUGCCUACGGAACAAGCAAAUCACUUCUGGUUUUUGGGUGCUAACAUUUAAUGAGUUCCAACAAGCUAUGUUCCUAAGCGCGUUGUUGAGUUGAGUUCAAUGUUUAAGACGGAUAUUAUUCUUUUCUUAAAGCAAGAGCGAUUCGGUGCCUUAGCCGACAUCAAUCUUCUAUUCUAUUCUAUGGGUGAGUUAAGUAUUGAGUAAGGAGUCAGGGAGCAGUAAGCAAUGCGGAGUUACUCUCUUAUGGGAGCAGUAAGCAAUGCGGAGUUAUUCUCUUAUAUAAUAUGCGGAUCAUGUGAAACAAGCUAGGGCGCUAAGUCAAGUGAAAAAGGUAUUUUGUAAAGCCCACUAAGGAAGGGUAGUAAACGUCGUCCAGCUGCCUAUGUACUGCAAGAAAGCGUGCCUUUUCUUUGUUGACCGGCGGAAGCGGUAAGUCAAGAAGUGUCCGGGUGCUAGGAAAUUCGAUAUUCUUUUCUUUUGAGGCUAAAGGGAAAGAAGACUGUGCUGGUUUCCUAGGCGCAAGUGAAAUAAAUGCAUUCUUUUUCUUUGUUUUACUCGGUGCAAGAGAGAUUAGCAAGAGAUGAUGACUUCUUUUCUUUGUCAGUUCAAUUUCCAUUAAUUUGUUUGUCGGCGCUACAAGUAAGGUGGAGUUUUCGUCUUAAAGUAGAGCAAGGAGUCAGCUGUAAGGUAGAGCCAGAGAAAAAGUAAGCUCUUUGUUUGAGAAUCUUUCUACCCUUACGAGUCAUCAAUAGAGUCAGCUGUAAGCCGUAAGCUGUGAGGGGUUCAAACUAGCAGUGAGGUUUUUUAGGUUGUUGCCUUCAUUGUAUACUAUGUCCGUGAAAUGAUGAAAUAUGUCCGUGAAAUGAUUAAAGCAACAGCGAAAGCUGCAAGGGAAUAAAGAUCGUCAGUAGUAGAAGAUAAGAUGAUGCUGUAUCUUGACUCCCAUCUAGCUGUAUCUUGACUCCCAUCUAUACAAAGUACUAGCAAGUCUGGUUUUGUUUUUAGUAGGACAGGAACCUGAUCUUCAGCUGUGCGAAAGGAAUCCAAUAUGGAGUUUUCAAUGAAAGGUAUUGGUUGGUGUCGAGAGUUUGAUUACCGAGUGCUGUCUUCAACUCGAAGGCGGGGCACCCAUACAAUAUCACAGCUUCGUAUUAAUGGAGUAGGAGGUCACUGAGUUACCUAGAAAAGUCAUAAACAGCCUAACACUGAAUUGGCAGUCCACUUAGGUCAAGUCAAGCAAAGGUUCUCGGGGGUGAAUGAAUUUACUAGAUGGUUUCUCUACAUUGGGGGCAGUAAUUCAGAAAUGCUCUAAUGGAUGCCCAUAGUCACCAACAUAUAAAACAUUCUAGACUUACCCUUUCACUAGACUUGUAUACAGUAAAGGCAGUAAUAAGUUUGAUUAAUUAGUUCAGCACCAUAUAGUGUGAAGCUCGGGAAAACAUCUUGGGACGGACUAACUGCUUUGAAGGGAAAGGCUGUCUCAUGAACUGGAUUGCGGGUGGUAAGGGGAGAGCGGGGACUACGUGAAGCAUUUCAUAUAAAUCUCAUUCGAUUCUUGCAUUAGUGGGCCAUACACAACUCUAAGAUUCCCCUAUUCUAUUCCAAUUUGUAGUUAGGAGAAAAGAGACAACCUGCCCCCACUCAUGGGACUUCGAAAGAAGGAAUAAGCCAAAGCAAGAAAGAGACGGGUAGGUAGGGGCUAGCUCCGCCUUACUGCCAGGCUUCCCAUUGAGAAAGUGGCCGACGCCCUUAUUAAUGAAACCCAUAUGAUCCCACCCAUACAUAUAAGUAAGAGAAAGAGAGAAGUUAUUCCCAUACAUAUAAGUAAGAGAAAGAGAUAAGUUAUUGAUUUUGUACAUUUCAUAUUUGUACUGGUACUAAAAUAUAGUGAAUAAUGUGGGCAAGGCAUCCACACUCAUUUUCUAAGAUAAUAGAAGUGUUUACAAUAGAUAUCAUGAAAUUCAAUAAAGUCACAACACUCAAUAAUACGACUACACUUAUACUAGACUAGACUCAACUCAACUUACUUCUGGAGCGGAACCCUAUACUGGAUUCAUUCCCACUUAGACUAGACUCAUUAGUAUUAUAGGACGUUCAUUUCAUAGAAAAUAUGAGAAUAUACUUAUUAGAUAGAAAGAGAAUAGACUUAUUUGUAUUAUGGGACGUUCAUUUCAUAGAAAACAAGAGAACUACGGAUACCCUAAUCCAAUACUGAAUAUAGGCACCGCAACCCCCUAAUCUAUACUACACUCAUUUCCUUCCCGCUUACAAAUAGCAAUAGGUAGUCGAGUACGGUUUCAUUUUGGCUGUAGUGAAUAAGAUAGUAGAUCUAAGCUCUUCCAGUCUAUUAGUGGUAUUUGUCCUAUUAAGCAAUAAGAUGUGUUGUUACUAUAUUCUAUAAUACAAUAAGAUGUGUUGUUACUAUAUUCUAUAAGAAUCCUCUAUUAACCUUUAGCCUCUAAGAACCUUUACCAUUCUGAAUUUCACACAUGGUGGCCGUCAACCUUUGACUUUCCAUUUCUUUUACGAGAGGAGACUUUGUAGCAAGUUGGCUUCCUCUUCCUUAAGUUACGUAUAGGGUGCGGGUGCCGAUAUAUGAAGUCGGAGUUCGGAAUUAAUAAGUAAUACAUCUUCCUAUAAUUCAUGAAAUUGUAACCUAAACACACUUCUUUUCAUAUAAGUUCAUGGGACCACAAAAGAGCAGUGGAAAUCAACCCAUCAUAAAGCAAUGGCUUCUUCAAUAUCUUUCUCAAUCUGUUCAUGAGAGAAAAAGGCCAAGAGAAAUCCGGGCCCGAUAACCUUUGCUUGUACCUUUUCUGUGGAGCACAUUCACAUUUCCUGUGCUCGUCUCGUGGGAUUCCUGCUGUUCCACCGAUUAGACACAUGUCUUAAGCCAUAAAGCAAACACAACAGAAGAAAUAGUCUCUAUAUAUCUUAUUCAUACCAUUUAUCUAGUAAAGGUAAAAGGAUAGGCGGUCAGGAGCGGACUGAUCUAAUACAUCUCUUAUUUGCUCCUCUAGUUAUAACAUUCAUUUGCUUGUUUCCUAUAUUCUAUUUCACAUAGGACAACCAUAUUCUCAUAAAUGCUAGUAGGGUCAAGUUCUCCUGAACAUAUUAAUGUUCUAUUGGGUACCCAUAUGCUAAUAGUGUGAAUAGGGUAAAGUGAUUCCUACCCUAUAUGGAUUUUCUCUCGGGGUUCUCUAUGCCACCAACAGCUUGCUAUGACUUAUUCUAUUUCAAGACGGAAUAACUUGAACUAGGUUUGGUGUGGCUGGCUAUGACCUUCUUGGCCUGAUACUUAAUGGGGAAGAGUUUGCUCUUUCCUUGGGUCAGACUAUCCUAUGCUUUUCUGGAGGGUCUCGCGAAUGGUUCUCGCUCCGAAUACAGAAAAAAUGAGCGAUUGUCUCUCGGUCCAUUAGUUCACUUUUUGAAUAAAGGCAAGAUUCUUUCCCUAAUUGAAGUACUUACUAAGGACUCUGUUCUUUCUUUCCCAUGCAAGCAUUCAUCAUAAUUAGCUUCCAAGUCUGGUACUGAAAUAUCUCCCCAUGGAUGUUGUUGAUGAUGGGCUUUGAUGCGAGGUAUGGUCCAAGUCGAGUUCGGGAAUAAUCUAUUUGGAAUGCCUACUCAGCGGUUAAUGCUUGACCGAGAUACUAAGCAGAUAUAGACAUAGACUAACUGUUUGAACAAGGAAGGCCUAAACCCAACAAGAGCACAGGUGUUUUAGUUGAAGGUUCGGGGAAGUCAAGAGCAUAGCAAGAGGAGUUCGAAAGCAAAACACGAGCAAAGGCGAAGUCAAGAGUGGAGCAAGAGCAAUAGUAGAGUAGAGCUCGGCUGAAAAGGAGGCUAUUGGCGCACUGGCCUAUUAUAUGAAUGCUAUUAUUAUUUGAUCCUUCUAGAUAAGCACUGAGGCGAGCACUUCCGCGUUUUCUUUUGUAUUAUCCAUCUCAUAUAAAGCCUUAUUAGAUCCACGGUGUAGACACCGCGUCUUUCAUUUCAUUUCCUACUUCACUUUUUCCUUCCUUCUUAUGUUUCACUUAUAAUGGAUCUCAUAGGGCGGGUAGACGUUCUCUAAAAGAAAAGGCCCGUGUUCACAUUAGAAGCAGUAUCCCGAAUAAAGGCAUAAGACAUAAGAGUUGUUUCAGCUAUCAACUUCCGAGUUGCAAUGGGCGCAGAUGACCUUAUUUCUCUUUUCUUUUGAGAAUUCAUUAUACGCGAGAUAGGCAGGACUGCGACACCGGCUAUACUUACUCUCACACUUGCCAAGUCUUUACGUCGAGUUUGGAGUAUAAUGGAUUAUUUGUACACUCAGCAUAGAGCACUAAUUGAGAUCGAAGCUAGCAAAUAUUUAGAUCGAAGGAAGCUAGCGAAUAAAGUCAGUGUGUGUUCUCUUAUGUCUAAAAUAAUAUUGAGUAGCGCACCUCAUUUUCUCUUACCAGAUGUAGAGAUAGAUCUCGAAGCCCUUCUUCUUUCUCCCCUUCCAUUGAUCCUUUAUGCGCGAAGAAGGUAGAUUUGACUGACUUUUGCCCACUGUAACCUAGGUAAUUGAGGCUAGCUCUAGUACUUCCCUAUUUCAUUACCGGGCGGGCAAUCUGAAUUGAGUCAAGCAACUAGGGGACAAAAAGCCGUAUCGCAUCAAAAAUCCACUCACUCUAGAAGCAGAGAGACCUUUGAUCACGCAAGAAAGCAAUCAAUUUCGUUCUUUCACCUACCUUUGUUUGUCGACCUUAGAAUGGAGCAAGAGAAGCUACAAUAGGAACCUUUACCGCGGCUUCUGCCCGGGCAACUGUAGCCCAUAAAAUGAUCUAAUCAGGAGAGAAAAGAAGCUCAUAUUGUAUAUUUUGAGUCAUGUUACCGAACAAGCAAGGGAGGAAAUAAACAUAAUUCUGAUUACAGAGGCAGAGUUUAGUUCAGGGAGGCAGGCACAGAGUUCAGGGGGAGAAAAUAUGAUAGAUAGUAUAGAGUACUCUGGCUUUGAAGCGCAAAGUUAAUGAGUUUCAUCGUAAAGUUCCAAAAAGAGAAUAGCUGCGCAGGUCGCUGAACAAGAGUCUGCUCGAAAGCAAGUAUAAAGUGGAGUUCCUGUUUUGAAUUCGAGAGAGGUAUUUUACUAUAAGUCAGGAGAUAGAGGUGAUAGUUUUGCAGUAACUUAAUUAGCUGUUUCAAGGUUGGUUGAGUUCUUGUGUUGAAGGAGAAGUAGGUCAUUGUGAUUGACUUGCUUUCCCUUUGCUUUGCCUGGGUUUCAUUCCAUUCUGACUUGAGAGUUGACGUAUGGGAUAGAAUUAUAAGUCAUAUUCCCCAUUUCUAUACGAUAUAACCACUUUGCAUUCCACUUCUUAUUCGUCCUGUGUUCAUGGCGUCAGCAGCAAUAGUUCUAGUUGCCUGAGUUAGAUUAGCCUGAGUUCAAAUAGCCAUAGUUAGAUGAGCCUCAUUCCGUUAGUCAAGAUAUCUGAUAUUUAGAGUACCUUAUGAUUAGUAGCAGUUGCUUGUCUAGUCGUUACUUGGCUUAGGCGUUCACUAAUGAAGAAACACCUCUUAACAAACCUCUUGAACUUCUUAAGAAACUCUAUCUCUUGACACUAUAUCUCUUGCCUUGCCUUGAAAACGGAAUUCUGCAUUUAGGAACUGCAUGUGCCAUAUAAGAGAGGAAUGUAACCAACUCUCCCUGAUGCCACUGAUGCUGAUACACUUGUUCGUUCUUGCGCCAAAGACAUCUUUUGCUUUUCUACCCUUAACGUAAAGAAGGAAGGAACAACUUAUUUAUAGGCGGGCUCAACACAAUCAUUUACUGAAACGGAAACUCUCACUUAAGAUUCUCUCUCGCUCUCGUCGCCACAAAGAUGGAUUCCGAAAAUAUGGACUUGUUAUUAACAUCGGUGAACAAAGGACUUGACUUUCAAACUAGACUGGAUUUCCCGCUUUCUUUAUACUGGGCCUGGCAAUACUUACUUUACUGGCAUGACUUAACGCUUUCUGUCCCGAACUCAACUAGUCAAGCUCUUCUCUCCCCAUAUAGAAAUAUGUAACUAAGCAUCUUACUAAGUUGCAGGAUAUGUUUUUCACUGGAACUGGAACUAGCCGAGCUACAGCCUAUUUCACUUACAUUUCUCAAAGGGGUUUUCACCGAACAAGACUUGAAGGUUAAUCAAAUUCAUCUUGAUGCUGUAGGAUUGCCCACUUAUAUAUAUAUACUAAAUAUACGAGCUUCUACUAAAUCCACUCUUGAUACUGUUCCUGUUCCUUGAUACCGCACUGCGGAUUCUAUUGUUGAUUAGACAGCGGAUUCUCUCGUAGCUUAUAGACUGCUUGUUUUCUUCUUCUAUCGUAGACUCGUACCGCCUGCAAUUCUUUGAUGCCUCCAUUUGCUAGCUCGACGCUGGUUGCUCUGAUUUGAGAGUUUGCUCCUCUACUCCCUCCCUAUCUUUCUCCGUGUGCAAAUAAUCUAUAUGAGAUAGGAAUUGGCCACCUCUACCGUUAGCCAGCUGAUAUGUAUUUCUAACAAGAACGGAAAUAAAAGAAGCGAAAGAGCCAACCGAAUAUGCAAAGAACAACCGAAAGCCUUGAUCGGGCCUGUCCUCUUCUUGCUCUGGAAUAGGAGGAUGUUUCACUGGAUUCCCUCAUUAAGAUUCAACAACUGCUUUAUACCCGCCCCAGAAAGAGGAAAAACGACUACUUCGUCUCCAAAAACAGGAUGAGUUAGUGCCUCUAUUUCCCUGAUUGUGCCAGCUACGUCCUUCCUUUACUAUAUUUCUCCUUGACUAUCAAUCUACUUUACUACUUUACUAUCAAUCUAUAUUUCUAUAUCUUCUGCAGGCUACGAAUCAUAUCAUUUUGGAAUGCAUCUGAAAGCAGCACUCGUACAAACACCCAUGUUAAAUAAAAGCGAUUGAUUGACGACUACCGAAUGCUUUAAUCAUAAUGUUAUACUGCUGUGAAAUUUCACUAAAUCAAUUUCUUUAAACGAGUCUGAUGGAUUCGCCAACGAACGGCCGGGGCAUACUGCUUCCCUUAACUAGAUUUACAUGAGAAAAGUCAGAAAGAGGAUUGGUUAGAAGAUCAGAGGCUGGCUCUCUCUCCUCAAGGUUUGGCUGCCGCUUUACCUCUCUUCCCCUAAAAAGUAUGAAUAAGAAAGAGAUCGAGAGUCCUCAUUAUUUUCAAUAAAGUAGAUAUUAGAAUAGUUGCCGACUUUUCCCUUUAGCUGUAAACUGUACCACACAGCGAAGCCAUCUGCGCCUCCAGGAAAUGCAUAGGGGUGAUAUAGAAGCCAAACGCUUGUUUUAGUUAGAGAAUUCCAAGAAAGAUGGCUACAGACUGUAUCAACCGCUUACCGAAUCACGCUACCAACUCAAAUGACCGUGUCGUUCUGCUCAAAGAAGAAUUAUUGACAUAAUUGCCCGGUUAGAAGACCCUGAAAUAGACUGGAGCGAGAGGGUUCCUGACAGAGCCCGAGGAAGAUAAGAUGAGAGUAGUAACUGCAAAUAAGGUUUCCAUCGAAGAAGAUAGACAAGAAAUAAUGACUUGGGAAGAUAACCCCUCGGAAGAACCCAAUCCCCCCACAGAUGAUUAAGUUCGACGCGCGGAACAGAAGGCGCCCCUCUGAGAAUCUUCCUAAGUGCCAGCCUAUCAUCAGAGGAAGCUGAACAAUACGCUCCUUAAGUAAAGGAAGACAUUUCCUUCCAUAUUUGUGCGGCUGAGCUGCCUGGGCUAGACCCUUCAAUCGCCGUCCACAGGCUUAAUAUCAAACAGAUGCGUUGCCCAUCAAGCAAGCUUUCAUCUACUCCAAGAUCGGAGAAGAGUCUUGGAGAUAGAGACUUCGAAAGCACUACAUGAGGAUUAAUCCCCUUAAAUGCUUUCUGGGGGUAGUAACUGGAAAGUCAUUGGGUUUGUGAAAGAUGGAAUCACUCUUGUACAUCCAAAGCUUCUUCAAGUCCCAAAGCACGUACAUCCAAAGCUUCUUCAAGUCCCAAAGCACUCAUCUACGGCUCUUAGCACCUUUCUUUCUCUUCAAUGGCCGCGCCCUAUGCCGAUUCCCACUUUCACUCUUUUGCCUCGAGACUUCCUAGGGAAAAAGGUAUACGAUGGAAUUCUUAGACUUACUAGAGUUGUCAGCUGUUCUCAAUGGGCGCCAUUCCGCAGUGGAAUAUGAUAUUUCUAUAGUAGCUCAGUCAUUUGUUAAUUCCUUUCUGGAGUCCAAAAGUAUAGGAAAGACACUCUAGAAAGAGUUGCCGAAACCGGUGCUACACCAAAGCAUGGGCUUUUUCUUUCGAAAUUGAUUUGGAAUUACAUGACUGCUUUUCAUCCUGGGAAUCCGCCUUUCAUCCGUGGCAAAAAGCCAAGAGUAUUCACUGAAAACUCGGAGUAUUCUCACUUACCACCUAAUCUAAUGGAGAGUUGAAACCGCCACCUGUUUUCCAAGCUCUUGCUUUUAGGGCAGAUAGAUGAUAUAGCGACAUAACUGGGUCCCUCCGGAGAGUACGAUGUUUGGCUUGCAGCUCUCCCAUCUCAUUAGGGAAAAAACCCACCACACACGAAUGCUUUCUUUUUCAAAGCAAUUCCCUCCCUUAUCCAUCUUACUCUUUUCACAGGUGGUGCUACUAAAAGCUGGGGAAAUACUAUGUUCUUGCACAAAGGUCAAAGGUGAGUUUCUCAGACGACUUGCCUGUGAGAAAUCGCUAUUCAUUCCAAUAUGGGACACCAACUCUGAAGGAGGGUUGGUUCCUCGGAUGAUUGCUUCUAUCGACUGUCCUUCUCUAUGUUGACUGGGGCAAUGUUCAACCUGACUUUGCUCCGCUAGUGCUACUCCUUCUUUUGGCCUGAUCUCGUUAAUAAAGGAAGGCUCAUGAAUUACCAAUCCCUAGAAAGACAGAAAAAGCAGACUAUUUGAUUAUGCUUCUAUCUGGUCGUACUCGGCCAUUAAGGUCUAACUACUGAACUAUUUGAAUCUUUCUAUCCCCCAUGCAUUGAGAUAGCUGGUUUUCUCCUUUUCUAAGACAGGAAUGGGUGCUCAAUCAAUGGAAUGUUUGCUUUUAUAUCUCUUCCAGUGCUUUUCCAAUCCAAAUAGAAGGUUUAGGUCGAAAUAAGGGAUCAACCUGUAGACAUGCAGAACCUCUCUUCCUACCGCUAGGAUGCUUGGCAGCCCGAUCAUGAUGUAGUCCGAGAUAGAAUAUUUCCAAAAGCAGGGAUAUGUUCUACGAGCUACUUGUUAUCAGUCUUUUUCCAUAUCUUUGUAAGAGAAAGACAAGAGAAACGGAAAAAGCAUGGGUGUUUUAUCGAUGCGAUGGAAUGCUUGCUAGGUAAGAGAAAGACAGGAGAAACUUCAAAAGCAUGGGUGUUUUAUCGAUGGAAUGCGAGCAUAUCUUACUGGACAUCUUGCUUGAAGCUCUUUUCCCAUGUCGAUGUGAGCUCUUUCUUUGCUUUGACUAUGUUCUUUGCCUAUUAAGAAGAUGUAUUGGUGUUGAUUACUUACCAAAUGAUUAGAGGCUUUGUUUGUUCGCUUGCUUGCUGGCACUCCAUACCGACCUUGCUUGGCUCUUUUAGGCAAUUUCGAAUUGAGUCUCGCUAGCUAUGCUCGCUUCUUUCUUUGGUAUGGAUAGCGGCCCUUCACACCAUAUUUCUCUUUUCCCGCCUGCCGCCUUUCAUCGACUCUUCCUUGGUCUAUUCACAUAGAUAUUCAAUCUCAGAAAGCAACUACAAACAACUGACUGUUUGAUAGAUCUUGGUCAAAAGGAUAGGAGAUAGGUGGCUUUAAAGAUCAAAGUCCUCCGUGGGUCUUGCGCCAGAGAAAGUACCUGGAGGCUUUCAGCACCCUUGUUGAGUGUUAGCUUACAUUCUAUACUAUGUCUCGAUAAGAAAUUGAUGUUUGAAUCGAGUUGAGAUCUGAAGCCUUAUAAGUGCAUUUGGAAUCGAGUUGAGAUCUGAAGCCUUAUAAGUAUCUGAAGCGGAAGGAUUAGAAGCUGGGAAGGCAGGGUUUCGUUCUGGUUUUGUCAAUGAGAUCAAUAGCGGGAUCUUAAACUAUAUGAGUAUUUGACUCAGUUUAGUAAGGGGUGAGAGUUUACAUUCUUGCCAGAGGGAGCAGCUUUAUAACAUUAAUAACUUCCACUUAAAGGAAAGAGGUCGGCAAAAGAACCAUCAAUGGAACAAGCAAGGAAACAAGUGAAAAAACAAGCAAGUAAAUAAAUCCGUAAAGAAGCUAGUUCAAAGGCAAGGGAAUCUUCAAGAUCAUAAUUAGUAGGGCGAGCUAGUGUUGUUGACUUGGCUAAAGAGAAGGGGACAGCGCCAGUUCAAUCUCAUUCUAUACUAAUAUAAUAAACAGUGGAUUCUCUUUCCGUUCUACUUUCAUCAUAUCUACUCGAAUAGCCUGAUCGAAAGUGUCAAGUAAUCUGUCUUUCUUUGUUGGCGAUGAAGCGGGAAGGCGGACAAAGGAUUUAGCCCUGUCCUAGCUUUCCAGUACUUAUUUAUUUCCUCUGGUUCCCUUUCUUCUUGUUUCAAAGACGGGUCUGUUCUGAAGUAAACAAAUCAUUCCACUCGAACAAGAACUGGAACUGGAGAAGGAUCGACUCCUAUACUUAUGGCUACAAAGGCAACGGCCAAGCCACCACUUAGGAGUGAUACCCUAAACAACCAGAAAAAGGGGUUUCUUUACCUUUCUACUACUCAGAUAGUAAUUAGUAAUAGAAUUAGUCACUAGCCGCUACUCCAAUACAAAUUAAUAAGAAUAGAGGCCAAGCCAGAGUUCAAAGAACUGAGUUAGAUUAGAUCCAGUCCUGUGUGAACCUUUCUUCGUCACCAGUGUUCGGGUUUUGAAGUGCUAACACUCAUUGGAGUUCCUGAGUUUUGUUUGACUAUCUUCUUUGGAGUUCCAGAGCUAGGUUCAUUUCUUCUUGCGGACUUGUUCCCUUCCACUUCUCUUCCUUGCUUUAAGAAUGGAGUGCACAAAGGAAUAUUGGCAAAGAAAAGAAUAUGCACCUGACUCUCGGUGUUGCGCAUUAGCGAGUGGUGCGAAAGAAGGGAAAGAAGGGUGUUUAGCCAGCUGUAGAAAGGAGAGUUCGAAAGGAAGCUUAAGAUACUGGUGGAUCACCAUCAGCAACAGCAAGGGGGCACGCAAAUACUACAAGUCCUGUGUUCGGGAACUCAAAAGCGGGAAUGUCACUCAUAAGUUUAAGACAAAACACUCCCUCCGCCUAAAAACACUCGAACACUGUUUCACGGGGCUAUAGCUCUCAACCAGGAAAUCCACUAUAGUAACGAUAAGAACGAGAACUACCUAUGAGAAUGGAACUGCUAACUUCGCCUUUAUCUCUUUACUAGAAAGCUGUAUUUCACCAGCUUGCUAACAACCCUUUGCUUUCUUCUUAUUCUUUGGCUAGUGUCAUUUACUUAUAUAUGGAAUAUGAUCUAGCCUAUUUGCUUAUAUUAAGAAUAAGAUCUAGCCCAUAAAAGCAAUAUCGUCGAACUACUGAAAAACUUUGUACUAGCAAACGGAAUAAGCUAACCGAUAUAACAAGGAUGAGGACAGGAAUAAAGAAUACAAGUCAAACUAAUAAGAACGAAACCCAGAUCUUUGCUUUACUGUACCUUGCCUCUCACUAGUGCUUUACAGGCUUUAUCUAAUUCUCAGUGCCUUGCACUUUCGUCUAGCUACCCUGCCCUCUACUCUUCAACAGAUGGUUAUCAUUCCGAAACUCAGGCCUAUAAGCCUGUAUUGACUAUUGAACUCCCUCAUUGAUAUUACUGGAAUUCUUUUAACACCAACUUAGCUCCUUACUUGCAGUCUGGAACCCUCAUCUGUAUUUCACUUAUGAGCCUGCCUUGCCUACCCCAUAAAACAUUAUAACCAUUGCAGCUCUUAGAAAGAAAAAGCUCUUUCUUCUUUGGUUAAUCCGGACAAAUGCUAUCGAAUCAGCUGCUUGAGAAUACCCUCCGGGUGGUUAAGUCUGUUAAGAAGAAUCUAAUCGGUUGCUAGAGGAAGCCAGAAGCAUGGGAAGGAUCUUUAUAGUGAUUUAAGUAAGUAAGCUAGUUUCACCAAUCCUGUUAGUCUCUUUGGAAAAGCCAGUGCAUUUGCUGUGCCAGUGGAAAUUGGAAUGGAUUUUCUUGCUAUAGAGCCAAUAGGUUCCAGGCCCGUCCAUUCUGUCUGUCGUAUAUUGAUUCUACAAGCUACGUCCAGAGUUCACCUGCAGCAAUUCCUUAAACUGACCGGUCCAAAGCUUCUAUUCGAGCUGGAUCUGAUGUCUUUCAAUGACACAGUUCGUUGGAUUCUCGCUAGUUAGUAAAGGCUGUCUUGGAUUUCUCCAAGAGUGCAAAAUGCUUUGACUUCCGCCAGUGCCUAAUCACCGCUGAAACCCUCGUAUCAACAGGCCGCCUGCCACAUUCUAUUUGAUGAGUUACUAUACUAAGUCGAAUCCAAGUCACGUCGCAUCCGAAUAGUGAGAUUGAGCAGGCUCCAGUCGCUAAAGAAAUAGAUUAUUAUCUGGCUCUGUAAGCAAGACCCUUCUGGAAUUCCAUCUUGAUACCCGAUUGAGACGAGUACAUGAUAGUAGGAUCUCUCUUGCUUACAUCAGAACCAUCAUAGCUUAUCCAGGUCUAAAAAAACACCUGAGAAUCCCUCUCCUCUCGUCCUUAAACGCAUCGCUACCUUACUGUGUGAAUGAAUAUUCGAAAAUGUUGAUAUAUUCCUCAACCCCAGGAAAGCUUAGCAUACGAGUAGAACACCCUCUUUCUUGGUGAUGUCGAAGGAUCCGUUGGCGAAUCCGACUUCUGGUUUGCAGCUACCGACACUGACUAAUAGCUUCGCACCUUGCUUAAAUCUAUCUAUUGCUUGAAUCUCUAUUGGUUCCAUCUCUAUUGUUUGAAUCUAUCUAUUGCUUGAAUCUAUCUAUACUUACUCCGUAACAAUGCCGUUAAGCUUCCGGGCCGUAACAAUGCCGUUAAGCUUCUUGGAGUCCCUUCCGGCUCUGCUUUAUGCUGAUAGUAGUCUUUCUUUUUUCUCUUAUUUUGGAUUGAUUUGGAGUUUGUAAUAAAUAAGCCCUCCAUAGAAGUCCCUCACUCGACAUCACUUAGGUAAAUAGCUGACCUUCCUGUCAAGUAAAUAGCUGACCUUCCUGUAAAGUAAGUAUCAUCCCGGGCGAUUGCUAACCACGUCAAAGUUUGAAAAAGCUCCUAUUGAACAAAGUAAAGCUCACCAGACUUAAUACCCACGGGCAUCAAUAUCAAUGCACUUAUCGUACUUUGGAUCCCUUUCAUUCAAAUCGCUGUCAUUCACCACCCUUAGGAACUUGAUGUUUAUACCAUGCCCUCGAAAGUGAUUUCAAUAGCAAGCAUGGAGUGAUUUCAAUAGUCAGCAGUUAUUCUUUCUUAUGUUCUUUCUUUCAUUCCCUGGCGGAGCUAGACUUAUCUGUCUGUUUUGCCAAAGGUGGAACUUACGGCUGCCCUAUGGUAGAACUAUUCAUCUUCAUUUCUCUAACUUAAAUCAAUUAGGACCUGAGGAGAAUCGAUUCAAUGGCUACGCAGCUCCCUCGAGGAUAAGAUCCCAACUAAAGUGGCCAUUAUCGGUACACAAAUUAGGGUUUGCCCCUUUUUCAUGCUCAGGCUUUUUCCACAUCUUCUUCCUCUAUCUUCAUUGCACUAACAGAAUCCAAAGAAGAUGAAACCUUAUCUGAUCCCAUCGAAGAAGGAAAUGAGAUUCAAAUUACCAAGGCUACAUCUAUACUAAGCUAUUCUUCAGAUUUCAUGCUUUUUGACUUCCGAGUCCUUCUGCCUUUGCUACUGAUGCCAUACCGAGCUAGCGGAUAGUUCUCUAUUCCUUAUGAUCUUAGUAGUCGAUUUCCUAUUGCUUCAACAGAAGUGGCUUUCGUUCUUUCAGCGUGGGGAAGAGAAAUGGCUCACGCUUCGAUAAGCCUGCCCCAAAACGGAAAGGGAAUGUCAGAAAAGGUAAAAGCUGGCGGGAUCAACUACUUAUAAAUUGGAUUCUAUAGGAUCCCUGCGUUCCUCCUCACUCUUCUCGGCGGGACUUCUCUAAUUGAUUAAUGUCGUCCGUCCGUCCUGGCGAGACUCAAACAUGUGAGAAAGAAGAAAGGUUUAGCUCACUCACGCCCUCGGCAAUGCUUUCAUUCAUCUCGAAACUUUAUAAGGAAUGCUAAUCAAUCGAUCUCCCCUACUUAAGGAUGUCUGCUUUGCUGCUCAUCUAGCUUUCGACUGCAUAAAGAUAAGCACUUUUAUGAGACAGACUCUUUCUUUGUUCACAGCUUAUCAACGGGUAACCAUAGAAAAAGGAGAGGACGAAAGGAAUACAAGUAAAGUAGACUCGAGUGCUUUCACGAGAAAAUGGUUAGAUCCGGGAAUGGACCUUUUCCUGUUUGAAAAGAUGCUUGCAAUAGCCUAGCUGCCUCUGUCCUGAACUAAUGAACACACACCUCUGGGUAGUUCAUUAACGUAUUUUCUUGCCCUACGGCUAUCAAUUAUGUCCUUAUUACUAGAUAAUAGCUGGACAGGUAUGAUGUAUCCACGCCACACGGGUGAAUGAGUUUUUCAUUGGGGGAGCGAAGCCCCUUUAAGUGGAGUGAGUAAACUAUCCCCGAUCCCCUACACACGCAAGGAGCUAUCAUUUCUCUAGUUCGCAGAGCAAACUUCCUUAUGAGUGAGAAAGGCUUCUAACCAAAGAGAGCGGAAGGCAUUCAAAGACAAAGUAGAAUUAGUAUAGCACAAGAGAAAAAAGUACCUUGUUGCGAAAAUGGGAGUUCUCACGCAUCACUCCACUUACUACUUUAGCAUUAUUAUAUUGCCAUUAUGCUUGUUAAAAGAAAUGAUUAUGUGCACAGGAGUUCGGUUCGCUCUGAGGAGUAAGAGGAUCCUCGGAGAGAUAGAGAGGAUGGAGGGGCUAACAAAGGAUCCCCUAAUGAAAAUCAUAGCUAUGAAUUCCCAGGUCCGGUACUAUUUCAUAUUUCUCAAGGAAAAGCUCCAAUAUUAUGUUGAAUGAAGAAAGGCAUUAGAGAUUCUCUUUCUCUUUAUAGUGGUAUUCAUAUUCAUUGAAGAAUAAGGAACUAGAUAUACUUCAGAAUAAGGAACUAGAUAUACUUCUUUGUAGGGAAAAGGAACUAGCUAGAAUUCUUUGUAGGGAAGGAAGUGACCCCACGGAGCAAUGCCUUAGUACAAGCGCUAAGCAAGCUCUAUUACUGCUAUCUCAUCCUUUAAGCAAUUGCAUCGACCACGGACUCAUUCUUUAAGGAGCACCACAUAGCUUUAAAGGAGAACCUAUCCGCCUGCGAGCGACCAUGGACUCAUUCUGAAAGUAGAACCAUUACCAUGGACUAAUUCUGUUGGUAAGAACCAAUCAUUCUGUGAGCGUUUAUUCGAUCAGUCUGUGAGCGGUCAUUAACUCAUUCAUUGGUCGGAAACUACUACGAGGGUAAUCGCACCGGAACAAACACACCAUACUACAUACCCACGGAAUAAACUCACACAGAGAGAUCACACAGAGAGAGCGGGCAUGCACCUCAUUCUGAAACUAAAGAGUCGCUCAGCCGGAAAGUAACAUCAAUAAACCAGUGGAUGGUGGUGGUUCUAUUGUCAUCGCUUAUGCAUUGGGUGAAACAACAUGAAUUGUUCGGUCGGUCGUGCAUCGAUGGUCCCCGGGCAAACUAUUGAUUUGAGCAGCAUCGCUAUGAAUAAGGAAAGGAUGCGACUUAACGAGCACUAAGAUAAGAAUCAACAUUGGACAUUGCACCGGCACAAACAGCCUCAACAACAGAAAAACGAACGACUUUGUUGUGCUUCAAAAUCGAAAUAGAAACAACCCCUUUUUGAGACCAAAACAGCUAUUGCUAUUCUGCUUUUAUGGAUGUGUCGGUGGCGUACCAGUCUCUAUUCUAAGUACUCUCCGUAAAGUUCAUUGACACCUAUGUGCUCAAGUCCUUAUUUAUUUAGAGUAUGUUAGUUCCGUGCCAGUAGCGAGUCCAGUCUUUAUGUCGGUAGCUCUCCAGUGUAGCGUCCGUCAGUUCUGAAACCAUAAAGUGAGAGUUUACCUCCUUAUUGCCCAACCAACCCUAGCUUGCCCUACCAUAGUUCUCUUUUUCUCAUUUCAACCUCGACCUAUCGCCAAGGAAUGGACACCGGCACCAACCAACAUAGAGAAAAUCCACUACCUUUUUUGCUCCUAAGAUAUAAGCACAAAUACUGUCAAAAUCACCUAGUUACUAUAGGCAAAUACUAAUACACUAAUCAAUAUUCUAUAAGUUCCAAAGAAGAACAAAUAAGAAAACAAAGAAUGCAAUACAAAAUACAGAUUGGGGCUGCUGGGUUCGAUCCUAACAGCACUAGUUUAAGCCAGAGUUAUGAGCUAUAGCCUUGUUGUUCAGUGUCCAAUGCCUAGUUCCGAGUUGUUCUCUUACUUCUUUGUUUGAUUCCAGGAAUCGAAUAAAGAAAAGAAGCUUUAUUAAGACAAGGGCGAGGAAAGUAAACGAGAGAAGAAGUAGUGGAAUCAGUAUAAGGAGCAGGUGAGAGGAAGCCUAAAUAAGGAUUGUCCGCCCCAUAAUAGAAAAGUAAGCCUUAUAGCACUCCGGAACUAAACAUGAAAUUGGGGUUCUCUAUUAUAAGUGGUUAGGGCCUACUACAGCUCCAAAGUAUCCAGUAUAGUAGAUCUCUUCAAAAGAAGAGUAGAUCUCACAAGAGUCUGAACCUAUCGAUUAUAGGCCGCCUAGGCUACAAGCAAGAGCGUGGUUCGCUUUCCUUGCGCUAACGUAGAUUUCUAGUCAUAACACCUUUGUGAAGCAGAGCUCAUGGCUAAUCGUCGGUUAGGUUAAGUGGUUCAAUUGUCUUUCUUUCUAUUCGAAUGAAAUCGUAUAAAGAAGAUCAUACGGAAUGAGAAACUGCUGAGGUUUAGUCUCAUGGAACAGUAUCAAGGUCAGCUUCAUGGUAUAAAGGUGAUGUUAGGAGUUUCGAGUGAAAGAGUUUGUCGUUGCUUGUCUAUCCGUGCCUUGGCCCGUUCCUUGGCGAUUCUUUUAACAAGCUAGGAGAAGUGAACACGAGAAGUUCGAGGAAGUGGGUAAGCAAGCGCCCGACUUAUAAUAUCAAACAUCAAUCUACUAAUCCGUCUUCCAUCAUAUCAAACAUAUACUAAUCCGUCUUUCUCUUCUUAUCUAUAAGCCAGCAAAUUACUAAUAAGUCUUCUCCUCUUAUCUAUAAGCCAGCAAAUUACUAACAAGCUACGCACGCACCUUCUUGUACUCAAUAAGGCAAGGCAGUCGCUCUUCUGGAGUUAAGGUAGUAAGAUAAUGGAUAGGCAGAUGGUAGGGUUUGGACCAAUUAUAAAGCAUAAUAAGGAAAGCGGACAUUCUUAUGAAUUACUUUCUGUCUUAAGAGAGCUAGUACUUAGGAGUUGCUAGUAGCUCUGACUUACUCUAUACUAGUAGCUAGACUAGGAAUGUAGCAGUGAACGGACGGAGAAAGGAGUGAGCUUAGCCCGUUGCCUUUUAGGGAACUUUUGUUGCUGUAGUAGCUUAGGCCGGGACUAUACUUAGGCUUAGGAAAGGCAGUUGACUUGUUGUAGUUGCGGGCUAUACUUAGGCAGUUGACUUGCUUACUAGUUUGUAUAGAAAGACAGCUUAGCAGUAGUUAACUUGCUUGCGGCUAGCUAAGUCUGGUUUGCUCUUGCUAAAGGUAGGACUAGCUCUGGGCGCUAAUGGUAGGGCUAGCUCUGGGCGCUAAGGUCAACUUGAGCCGAGCUACGGACUUAGGAAUAGGAAAGAAGGCAGCGAGUCGCUUAGCGGAGCUCGUUCUAUGGACAUGACUUAGGCAUCGAGUGAAGAGCAAAGAAGAAGUCAAGCCAAUCCACUCUACUCCCAACAUUCCUUUUUUUAGGAGACUGAAUCUUGCUGUAAAUAUGGACAGAAAGCCUAAGAAGACCAAAUCCUUCUUUUGAAACUAACCUAUAAGUAGUAGUGAUAGCAGCCCCUCAAGGCAGGCAGGACGGCUUGUUCUCAAUCGGCGAAGUUAGCAUCAAUCCGCUUAUGCCCGCCCUUUCACCCGACCAAGAAAGACUCAUAGGAAUCAACUGUCAGAAAUCCCUCGUUAAUAUAGAGAAGAGAAAUUCAUAAAUGAAUCCAAAAAGAAAGAAAAAGGAAUAGAACUCAGCUACUGAUAUUCCAUUAUCUCAUUUUAGAACGCGUAGUUCCUUGUAUCUUAUAUAUAGGAUUUGAGACCUACCUAGAAGUCUGGGUUUAGAAAGAGUUGAAAGGUAAAUUGACCUGGUAAAAGCUUAGUUAUUUAAGUAUUUGAGUAUCAAUAUCUAUAGGAAAAGAGUCUGAUUUUGAAAGCUGUCCAAAAGGAAGGGAAUGAUUGCUGAUAGAACCGUAUGUAUACAAUUGGUGUGGAGGACCAUUUCUGCGAGCCCUCCUUCUUUGGAAUUGAAUAAAAAGUCACAGAAGGGGACAAGUAACUGAUUAAGGAAAGGCAUAAGUUUCCAUUUGCCAAGGAGAGCAGUUCUAGAAAGAAAGUGAUUCGCUGCUUUAACCCUUUCGGAGCUUCCAAAGGAGUCGCAGAGAUUUGAAUUGGAAAAGAGGAUCCCACUUAAGAUUUGUAGACGGUCCUCUCACUGUAAAGAAAGAAGUAAAGGAGCGGAAGUCGAUUCGCCAACGGAGAGCGAAGUAGGACAUUCAUACGAUUUGCCAACGGAGAGGGAGGUAGGACAUUCAUACGCAGACACUCCAUUUAGGAAGAUGCCCAGAAGAAGGUUACAAGCAUAUAAUGGAUUGAAUAGGGUACCUAAGGAAAGGACUAGAAUAGAUUGUUAGCCAAGAGAAUAGGGUACUUUAGGACAGACUAUAAAGGCUUGUUAGCCAAGAGAGAAUAGGGUACUUUAGGACUAGAAUAGAUUGUUAGCAAGAGAUUGAAUGAAUAAGCGAAAAUGCCCAACACAGCCUAUACUAAGAAAGCGAAUAAGCUCUUGUCAGGUCUAGAAGCAAUCACUACACUGGGAAUUACACAGCGACCAACAGUACUCAUAGAAAUAGGAAUAAGGCUUCCAAAGAAGAGAAUCAAACCUAAGAGAAUGAAGCUGCUACCUGAACUCGAAAACAAAAAACUAUGGCUUUGACUCCUGCUUUUAAUGGUUGAACUCGGAUAGCGUACUACACCGAUAGGAGCUAGUAGAAACCAAUGGAGCUAGUAUAAACACUAGGGAACUAAGAAAUCCAUAGAGCUAGUAGAAGACCGAGAAGCGAUGCCGGGAAUCCAAACACUGCUUUUGAACUUGAAACAUAGGGGGAUCUAACUGGACUGUAUCUACUACUUCCAAGACUGUUGCUACUUACUUCAAUACUCUAUCUUAAAGUGGAGUUUGGGCAAGGCAAGUUCAAUAUCAAGUUUUCAUAGGGUAGCCUACAACUUCUAGUUUACAGUUUCGUCUUGUUUUCCUGUGACAGAUUCUCAAAUAAGGAACCACUCUGAACUCAAUGACCACCAAGCCCUAUAUCAAGUAUUUCUCUAAUGCCUAUUAGUCUGUUACUGCUGCUUCUUGUAAUGAAAUAGGAAACGCGUAAUCCCUUUAUCAUACUGAUACAAUAACACAGCAGGGAAUCCCCAACUACCGAUAAAAAGAAUGUGGUUGCUGCCUAUAAGGCUGGAAUCACUGCAGGAAAGAAUCAAUCGCGCAAUAGGGAAUCGAAGACAGAGGAGCAGUGCCCGGACCGACUGUAACCAAUACUUAUAUAAGACUCAUCAGAAUGCCCACUCGGGGAUCAAACUCAAGAUUGAAAUCACUUGCCAACGAGACUUACCCCACUAACGGGGAACUCGGCUACUGCCUAAUAGCACUGAAACAAGUGACUCAACUACUCUUAUCUAAGUAAGCCUUAGAGUCUGGCUUGUCUGCUUCAAAAUGGUACUACUGCGUCUAGGAAUAAGGAAGAAAGGUAUGACUUCUGAGAAUGGGAGCACUGUUGAUAAGAACCAACCUUAUGGGUAAGGUACAUCGGAGUAGGAAGUAAGAAGAAAACCACGCCGAUAAGGCUUUCACUCAAAACGGAUAAUCAACAUGCCUUUCCGACAACAAGGACUGAACCAAGGAAAUAAGGCUUAAGGAGUGAAUCGUAGAACAUAGGAUCGAGCAAGAGAGAACUCGAAUUGAUUUGAGUAGAAGCUUGCCCGACCCUCUAUAGAAGCUUUGCCUAAUACCUCCUCACCUUCUUUAAAGAGCACUACACAGCCUGAGGGUAACAUCCGUAAGUCUGCGUCUGAUGUGGUUCUAUUGGUGAUGUCCCCUGCAUUGGUCGGACCAACAUUUAUUCCUAAAGUAACAGCAACAAGUAUGUCGAGCAGCAUCCCCGAUUAGAGCCGCACAGGCAAGAGUUCUGUGUCCGGUCCGAAGAAGAGGUGACUCCUCAUUUCUUGUCGUAACAGCAUGAAGUCUUAGGUAAGCAUCGCACAGUCUAUGAGCUACAUUAAUAUACUCAUUGAUUUUUAUACGAAACCAUAUUCCCUUGCACACCUAUCCUCCAAACUGAGUCUUGCCUUACUGACUUAUUAGUCUACAUUGUCACUCGAACGACUAUAUAGAUAGGAUGCAACUAAGGGGUAGAGGCGCGGAAGUGAAUUAGUAAGGCUUUUGUUCUUUGUACGAGGUGUCAGGGCUUGGUCCGCCAGGGCGUAGAAUUAGGCUUUGACUGUCGGGUUCAAUUCCGUAUUUGUAUUUAAGGAAAUAGGCAUAUAGGUAGAUUUCCUACUUUAUGGAAAUAGGCUAAUGUGGUAAAGAAAUAGCACUAGGUCGGUUGGUAAUAAGGAGAACUAGGGUUUCGGGCAAGAAGGAGUGGAAGAGCAGACUUUUUAGUGAAGGGGGGAAGGAACGAAAACAGGACUUGGUCAUAAUUAUUUAUAACAAUUCCUUUCUAUAGAAUACCGUAGCUUUUCCUUAGUUUGUAUACAGAAGGGUGCGCUCUAACUAGAUUUUGGAUGCCCCAAAGAGCUACCCCCAACCCGAGUCUAAGAGAUAAAGGCUAAGACAAUGCAUUUAAAGUACUAGGGUAAGCAAACGGGAUAUAAGCAUUGGCUGUUAUAAUAGGAGAGCUAACUAGUUGGUUUUCAAUAAAUUCCAUUAUUUCUGUCUUUUCUCCUCCCAGUGUCCGCCUAGAAAAAACCUGAUUGGAGUGGAAGGGAUCCUAUGAGCCAGGUGCCAACUAGGUUCCUGCGGUUAGGAUUAUACCUCGGAUCCAGAUCGGGAAGUGUUGUUUUGGGGGAUGCCAGCAAGGGCUAGUUGUCCAUCUUGCUUGUUAAGAUGUAAGACCUAAGGUCUGUGUCGGGAUCCAGGUCCAGUUGAUGCCCCCAUCGAGGCAUGCACCAACCAUCUUGAUUCCUUCGGUUAGGGUUCUGGUUACAAUUCCUAUGGUUUCUAGGGGCUCCCUAUUUGUAUGACAUUUCGUUUUCCCCUAACUGGCGAUCCAUGGGCAUCUCCGUACACUUUUGAAGGUACUGUGGAGGAGAUCUUAUUCUCAUUUCUUUCUAUAGGACUAUACACCCACCCACCGUGUAAGGAUCCUAGGUAAACCUUCCUACCAGUUGUAAGGUAUAUUUCUUCUCUUCUGCUACUUUGCCUUUAGACUGGGAUUACCUUGUCAGUUAGUUCUAGGAUAUCCUAUGCGUAGAUUCCAGGGGGUUAGAGAUCGGCUCCGUUUUACAAUAGGAAAUUGACCCCGUACAACUAGGCAUUCUCAAAUAGACAGCCAGUACAUGAAAGUCAGACAGAUAGGAAAGGGUAUACCUAACCCCUGAUAACUUCUAUGUGGUUCUACAGUUGCUCAUACUCUCUGACAAAACUUGAUGAGCCGUAGCGGUUUCACUCUAAGACUAACCCUACCAACGAGGUAUCUUUAUACCCUUUAGACUACUUAAUAGUCAGGUGCGCCCCAUUGAAAGGUUUCGAAUUUCUAUCCAUUUAUAUCAUGAGUUUUCAAGGAUUGGUCUCUUGUGGUUGGGGAUGUCAAAUAAUUCCUACCUUCCUGUGAUGCAUGUCAACGAACUGGCAAAGAAAGAAAGAAAGGAUAUCGAAGGCUGAAAGGAGUGGCGCUGGGAAAUGAACUAUCACUUAUGCCCUAGAAGCCAUCUGCAAUGUUAACGGAAUAUGGUAUAGGUCAAUUGGGUCUAAAAGGAAUAAUCCUAAAGGUCCGCUACGCUUCUUUUUGGAAGUAAACUCUCCCAUCUUUAGUGCGCUCUUAGGUUCUGUUCUCUCUUGAAGUGUGUUUUGCUUUCGCUAAUGAGAGUUGGUAGUUGGCUUACUUUCUUGUUAGAGGACAGGUAGUUGACUACUUGCUGUUGUUAGGCGGUGAACCAACCGGGUGAUUGUUGGGGAGAGAAUGAGCCCCAACACCAACCACCCACGGGGGAGGAACUUCAGAAGCAGAUGUUAGACUUCGCCGCCUACUUCCGCUCAAACAGAACCAAGCCCCCGCGACACAUGGUAGAGAGCCUUAUCGAGGAGCUUCAAGUAGAUUCAGCUUCGGACGAAACCAAAGGAACGAGAUUUCCCUACUUAUCUCGGGUAUCUUGAACGAUCCGCACGCAGUGACAGAUGGUCAACGGGCGAAUGGCAUUUCUAUAGUAAACAGACUCAGUGUUCAAGGGCUCCGUAGGGAAUCUUAGUCGGUUUGUGAGCGCCUUCCGGUAUAGCUAGUCUUCUGUCCGUCCCGAUUGCCGCUAGUCAGUAGCUCGCUUCCGGAUAAACUACUAAAAACAGUGCGCAAGCAAACACAUAAUCGAAAAUAGAAGGAUCAGUGCCCGUAGCUGAGUUAGGUUUAGAUGGUCGUGAUAAGCUCUACUAUAAAGAAAGCCAAUGAGUUUUAUGAAUAGAGGGAGUGCUGCUCUCUAAGGGGCUUUUCCGGCCAGCCGUUGAAUUCCAUUCCUCGAUGCAAUCCUUAAUUAUCUCUUCUCUGGGGCGAGAGACAUGAACAAAGCUUGGCGCGGAAUAAAUACAGGUAUAGAAAGGAUCGAACAUAAAUAAAGAUAAGAAAGGAUCUUUCAUAAGAGAUGAAAGGAUCGAACAUAAAUAAAGAUAAGAAAGGAUCGAACAUAAAUAAAGAUAAGAAAGGAUCGAACAUAAGAGAUGAAAGGUGCUAAGAGCCUACUAGAAUGGAAAAAGAAAAGUAGACCAUAGGAGUCAAAGAGAAGAAAUAGCUGCUGCACGUUCGUUCAUACUCAUGCUCGGCAAGAACGACCCUCAUCAAAAAGCGGUAUAUGUCCUAUGCAGCAGAUUAUAUCUUAUACUAUAGCUAGAACUCUUUGUAAUUACACUCAUCCAGCUUUUCCAUAAGAGAUGAAGCUUUGUUCUGCCGACUCCUUUCCAACUCAAUGAUCUGUUCCUGGAAAGAUUAGUGGGCGGUCUUCAGAUCCUUGCGUACAGCGUGGCAUGCAUCAAGGAAGUGCAUCUUUUCCUUAAGGGCUUAUAAAGUUAUUUCGCUUUAGCUACUACCUCAGCCACGAUUACGUUCUUCUUCUCCAAGAUCAUAUAGGGAUAGAACUUAUUCCGCUUUCCCCAAAACUAAAGACUUCCAAUGCAAUGAAAAAAGCACGACUCCGCUUAGAGAAUGGCGACAAAGCCCUGUGACUCAAAAAAGCCCUCUAUCGGCAACUGUAGACAUAUCCGAAAGUUCUACUAGAGCACACUCUCGGAGGCGGCGAAUCAAAGAAUGACCCAUCUAAUUCGAAAAUAUAGAAAGACUGGAAACAAGCAUAUAACCCAGCACUCACGAUUUGCUAGCCACGGCAUCACCAGUAAAAGAACCCUGAUUGCCUUAUUCCAGUAUUAAGGGAAAAGAAAACCAAACAUAAAGUAUAGAGUAACUACGAAGACCAAAAGCCCGGCAUUUCCGUCUUAGAUGCCCCCCGUCGAAGGCAAGGCAGAUCUUUUGAAUUCAAAGAAGAGCCUUAAGAUCAGACAAGAAAGAAGCCAAAAUAAUUCCUAGUAAGUUGCGGAAAAGAGAGAGCAGAGGAUUUGCGACCUGUUAAUGUACGAGGUAGGCUUGAACAGCGUAGGCUCUUUGCAAGAAGGGUAAGGCAAGCGCAAGGAUUGGCUGACAGAGUUCAGGCGAAUGAAGAAAAGCUAUACUAUAACGGACUUGUAGCUUCUAGUGCUCGAGUGGCUUGCAGCUUCGGGUGCGAAUACGGAUACCGCUUACUUUAGAGCUCGUGCUGUUGCGAGUAAGUAGUCUCUCUGCUCAUAGUCGUCCCGUUCAUAGACGCUAGAGCUACUACGAUAAGGCUAGCUCCUCGUAGAGUGGCAUUAGCUCCUCUUCAACCAGUCGAGUUCGAGUGCGCUGGUAUACGAUGGUAUAGGGUGCUUCUCUGAUCUUCUUCUUCCCACGAUAAACGAAAGAAUUCCUUGUAGGGCAAAUACAGGACUUGUAAUAACUUCUACAUAACUGGGAACUAUAGCAGCCCCUGAGGAAUGGACUCGUUUCUCUAGUCUUUACCUUUGAUCUCCAUCCUUGUAAUGCCGACUCUGAUCCUUCCUGGCCGGACUAUAUCAUAUAUCGCCUUCACUCUACGGUCUUUCUUCAAGAGAAUGCCCUUUGUCCUAAUAUACUAAUUACCUGACUCAAACAAAACCACCAACAGGUCCUUCUUUCAAACUCGGUCAAUCUGUUUGCGAGAAAGAGAAAAGAGAACUUCCAAACUAUAGCAUUUUCCAAGAAUAGCCCUUAUUCCUUCAACGGCAGCAGCAGGGUGGUCUACGAUCAGUUCUAUAAUAUAAUAUAAUAUCGGAGUGGAAGGGCAAAAGAUUCCAUUCUUCCGAACCCCAGAAAAUGGAAAAAAGAUUGGAAUUUUGCUUACGUCCUAUGGCCCUGCUACUCUGAUGCUUUGCCGAGCUCCCGACCGAUGUCUCGAUCCUAAUGGAAGCGCUUUCUUUUUUAUUGAAUCUAGUUUUUGAAUACAUUAGUUUAGACUACUGAACUAGCUCGACCACGCUUUAAUUCGAGACAAGGCGAAAACCUACCAUACUGGAAAAGCGGGACAGAGGAGGAAGCACAAGAAGACCUACCAAAAGCAUAACCGAAUCUAUCAACAAAACAAAGCGUGGAGGAUCACUUAGUGGAAACUCGAUGGAAAAUAGAAUCUUAUGGCGGUGAAACAAGAAUAUCCCCUAAUAUAAUGAGAAUUCUCCAAAUCUCACUCUAACGAGGAAGCGCAUACUUAUUUCAUAGACUCAUAAAAUAGACUUCCUUCCUUUACCUUUAGUGGGAAAAUUCCAUUGGGUUAAGUGGAACAAUUAGCAUUAGCCAUUACAAAAAACACCUACUGUACUGGAACUUGAAGGAGGAGGGGCGGAAACUCUAUGCCCUUGGAAAACAGAACGGAAGAAGGGAAAGCUGCCGCGCAACACGAAAACUGUACUUUGAUUCUUCAUUGCUAACAGAGCUUACUUACUUGACUUUGAUUCUUCACUGCUAACAGAGCUUACUUACUUGACUUCGAUUCUUUCUCUUUGUGGGCUAACUCUUGCUUUCCUGACCUAUGUGCCUACUACCACUAUCUAUAUGAGUCUGUCUCUCCUUGCUUUCGUUCUGUAACAUAACACUCCAUUCUCUUACUAUCCCUUGGAGAAUAAAGAAAGAAACUAGUGCUUCUAAGCCUAAUCCCUAUAACAGAGUAAUUGAACCAUUACUUCUACUACUUGCUUGGCCCGGGCUUUCACUACAAUAAAACUAAUAGAGAAUGCAACGACUACUGGAAGGAAUGAUAUAACUACUCAUAAGAAUCGGACAACUGCUAAUAGGUCUCGAACCGGUAAGGGCCUAACUCGCUAACGCGCAACUGACGUAGUUGCUUGUUGGAUCGAACUGGCGCUUAUGAGACCUUAGCUACUGACUUCAAAGCUGCCCUGAACCCUGUUACUACUGAUCUGGAUCCUUACUUGCUAGCUUCCAACUUCCACUGCUUAAUUGUAUCCUUGAUGUCCACUAGUUAGCCUGCCCUUACAGACUUUCAAACUCUCACUACCAUCGGGUACUCUUCCCUUCCUUACAAGCAUUCUAUAGUUCCCCUAUGAUUCUGACUUGUUUGAUUCUGUUACUAGAUUCAUUAGUAUAGGAGUUGUGUUCGGGAGCAAUCCAAUCCAUAGUUCUUAAAGAAAUCAAGGAGGAGCAAUCCAAUCCAUAGUUUCAUCUGUAUUAGUAGCCCGAGAAAGGCACUAGUGCGCAUCUCCUUUUUGACCAAAACCAGAGUAUGAUGAGACUGCCCUUUACUAGGAAUUGGAAAGUCAACUAUACUUACUCAGCUUUAGUAGAAUUCUUAUUAGCUGUUAGAGCAGAGCCAGUAGUAGGAAAUUGAGUUGCUUGAUCGCUAGCUAUAAGGUAGAGCACUUUCACUACUUAGUUUCAUUCUGACUUGAUAGUGACCCCCAUAUAUACCGGAGUCGUGGUCAGUAAACUAGUUCAAUUAGUUCAAUACCUUAACCUUAGUUCAAUAGAGGAGUUACAGAGUGAAGUGAGUAUCGAUGUAUUCUUCUGCUCUAAUUGGAAUUCUUUUAGGCUUUCUUCCGUUUCCUACUCCCCUGAGUCGAGUCUGUCUGGUUCAUAAUCUUGUUCGGAUAGCCUACGUAGCAGUUCUUCAAGUCGAGUGAGGGUGCGAGGAAAGGAGACAAGAUGCUUGUUCGAGGAAAGUAUGCAAGAGAAGGAGCUGUCAGUCUAUUUCAAUAUUUCUUUACCGAGUGCUCGAAUACAUGACUAAUGAGUUUCACCCGGAUACGGAGAUAGAGAAGAUGCGGGGGCGGGUCUGUCUUCAAGUUCCCUGUCUCCAAGAGAGGAAAAAAAGGACUUGCUCUUGAUACAGCUACUGCUUCGGCGUCCAGUUUACAGGGGCUUGGUGACGUGACUUGACUUCAUACAGGAAAGACCUAGACUUAAUGACUUGACUUCAUGCAGGAAAGACCUAGACAAAAGUGCGAGUGUUGUAGGUGCCUCUUCAUCACUUAUAUAAUAAAGAAAAGAAUUUCAGUGGGCAUGCUCUUAUACGUAGUUGCUUAUCGUCGGCGUACUUCUUAGCCUCUGUCUCUGGCUCCUAAAGUAGUUCAAAUGCAUGCGCUAGCUGAAUAAAGGUGAACUCCGUACUGGUUAUAAUGGUAUUUAUUGUUGCUAUCGAUAAGAGAAGAGAGCCUCAUUCUGUUUUGUUGCUAUCAAUAAGAGAAGAGAGCCUCAUUCUGUUAGAUUAGAUGAAAUGGUAUCUCCUUAUAAGAGGGAUAGAUCUAGUGGAUAAGCCUUAGGGAAGCUGUUAAGGAGGCCCUUAUUGUAAGUUGGGAAGCAGUUCAAUUAUCAGCAACAAGUGUUCGGGAGCCAGCAGCAACUGGAAACCAUAGAGCAGGAGCAGGCAAUUCACUUACCGCAGCACAAGCACCCGACCCGACCUACACAUGAAGGGAACUUUAAGACAAGACUCAUUUCAUCUCCAGCCGAUGAUUCUCGAUUGAGUUAUACUCAAGGUGUAAAUGAUCUCUGCAAAAAGGGGGUGAUAAUGCCUAUAAGCAGGCAAAGCUCCUAUCUGAGUUCUGACUUCAAUAUGGGGAAGCAAUGCUGUAUUCUGUUGCCAUAGCUUUUUAUGCUUCUCUUCACUAUAAUGCUUCCUUUAAGAACAAAUAGGCGCCUGAAGUAAAGGAUCGGAUCGGAAUAGGAUCCAAAAGUCAAUCACCGGGUUGCGAGUUAAGUGGUGGAGAAUAGAAAGGGCACAUGGGGAGCAGGGGAGCGCAUAGAAUGAAUUUGAUUGCCUAUAAAACAGGGCUAUGUAUAGAGUCCGCUUGUUAGCUCCUUUUCCAAAGUCUGAUUAGAUGUCUAUUUGAAUUUCCUAUUUGUUCUUAUCCUUGUCUGGAACAGAUCUCUUGGCCCCUAAGGGACUGGUCUUAAAGGGAAGUUUAGGUCGAGGUUAACACUUAUCGGGGUUAACACUUAUUAGAGGCAGAGGCAGAGGGGCCGGCCUACUAAAUGAAUUCUUCUCUUAUAUUAGGAUAACGUUUACUCCUAGACGAAACUCGAUAUUCGAAUUCUCUACAAGGGACAGGUCUUCCGCUCAGGUACUUCCACUCAGGGAACAGAUAUCAUAGAGAGCACUGGGUAGGCAAGAAGGAGGUCAAUAAAGAAUCCGCAGUUGGUAGGAAAGGGCAGUAUCUUUUCCCUCUGUUAGUACUUCAUCAGCAGGAAGUUUAGUUGAGUGCGCCAACCAAUACUGUAAGGGUCAAUUCCUUCUGUACCCAUCAAUUAUCUUACAGAGUUGGUUACUUCUUUAAAGAGACUAUCUUCAUUCCACUCAAAGCAAAGAAUUCCACCAUUUCGCGCCUACCGGGUUGGUGAGUUCCCUUGCUCCAGCUUACCUAGGCUAGGCGGGGUACGAGACAGCUAGCAAUUAGCAAUCCAUCUAAUACAGUGAGAAAACCAUUGAAAAGCCCAGCUUAUAAAUGAAUCUGACGAGCAUAUUUCACAAAUUUGUAGACCAUUUGCCUUCGAUGUUGGUGCAUAGUAGGUUGUUGGAUAUUAGGUAAUGAUUGCAUCUAUAGGUGGAAUGGAUAUUAGGGUCUUGGGGAGCUAGUUCUUUUUCUCGUUGGAAUACUAAGCUAAUCUAAUUACAGUGCUACGAGAAACCCCCACUUUGAUAGUACUAAGGCAAGCAACUGGGCAAGCAGACUACCGGCUAAUCGGAAUAUGCCUAUCAGAUCAGAACCCGACAUAACCCCCUGACCAACGUCGUCGACUCCCAUCCCAGGUAUCUUCCCUUGAGGAAAGGCUGUCUCAGUCCUAUUAAGAAGUUAACGGUCUAUAGUAGGGCCUAGUUCCCGUUGUAUUGGAUUGGAUCUAUCCUUAUCGGCCAACACGUCUUUAAAUCUAAGUAUUUGUAACAAAGUCGCUUUAGUCCUAAUAGUGUUAUUCCUUGUGAUCACAUAUUCCCUUACUCUAUUUGCUUGACAGAAAUCAAUCUGAUCAUAAACAAAGGGAUCGGCACCCUUAAGCUGCUUUAAAAACGGGUUUGCUUCAACUCACUUGAUUUAGUAGUUUCAAGAUUCCUAGCUUCCUUCAAAGAUAAGAGAAAAGACUGCUGAUUUAGUGGUUUCAAGAUUCCUAGCUUCCUUCAAAGAUAAGAGAAAAAGACUGCUUGUCCCACACAAAAGAAAGACUACUGCUUGUCUCACACAAAGGAAAGACUACUGCUUGUGCUACACUUUGUUAUACAGCCCGUACAAACGAGGAGGGGCACAUGUUUGAUAGGUAUACUGACUUACACACGGUAUCACAAUCGAUCAAAUAAGCCUUUCUUUCUCACAGGCCUGCUCAAGCAACUCCAAUAAAAAGUACUCUUGAGCUUUCAGGCCACGGAGGCUCGCCCCACCAUGUAAAAAGCAUACGAGUCAAUUAGCUCAAACCCCAGGAGCAAUAAAGGGUCAAGUCCGGUUGAUCGUCUGUGCAAGUUAGGACAUGAGUUCCGGUUCGCCCAAGGAGUCUUUCCUAUUCCCCCAAGAGAUUCUAAACUAGCAGACUCCGGAGCACCCCAACUCCACUUGUUGACUAAGAUACAAGGGCACCUGAACCUCUAUCCUCUCUAAAUUCUAUCUUAUUAUUGAUAAAGAGAAAAGGAUAGUGAGCUUAUCAUCGGGAUCGGAGGCUGGUCCUGUGCGAGUGUAAUCUACUUAUUGCUAUUCGAGGUCUGUUAUGAAAGUGGAGUGAAAUUGUAAUAGAAAGUAGCGAGGGUUGGUGCUCUAGCUCAGCGAGGGUUGGAGAAGGUACCUGGCUCGGCUCAUCUAACUUCAUUCUGACUUGCUUCAUUAAGACCUCUGGGUACAACUAUGACUUGGUUCCAUUCUUACCUCGGAUCGGAGAAUUAAUAUCUUUUCCAAUAGGCUAAACUCUUUACUUAUAGCUUCAAAGCCUCUCCUCUGGCAAUAAAUACUGAUUCAAAAGCACCACCAGGGGAAGGCAACCACUGAGGAAUAGAAGUUUUCUCAUCAGCGGGAAGUUCAGAGUUCAGAUAGGUAGUUGCGAGGGCUGGAGAAGCUACCCGGACUGCCGCUAGAGUUCCCCCGUUAUUACAAUAUAUGUCUUCGUAGCUUUAUGCUAGUGAGGGCAGGCUUUAUUUGCGGGGUGGGUCUUAUCGGUAGUAGUUUGACUCUGAUCAUCAUGGUCCUAAUGAGUUUCAUCCCCAACCAGUAUUGUAGUCCAGAGUCCAGAGCAAUAACUGUAUGAGUUGACAGAGCCCAUAGGUAUAGAAUCACUUGUUACUAAUGUGACUGAUAGAGCCACUCAUAGGCAAGGGAAGCAGUUCAGUCAGAAGGAGAGAAGGGAAGCAGUCUGAGUAUAAGAAUGCAACUAGAAACUGCCAAGUCCUUUCUUCACCUCCCUAGUUGUUAUUACCGAGUCCUGCUUUUUGGGAGCUCUGGCAAAAAGAUCAUCAAAAACGAGUCCUCUAGUAGGGAAGUUGGAUCUAUAAGAGCAAGAGCAUCUGUUUCUGUUCGCCUAGCCCUUAAGUAAAUGGUAGAAAGGAAAUCCGCUGCUACCGGGCUAAUCAUUCCGUUUCUUCCCAGAGUUUUGCCUUACUUAUAUUAGGGAGGUCUGUUAUGAAAGUUAUGUUAUUGUGAGCAACAGUAGGAAUGAGUUCAAAAGUAUUCAAAAGUUCACUAUACUAGUCUCAGAAAACGGUAGGGCUGCUCUUUUAUCCUUAUUGAAUGGAAAGGACAUUCUAAUUCCGCAGCUGACUUGCGAACUGAUCCUUCUCAAGCUUCUGUAGCAAAGCAAAGCCAGUACUAUCUUUCUCUUCUGCUGAUGCUCCUGACUCUAUACUUGUGGAAUCAAUAGGUCCAUUCUGAUAAUACAUACCCAGAUCUUAAAGCAAGGGAACCCCGAAACUUACUAGAAGGGCCCAACCUCUCCUAUCAGAGGGCAAUUGCAAAUAGGUAGUACUUACUCGACCCUCCCUUAGCUCGAUAAGCUCGACUCUCCCUUAGCUCGAUAAGCUCGACUCUCCCUUAGCUCGAUAAGAAAGUGUAGUUUCAGAAGACCACAUUUCAGAAUGAAACCCGUAAGUAGCAGCCUUAAAGCACCCAGUAGUAGCUUGAGAAGCCUUAAAGCACCCAGUAGUAGCUUGGCAGUCGCCUAGGAGCCUCAUUCCGGUAGAAGAGAUGCUCUAGUCCAUAGUCGAGGUCGUCAAUUCCAUUCUUUUCCGUAGUAACAGUAGGAUAAGAGGUAUACCGAAUGCAGUUCAUAGUAGCAAGAGAGGAGCAUUAAUUAAGGGCACAGGACAAAGAAAGCAGGUAGGGAGUCAUUCGUUGAGAUCGAUUCUGAAUACCGAGUGGAGUCUGAAGUUGACUAGUAGUGGUAAGUGGCUGGCCCUGACUCAUUUAAUUCAUAACUAAAUAAUUGUUUGGUGCUUUAGCUCCUAGUAGUGGAGUAGUUGAAUAAGUAUGAGUUUACAGUUUCAUCAGUAUGAGUUUACAGUUUCAUCAGUAUAGGAGUGAGUUAAGUCAACGAUAUCAUAAGCCUUAUCAUAAGCCGUAGCAGUAUCCAAUCAGUCAGCAGCAAAUAGUUCUUCAAGUUACAUAGAGUUUGGGGCAGAAGAUAAAGAUCAAGAUAGCACUGGCAAGGAAGCGCUAAGUUCAUCAAUUUCAUCUGUGUUUGUUGUCGACUCUCAAUCAGAUGUGAAAGCCUUAACCGAGUGGUGAGUUGGUCCAGGGCAGAAGAAACGACUAAUUAAUAGGCUUACCGCUACUACUAUAGUAACUAGUAAAAGAAUAAAGAAUAUCGUUUUUCCUUCCCGAAUUAGAUAUUAGGCCUGAGUUAAGGUAUGCAAUUUAGGAUUCCACUCGUACUAGGCGAACUGACAGAUAAGCGGAUAGACAAGUCCAGUAGUGGUAAAGUUCUGGUUCUUGACAAAGUACUGUUUUCCACUACCUAGCUCAAUCCCCGGUUUCUUACCAAAGAGUGAAAAGAAAGAGCAUAAGUGGAAGUCUAGUUUGUAGUAUACGCUUGGCAGUUGCCCUUAUAGUAAGUUGCUAGAGUAGAGGUGUAGUUGCCUUGCCAGCAGCCAGUUUCAUACCGAGUGCAAUCUCUUAUUGGAAUGAUUUGUUUACUUCAGAUCCACUGGUGCUUUACUUCAUAGCCACUGGUGCCUAGCUGCGUAGGGGUCCUGUUUUGCCAGUGGAGUAGUCCAGAGCCAUAACUUGAUUAGCAGACUGAGGAGAGAGAUUGGCUGUUUCAUCCCUUGAGUACAGCUCCAGUGAGAGUGGGAUUCCCCAGUUGCAUUCUUUGCCAGUAGUUGAGAGUAGCUAAUGGAAUUCUGAUUUCUAGAAGUAGAGAGGUCGGGAAGUAUGGACUAGUUUCCAGUUGCCAGAGGAGAGGAAAGGUAAAGUAUCCAGUGUAGUUUCGAGUGGAUAGUGGAAUUCUUUAGAAUGUAAUUAGUUGACAGAGGGGAGAGAGGCAUAGGCCUAGGUGAAAUGCUGUAGACAAGAAUGAAGCCUGGGAACAAGCUGCGUAGCCCAGAGCAAUAACAGUAGUUGACUUACCGGUCCUAUACUCAAGAAUGGAGUUUUCGAAUUGACUUGACUAGGAUAAGAAUGAAGCAAGUCAGAGUUCAACUUCGUAGGGAAAGUCAGAAUGAUAGAGCUAUGCCCAAUUCUCUUAUAGUGGAAUCAGUAGUAGUUACAUGUAGACUUGCCUAGCCUAAACUCCUUGUAAGAGAAGAGAAAUAUUCCAUUCCUUGUAAGGUAAGAGAGAUAUUCCAUUCCAGUAGUAGUAGAGAGGGGAGCCAGAGUUUUAUAAGAUUGAUUUCAUGGUAUAUGCCCUACCGCCCGAACAAAGCACUUUAUGAACAACACUUCGCACCAACCUCUUCUCGCCCUUAUCCAUACUUCGCUCCUUCCUUGAAGAAUGGAGUUUCCUCGGCAUGAGAACUCUUCUGUUAUCAAUAGGAAUUGACCCUGACCUUUACUUGCUGAUGAUCUUGUUCCUUACGUUUGAUACCUUCCCUUCCUUUGUAGCGGCGGUUAACUUGCCUUGUAGCAACCCUGUCCCCUGCCCUAUUUGUAGUUGCUUGCCGGGCUUUCACGCUAGAUUGAGAAUCGAAAGGAACGGGCUUUCACGCUAGAUUGAGAAUCGAAAGGAACCAGGUAUGGGAGUACUGCUCCUGUUCUUGUUCCAGCUCAUGACUCUGGUCUAGUGGUUACUUGGCUAAUAGUGUCUUGUCUAGUAUACGCUUGGCUGAGAAAGAGGAAAGGUUGUUAGUAUCAGAGUUGAGGUCAAGAGGAUUGAAAAGAGGUAAGUAAACUAUAGUAAAGGAGUGAAAGAAGAAAGAAUGGUUAAAUAGGGAUGCCCCACCCCUAGUUAAAGAGUUUGUAGAGUUAAGAAAGGAGUUAGUGUAUUUGUAGAGGUAAUAGAACAGUAGGAGUGAGUUCAAUAAGAAUCGUGGUUCUGCAAGGGGAGGUCCUGCGCUAACAGGAAGCUAGGCUAUUGUAGAAAGAUCAGAUGCUGGGGCACGAGUUCCAUUUCUUCUUUUGUUUGUGCUAACACUGGCUUUCCAGGCUUUGGAGUGCCCUGUGACAUCUCUUUCUAUACAAGGGCUCGAUGGAUUCCAUUACAGAAGCAACUACAGAAGGAAAGCUAGAAACAGAGUAGAAGAAUUAAGGUAUAUGAGCAAGAGGAUGGUUAUUGUAGCCAUGGGAGAGUUCAAAGAACCAGAGGGGAGGUAUAAUUAAUAGAGUUUAGUUACGACAACUCCGGAUGCUGUUAGAAAUACAAAUUAAUAGACUUACCACUAUACAAGCAUAGAAGACUCAAACAGUUAGAAUUGCACUCCGUAUUUACGGUCUAAGUAGACAAAAGCAUUCGACUCAUAUAAGAUGUUAGUUAGUACGUUGCCAUGAAAAAGUCCUGUGUGUUUGUUUUCGGCCCUCCCUAUCGCCAACCGUUAACUCCUUCCUUUAAGAAUAGAGUGGACUUUACUACUUACAGCAAAGCGCAUUCAAGCAGGAAUGAAGAAACCAUCCAGUAAGAAUGAAAGUAAGCCAGAUAAUCCUUCAUUUUGGUGUUCGUUCGUCUUCCAAUUCCAUUCCAUUCUGAUUUCUUGCUCUAGUGGUGGCUUGGUCAACAGUAUAUGAUUCUUUGUUCACAGAAGACAGUCAAGUUCCAACAAGACUAAGUGCGCUAACGGGAGCAGCAAGUGUUUUUUCAAGUUAAGUGUAGGUCGGGGCUUAAGUGGAAUCUGUUUGUAGGUAAAGUGUAAUCUCUUUGUGUGCGAGUUUAAGAUGAAUCCCUUAUACCUCCUAUAACAUGAGCUAGCUGCAGAUUUAAGGCAACGAGAAAUAUACACCCCUAAGAAGGAACUAAGAAAAAGGGGAUUUUCGCAGAUAGGUCGGACUGAGCUCCACAUGGAUGAGCUACUGACUCGUUGUUGCUACGACUAAUGAACUGCAAUAAGGGGCUCCUAACCUGCAGAAGGAUAAGUAGGACUCGUUUCAAUUCCAGUUUUCGGCUAAUGUGAGUUGGGGCAAUCUUCUAGUGUUGUGGUAAUUUGAUACAUUUCUAUGCGAUCUCGGUGAUGCUUAUGAUAGCUCGACGAAAGAAAGAUGACUGUUUGAUUCGGCGCAAGUGCAAUUACUGUUUAGAGAAAGAUUCCAUUGGGUACUUUUGCAGCGCUAAGUGUGUGGUCCAACUGUCGUAAAUGUAAGUGAGGAUGCUAGUGUUGUUGGUUCUGAGUGAGCUGUCCGACUUAAUCAUUCGACUCCACAAGAAGAAUCUGCCGUGAAAAAGGAAGCUGCAAGUUCCGCCUUAGCUACUUUCAUCCUUGUUGGCAGUUAACCACAGUAGGCUUACUUGGACAAUCAUUCGACUUCAACUUGAAUCCGUGUUAGCGAAGAAAAUCCAAGAGUUUUGAUCUUAACCAGCAAGCGCAUCUGCCCUGAAUGCGAGUAGAGUUCUUUAUGCUCCUUUUUUCAUGAAAGAAUGAAUCCGUGGGUUGGCAGACCGAAGAUACGACUACUACUAUUCUAGAUGUAUGUCAAUUUCAGGCCUUCCGGAAAGCUAUCAUUACCUUUGACUCGACUUCCUCUCCCAUUGCACCAUAGUGAAACCGAAGAAUGGAAGAGAGAGAGAUAGGAAUAUCAAUGAGACCUUGGAUUCGAUAAUUAGCAUUUCUCUCCAAUUUAGAUAGAGUAGGAAAGAAAAAGUCAUCAUCUAUGAAAGGACAGGCAGAAACUAUAGAUGCAUGAUAAGCCGGACCUAUGAAGCUGUCUGGCCUCGCCCGGUCUUGACUUGAUCGAGCAAAGAGGGAAUAUACUAGCAGUGGAGAAUAAAUCAAAGCCAGAAGGUCAAAAAGAAAGAUCAAAUACUAAUUCAGGAAUACACACAUCAAAAAGAGAUUAGUAAGGUUAGACAUUGGAAGGCCUCCUUUCUCCCUACCCCGAACUGCUGUAAAUAUUUGGCCUGGUCCAUUAAGAUGUUGGGCGGGGCUUUAUCGAUAUGCUGACACUGCCAUAACUCCAUUUCUCCAAGAAAACAACAUCGACCUUAGCUCCCGGUAUCCGGCUCGGUACAAGGUUGAUUUCUCAGAGUAGGAACAAAACAGGGUCUAAUCCAAACUCCAGAUUUGCCAGUUAUUAGAGUGAACCUUUUCUGUAGGCCCUAAAUUCAUAGGGGCCCGUGGCCUUUCGGGGAAAAAGAGAAAGCGGGGGGGAUAGUGAAAUUAGAACAGUCGAAUAUUGACUUAUGGGAGCUUCUAUUCCCGUGGAGAGGUAAGCAAGUAGUAUAUUCCACCUUGCUAUACCUGUUGUAUCUUCCACCUUUCUAUAUAUAUCUAUUCUUUAUCCCGGCACCUUUCCUAUAUAUAUAUAUCUAUUCUUUAUCCCGGCACCUUUCUAUAUAUAUCUAUUCUUUAUCCCGUAUUAAGACUGAAUAACCUAUUUCAAAGACUCCCGGGUACUGAAAUUAGAGAAUGCCCAGGAUUAACGCCUUUAAGUAGCAGUGUCAGAGCCUUUUUUGAAUGAUGUACGAAAGCAGUGAAUCCAAACCUAUGAGAAGAGGAUCCACUAGACGGAACCAACAUCUAAAUAAAGGAAUCUAAAAGAAAGGUAUUCCAAAGGAUAAAGGAAUAUAAAAGAAAGGUAUUCCAAAGGGCAGAAAAAAGUAUGACUAAGUAAGAAGAAAGAAUUUCCAUUUCCAUCGUGGCAAGUGGAGUUUCCUCAGCCAGCAAACUUCCUAAUCCUUUCGUAGUGGUGGGGGGAAACCAGAAUAGGAGUCGCGAAAACCUCACACGCUGUGUCAUCUGCUAAGGGAAGAGUGAGGCGUAUAUAGUCAGAAAGAACACGCCUGCUUUUUUGUUGGUUCAUAGGGUCACUCUUGCCGCUGGUGGAACUGGCCGAAUCCAAUCAAAAACCUAGGAGAAUACAAACCAAGUCACCCAUUAAUUACCGGUGUCAAUCUCUUGUUUGCUAUAAUUCCGUUCUCAUUCGAAAAUGAAAGGGGGCAAAAUCGAAAAGAGAAGAAUUCCAUAUCAAAGCCUUUAAGAACCCUAGAAACUUGUUACUUUAUCCAAAAAAGAAGCCUUAUUGAUCAUAUCCAUUAAGGGCGUAAACCCUUCGCAAACUAAGUAGGAAGUGGAAUGAAUGGUAAGGAGGCAUCUAUGUCACGAAAUAGCCCCAUGGGAAUUCCUUGUCGCUGCCAUUUCCAUAUAGUAAAGCGCCAUAGAAGAGAUUAUCUAAAACCCGGCCAGAAAGACUCCAUCUUGAGUAUAGCAUUGCAUUCAAACAAGAUCAGUCGAAAUACAAACUCCCUCCUUUCCCCCAAAAUAGUGGAGAGCUGCAAAGGUGGGUAGGGUGGUAUCAAAGCCAUUUGCAAAAGGAACUAUAACUUAUGUCGGUGAUCAUAGGUACUAAAGAAAAAUUCCAUAGUAUAAUAGAGUACGACGACCUAUAGAUAGACUCGUAAAAGGGCCGCAAGUUCCUGCAGUUAUAACAAGUUAUGACCAAGUCCCUGGGGGUGGCUUGAGAAGGAAAGGAUGGUCUCUUAGGUUGUUAACAAAGCAGCAUACAAGGAAGCAAAGAAAGAUGCACCGGUUUUUGGGGGGGUAAUAAGGAAUAUUCAUUGAAGCAGGGGAUAGUCACUUCUUAGAAAAGCAAGGUGCUUCACAAGCCUAGUUGGAAAGCUUAAUUCGAAGAUGCGUCUUUCUCGCCUUUCUGCUACCUCAGAAGAGGAAAUUCCAUGUUCCAAAUCAAGAUGAAGCAGAUCAAAGAGGGAUGCCCCAACGGAACGGAACUGGCCUUAAUCCAAUUCAUCCAUUUUGUUGCUGAAUUUGAGUCUUGCAUCUCACCACUGCCGAGCGAAGGCAAACCAUGAGCGAAGAUCCAAUUCCACUCCACUAUACCGGUGCAGCUUUAAGUUCAUUCUUCCAUACCAGAAUAACCCAGAGCCGAGAUAAUAACUUCCCGCGAGACGACGGAAAUCUUCCUUCACCCAGGGACAGGACACUACGCAAUAGUAGCAUAUCCUCUGGAAUCAGCAAGGCAUAUCCUCUGGAAUCAGCAAGGCAUCUCCUCUCUCUUUCCCACUGGCUCUUAUUGAAGGAAGCUCAGCUUACUGGGGUAUCGGUACGCUUUCCCCAGGACGGACGGGUUUCGCCCUAUGACCACCUUUGCUCACUUCCUACAAUUCAUAUGAGACUUUCCUAAUCUGAUGUCUACUUCAGUAUAAAAGACAAUAGGCCCGAUUCCUUGUUCGAUAUUCUGUUUGACUCACUAAACCGUACACCACUCUGGGAGAUGAAAUCCUCGCCGGAUUGAGAAGUACUCGCUAGCUUGCUUGUUACGACUGAACGCCAGCUUACUAUUUGGAAUUGAAACGAGCAUUUUGCUCUUUGUGUCAAUAAUGUCUUUAUAUAUGAAUUGUCAUAGAAUACGAAUAUAUCUAAUACCGUCUACAAUAUCUUGACAAGCCAAUGCUUGACUCUUAUCCGAUUUUGCCUUUUGCCCUACUCUCUUGGGGCUCCCAUAAGACUGCUAUGAUGGGGCGUAGAUACCGUAUAGCUCGCGCUUCUUUGAUUCGAUAGUUCGAUAUAGUCGGAACUCUUUGCCUCUGAGUCCAUCUUAGGUGCGGUCUAACUCCUUAAAUGGUGUAAGUGAAGUGAAGGCGGAUCGAGCUUAUACAGCAUAUACUCUUUCUUAUCUUGUCUCCACUCCUUUGGGCCAGCAGGAUAGAAUGUAAUCAAUAAGCCAGCAUAUAUCAGAGAUCCCGUCCUAACUCAUGAAUGGACUAUUUCUGUCCGACAGAUGGAACCCUCGAAAAAACCGAAAUGAGGAGUAAUUCACUGCGCGGUAGGAUACAGUUACACGAGGAUGAAUCCGACUUCAUUUUCACCGAUCAAAUGCUUUCAAACCCAUCGUUACCAAUGGGACACUUCACGCCUUCCACUAAGAAAGUCAAUCAUGUCAAUAGACCCUCAUUUCUCUUAUUGCCUCUUUCUACACUUGCUUGCAGCGGUAGGAUAUUCUAAAGAAAAGAAAAAGGCAUUUACGUAGCGUGUAAGUAAGCGGCAAUAGUGCUAGACCCUUGAAUUACAAACAAACAAGAAGGAAAAUAGUAAUGCUACGAAUAAGCGGAUAGGCCAACGGACAUACAAUGAACAGCGACUCCCUAUACGAAAACAAUUGAUUGUAACACAUCGAAGACUUAUACCACUUCGACUGCUUCCACAAAUAGAAAGCUUUAGACCAGAUAAAGGAAAGGUAUUAUGGAAAUCCGGUGCUAGUGAAUCAGAUGUUUUAAGGCCAAAGAAGGGAUAUAAAUAGCUGUUUGCAAGGGAAGUGACAUAGUUAGUGGAAAUGGAACCUCGAAUGCAAGCUCCGAGGGAGAAGACAUCAGGGAGACAGGAAGGAAGUUUCAUUGUUCUUUGUGGUAUAUAAUAUAAUAAGAUAAGAGAAAUAAUCAAUCAAGAAAUAAUCAAUCAAUAAAGAAAAGAGAAAUGGGGUUAGUGGAGAAGAACUAUAGUAAGGACGGACGGACCUGAUUAUACGAUUAUGCGCCUUCCUUCUUUGAACGGGAAGUAUUGCCCUAAGCAAACAAGGAGGCUGCCUCAUACAUCGAAGGCCCCUACCAUGUUUUAUUGAAACCUAUCUCUUGUGGUACCCGAUCUCUGCAGGUGUGUAAUGCCAGUCAAGGUUCUGGACUACCUAAGGAUUUUCUUGCCUUCAAUCAGUUUGAUAACAAUGCUCUAAAUACAGAAAUAGUAUUGGAAAUACAGAAAUAGGAUUGGGCACCCUCCUCGUUUCUAUUCUAGCGGCCUUCCUUCUCAAUGCCCAGACAGAAACCUCUGCCUCAAUCCCGGUAUCAAUGUCCUGUGCCCCAGUUGUACUAUAAAUCCAUUGCCUCCUGUCCCUUGGUUUCGGGAAAGAUGCUACUCCCUCUACCAAUAAGGAAAACAGAUUAGGUUGCUAGCUUAGAAGGGACUCGUCGGGCAGUCAGAGCGUCCUUCAUACCAGCUUUGAAUAGCGUAGUAAAGUCUCAUUUACUGUCCAAAUCAAAUCCCCUACAACUUCCUGGGGUACAUUGGAAUUCAUUGCCUUCCUUCGAUGAGGAGAAGAGAAGGGGUGAGUGAUCCGAGAGAGAAGUAAGAAGAGAUGAUGACACAGACAGAUAUCAAUAGUCUCAAUGCCAAGUUAUAUGGACCAGCGGAAAAAGCAUCUAUAGGAUAGGUCAAAGCUAAUGAGAUAGACUAAUUCGGACUUUCAAAAGGAGGAGAAGACCCUUGUAAGAUUUGUGUUCGCUUCACCUAGCGCCUAUCUCUGCUACUCUAGAAGUUCUCAUUAGGACUUGGACCACUACUUUCAGGGGAAGUCCCAGCCGUGGUAAACUCUUCACUACCUGAUCAAAGAGGCUGCAGCAUCUCUGCCAUUUCGGCCUUGGGUUCUCUAUGCUAUUCUCUCGUUUAUGGGCCUCGAGGUCUUCUUUCCGUUUUUUCUCCAUCAAACCCUUUACCUGCUAACUAAUGCAUCAAAGAAAAAGAGCCAGGCUUUCAGCACCUUACUUUUCCAAAAGACAUUCUCGCCCACUUCAAUUCCAAUUCUCAUCUUCUUCUCCGAUCGGCAUAACUCUUUUGUCGACUCUGGCCUUCCUUACUGUAGAAAGCAAAAAAGAGAGAUUAUCAAAAAGAGAGAGUUUGUAGUGAAUGCGCUUUUCUCUUACUUAACUAUCAGUGCACUAUAAUCAAUAAAGAGCAAGCUCCACCCUAAUCUGAACGAUACCGUCUAUAGGAAACUCCGGAAUAGGUCUAGUUUGCUAGCAGGGUAUGCUCUUUCUUUGUAGUAUAGUCUACCUUUUAUAGCAGGGUAUGCUCUUAGUUGUAUCAUCUCAUUGUAGUUUGCUAGCAGGGUAUGCUCUUAGUUUUCUAGUAUAAUUCACCUUAGUUAGCUGGGUCUUUUUGAGUAUCAUUGUAGUUAGUUAGCCGGGUAUGUAUGCUUUUUUGAGUAUCAUUGUGUUAGCAGGGCUUAGUUCGUUUUCGUUUCUAGUAUAAUUCACCUUAGUUAGCUGGGCGCACUAUAGUCAAGAUGCUUUAGUUUGUGCUUGGGUAAGAAUGAUUUCCUCUUAACUAGCUUCUUUAGAGCCUGGGGAGCUACGAUAUAGUGUUAUUUCUCCUAUCCUGCUUGCCCUGCUUAGUCUCCUUGCCUUUCCCUCUUAACUAGCUUCUUUAGAGCUUGGGGAGCGAUAUAGUGUCAUUUCUCCAUUGCUUAGUCUCCGGGUUUGACUUUAUCUCCUCAGUAGGCUCUGAUUCCGCUUCCGCCAGCAAAGUUUCUGCCUGCCUCACUUACCUCCAGAGGCUCAGACAAUUCGCAAGUGGGUUGGUUUGCCUUAAUCUUUCCCUUUUUUCUUAAUCAAAGCAGAGAAAGUUUCCGCAGCAGUGCGCGGGCUUACUGAAGACAUUGCAGACUUAGGGUAGGGGGUUGAGCACUCUUGCCUACAAAAUCGAAAAACAACAACUCAUUAGUUGGCCGCGGAAUAAGUGAGUUAAACAAAACAACGAAAGACCGAAAAAAGAUAUGCCCCAAGGACUGAAGUCUGGGAGGAGAAAGUGGACUCGACGAGGGCUCUGGGACGGAUUCCUUUGUCUUGCUCUUUCCUUUCUUGUAUUGGAAGGUGGGGAUUCUCUUUUUUAUUACAUCUCCUGGUGAGUUCGAUUGGCCUGAAAGCAUGGUUUGUCUUCUUCCUCUGACCACCAUGUUCGAAAUUCCGUAUCAUUCCUUGCGUAUUGGACAAGUUGUUUAAGUAUAAGCCGCUCUUUCGCUCUGGUCAAAGCAGAAUACUUUAGUAGCGCCUUUCAGUCUAUGCUUUUUCUCUAUAGGUUAUGACUGCUUCUCACUGCUUCCCCUCUCCUUUUCCUUUCCAAACAAAAGAAUAAGCAAUCCCCUCAUUGCAUACAUAGAUGCUUCCCUAUGAACUUACCUUCCUCCCACAGAACUUAAACAAAGAGAGAGUGUAGUAAGUGAAUUCGCUUGGACUAUGCUAUAAUAGUCAUAGAAUCAAUUAGCCACUAAAGACACUUUUCAUGAUGGUCAGUCUAUUUCAGGAGGGGUCUUUUAUAGAUGAUGGUCAAAGCCGUUUCUGUUUACUAUACUUGGGCAUAGAAUGGGUUUCCUACUCCUUAUUUCAGCUAUCAGGAAGGAAAGGUAUGGUUAUGUCCUAAUCAAGCAAGAAAAGAGCACAGCGCGACAUGCACAGCGCAUGAUAGCAAGAGAGAUAUGGUGCGGAGUGGAGAUGUGGAUUCUCCGAGAAGCUUCACUUGUGGAGUGAGACCGAUCUUCUCUGAGCAGAAGCCUACCCUACCCAACGGAAGAGCUCCCACCACCCUUGAUCGAGAGUGAGCCUGUUUCAGUAAGGCCUGUUGUCCUGUACCUGGGCGAAGGAAGUCAAAAACCAUUCUUACUGCAAUCGAUACCGAAUCCACAUUUGAUUAGUUGCCCGCUUCUCUCUCUCGUUGUUUCGCGCCUUUCUUUACUCUACAGAACUUCCAGCGCCUUUCCAUUUCUCUUUUGUUAGGCAGACAGACCAGACCGAUUGCGGUCAAGAUGGGUAAUGGCCCCGCGAAGUAUUAUGAGACGAAGCUAAGGGGCGGGAAUCCAUUUCUGAUAAUUACACUUGGCCGAUCCAUUGGCGGGGAAAUCGCUGGUUAUAGUAAGUUGGAGCAGUAGAAAAAGUAGAGCUCGGUUGCUUGUCGGGCUGGAAACAAUAUAAGAUAUAAGACUCGCUGAUGCUAAGGAAAGGAACGAAAACAGGUGGACGAACACAGUUGAAGCUCCUUUCUUCGCAUUACCAAGUCCUGUUUUGGGGAGUUCUUCCAUUGGCUAUCCAAAAUCCCGGACUUUCAAAAGAGAUCAUACUAAAGGACGGCAGCGUUAAGAAAGAGACCGAUUGAACAGGCGUAUCUAUUUGAACUAGUUGAAGCGGUAGUCCCCGAUGUGUAAGGUCUCGCCUCAAUCUUUUUGUUGGGAAGGCAGGAGCGAGUAAAGUCCAUUCAAGACGGAAUUGAUCUAUUAGGGAGAAUUUGUCUAUUAGGGAGGUUUCCUUUCGUAUCAAGAGUUUUGGAGGCCAGGGAAGACAGACAGAUUGGAUCGAGAGGCGAUGCCUAUGCCUCUUCUUUCUUUAUCGAGAGGAUUCCCAUCACAUCAUUUGAAGUCUCUGGCGAAGGAGACAAGGGCGAGGCACCGAACAUGUUCUAUCCUAAACCUGCAUCCGUCAUUUGUAAGAGAAAUCCGCUUUUCCUAUUCACUAGUACACUGCGCGCUAAAACAAGCAGCCCCUUGUCUCGUAAGGGAAAACGCUAGGCUGUUUUUCAGAAGGCUUCUUCAAAUAUCCUAUUUAUAAUCAAAUUAGUGAAACUGUUUCCAAUAAAAUGAGUGAAACUGCCCUUAUUGAUGCUAUUCUGAAUUUGGCCCAUUUGUGUUUGGUCCUUACUUAAGGCUCAUGUGGAACCCGGCAGCUAUAGGUCGCAUUAUGAUUGGAAGUAAAGGGCUCCGAGACUUCGACUUCGCAUAGUGAGGAAACGGGAGCGUGCAGACAGAAAGCAAGAUAUAGUAAGCACUCAAGGGGGCAGGAAUAGGAUAGGUUAGUUUAGAAAUCCUAUGAAAUCCUAUAAGGCAGGGGAAGAAGAAAGGGUUAUCGCUCAAUCCGAUCUUUAGUCAGUGCCAAGACCCUUCUUUAUUAUAGAAGUAAGAUAUAAGUAAGAUAGAAGGAAGUAAGAUAGAAGGAAGAGCAAUUAGUUCAAUUCGAUACAUUCCAUUUCCUUCAGAAAGCUGCAGAACGAAGAUGGUGAAUAUAGUAGGCUUGGGCUCCUCUCUUGCUCUUUGAACUCUGGCUCCUUUGCUUGUCUCUGACUUAACGGAAAGAUACUCCAGUACGGAUGUGUUUGCUGUACGACGAAAACGGAAGAGGUCACAAUGCGCUUAUAUCAUAUGUGGUUCCUUAACCGCAGCACCUAUUUCUGAUUCUAGAUGUGUAACGCUCCAUCGUCCAGGGCCACUCUCCUUGCUUUCUCUCAUGAAUGGAAUCUAUCUAGCUUAUGAUACAACUAGGUUAAAGAAUAUCUAUUGCUCUAUCUUGCACAAGGUAUAGAGUGGAAAGUCAAGUGGAACAGGGCGAACAGAAAUAUACCCCACUUCAGCAGAAAUAUACCCCACUUCAGUGAGUGCGCUUGCUGCUGACUUAUCACUUACUGCUGACUUGGCUUUCAACCUAACUGCUUAGCUUACUCCUUACCCCAAAGCUUACUAAUGCUAGACGGCGCUGCAUUCAAAUAAUGAGAAAUUCGAACUGAACGUCUUGCACCUGCUCUGCUCCUGCUGAAGCUUUAGCAUAUUCUUCUAUAUAGACAUGAAAGUGAAAGUUCUCAUACCCACUACGCGAGGAUAGUUUGUUUGUCCGGAAGGGAUGCUUUGUAUUUAAACUCAUCUAUACCCAAAGCUCACUAACGCUAGAUAAUUAGGACUUUAUCUCGGGUUGCAUUAUAACUCGUACUAACGCACUUAGUGUUGCUUCUAGCUCCUGCCGCGUCAGUGAGUUCUUCCUUUGCUUCUAGCUCCUGCCGCGUCAGUGAGUUCUUCCUUACCUCUCUACUUUCUUCAAUUGAUUGAUUACUUGUAUCUUAAAGCUACUUAUCCCUUCCCUUUGGUGACUUUUCAUCUAUUAACCCUAGCCCUUGUGUUAUUAUGAUUAUUCCUACUCAGUAACUCCCUAUAUAUCUAUGUAUUAGAAUCAAUAUCCGGAUCAAAAGCGGGGCGAGGAAAGCUGUCUGCAGUGCCAAAGUUAGCAGAAGAAUUACCUGUUUCGUGUUCUUGUUUUGUCAAUGAGAGAAGAAAGUUGAGGAUAUGAAGCAAAAGAUUCAGCAAUAUCUUGACUUUUGUAAGGCUUUCGCCGGCUUUAUCUAACAUAGCCUAAACUCAGCCUCUGUGCUUCCUCAUCAUAGCACUCCUAUUUCUGACGAGCAAAUAGCACUCCGUAACUCCAAUGUGGUAUGCUCUAUUCCCUUGCGCAACAUCUUGGUUCAUUGAAAUUGCACUCUCGGAUCGAGCUCAAUCCUAUGAUUCUUUACCUGCUUAAUGAAACACCGGAUUUAGAGUCGUUUAAGCCACUGGAAACUCAAAUGAUAGCUAAUCAUAUCUGUAACCAACCCUUACUUUCGCACUCUUCUUUCAGUGCAUCAUUGAAUCCAUCUCUUGUGCCUGGCAUAGAAAAAGUCAAUACCGGCCUAGCCCUGCCCCUUCUUGCAACUUCUUCUUUUCUUGUCGAUGAAACUAUCACUCCAGCUCUCCCACUGUUAGCCUUUUUCCUUCCCAAAUAGGGUAUACGCUAGUGUUUUAAGAUAUCCUUUUAAAGGGUAGGAGGCUGGGUAAGCUGCCUGGAAAUGAAUGUAUCCCAACGACUGGAAGGGAAAAGUUGGCCAAGACGAAUUCAUUGGAUUAGCAAUAAUAAAGAGGAUCAAUAAAUCCAAUUCCUGACUCCAAGGCGGAAAUCAAGAUAAAGAAUAGAACGAUUGGCCCCAACAUUGCUAUAGUUUACUCUUUGACACCGAAAAGGCUUUCACGUGAGCAAUUGUUAUAAGUAAGAUAGUAUAAGUAAGAGAGAGAUGGGCAUUCCUACCUUUGGAUUCUUUGCAUUCUGUUUAGUCAUUCUGUAUGUCAUAAGUGUUUUUCUCUCUAUGGGAAUGGGGUUCCAAGCCUUCCAUGUAGGCUAUUACCUAUGUUCGUGAAUCCCUAAUCUGUCUAGCACGUAAUCCGAAUUUGACGUCUAGGAUAACAAGUGUAUGAGCUUAGAGGUCUCUCGCAAUUUCUUUCUAAGUGGAGUAUUCGGCUAAGGGUUAAUGCUAAAGUGCUUGUGUAAUGAUUUCAGUAUCGGUUAAGCCUUUCUAUUAUCUGUUUCAAGCUUUGGAUUUCGGUUCGCAUCGAGGAAAUGGGGAUGCUGGUUAAUCACUCCCCUGUGGCUUAGUCGACUAAGGUUCCAUCCUAUCUUUCUGUUGGUGCAGUUGCUCACGGGCCUCUUUCAGUAAGGUAGGUUAUUAGGUCUGUCCUUAAGUCUUGUAUUGGUUCUAAGUCUGCUAGUGGUGCUGCCAGCCUAGGCGAGUCCUUCUUUUGGUACUGUGUUCAUAGUCCAACCCCCAAAAUCUACUUAAGGCCUAUUAAGACUGAUGAGUAAAAGCCGAUCUACUCGCCCUUACUUCCAGCUCCAGAGUAAAAGCACAGAUGCUUUGCCUUGCCAUUCAAGUAAGCCAGUGAGUCGGUCCAUUCGCUAUGCCAUCCUAAGUCUAUAAGUCGUCUCAGGCUUGUGGUUACUCUCUUCAUUUCCAUUGCUUUUAUUAGCCAUCAGCCUUUAAUUAGAAUCGGUCUUUGAUGGUCGCGGUGUAAUACAAACGUAUAUUUGCUCUUGCAUUUAUUGUCUUAUUAUUAGUAGACGGUGGUGCAAAAUGUCGGGACUCUUGCAGAUGGUAAUGUUCUUCCUUUUUGACCCAUGCUUUGGUUGAGUUUAGGAGCAAAACCUUGUGCAUAAACAAAACCCCUAGUAAAUACUGAUCAUUGGCUUUAACGGAAUUAGACUAGAAAGUAAUUGGCUUUAACGGAAUUAUACUAGAAAGGGCAAAGGAAAACCGCAUUUGAGGAAUCAGACGGAUCCCUACUAUACUGGCUUGUUACUAUAGCGAGAAACUGGGAUUACUGCAACAGCAAAAAAGCACACUCUCACCAGCGAGUCCAUUUUAUCCAACAAAAAAAAGUGUGGAAAUAGGUGCCUGGGCAAAUAACCUUCUUUCAGCGAGCAACUUGUUCCGCAAAUAACCUUCUUUCAGCGAGCAACUUGUUCCAUUUAGAAGUUUCUCCUUAUGUUUGAAAGCGUGACAGAAGAAAGUUAUCAACAAGGGGAACCCCACUUCGACUCACCAAGUAGAAGGCUUUUGAUAUUGAUUGUUUGAUAUUGUUUCUUCUUAAGUUAUAUAGAUCAAUGUUUGGACUGUGUUUGCCUAGGGAAAACAUUUGCCGAUGUUUUGUAUUACCUACACUAGUGACUUUCUCGCCUUAGGCUUAGCCACUCGGAGCUCAUAGGGAGAUAACUUAUAGAAAUGAGAUUUACAAGAACCACUAAGUCCUCACUGUUCAAUACAAAGCUCUUGAGUCUUGGAUUUGAUUAUACCAUUCUAUUCCAUUUUGUUUGGCCAUUCUAUUCCAUUUUGGUAGUUCAAUCGCUAUAUUUCUUUAUUUAUUGAUUUAUUGAAUAUGAGUGUGCGGCUUGUUAUAAUGGAUCCUAUUGAUAGUACAGAGAAUGGGUCUGGCAUCUUUAUAGAGAUGGGUUUUUUCUUCGUAUGAUAUUGAUUCUAGUAUCUGGAGGCGUGGAAAUGAAAUGGAUUAAUAGUAAGGUGUGGCCAGACCACUGUGCAAAUAUAACGCUCGCGUCCGCGUGGAGAUGGAUCUCGCCUAGGCCAAAUAAGAUCUGGUUAGGAAUGGGUUAAGGAGUCAAAUGGCAUCCAAUAAUCGUAGAGAACAAACUAGUUCCUCAGUUCCCACUGCAUGCUUCGAGGCCACGACAAUUCCGGAGCACCCAGAGGAAGAAGAAAGAACAUUACAUGCUGCGAGGCAUCGCUGAUAACAUCGCGUACUGUUGCCUAGGAGAAACCCUUUAUAAGGCUAGCCAAGCUAAUAGACAAGUCAAUACUAAUCUAAUAGAAAGUCAGCAGCAAGCGGGCUAGUUCCAGAAGUGGAUUCUUAUGUGAGUGAUUUCGGUCAUAUCGGUAAUAACCAUACUUUCUCACUGGAACUGGAAAAAGCCAUCGACAUUCUUUUGGUCAACCCAUUUCUUCCCAAUGAUCUUCCCUUUCAGUUAGGCGCUUACAUCAAUAAGCCGAAACUAAGCCCAGAGCUUUUCCAGAAUUCUUGGAAGAAAGUUGCUUCAGUCGGUGACUCUAUGCCCUACGCUUCGACUUCCAAUGUUCGGUUGUGAAACCACAUGGCUUUGCAGAUUGAGCAGCAUUGAGAGAUUCCGUUUCUAGAGUCUAUCUCUAACUUCACCUUGCAGUAGGAUUUCCUUCGAAUACUUGUCAGCCACAAUGAUAAGAAGAAAAUAAAGCAGAGAGAAAUUAGGUGAUCUAGAAGAAAAUGAAGCUAUUAGAUUUGGUUGUCUUUGGUAAGUUUCGAAAUACUCAAUACAUUUUUGGUAAUGUAAGGUAAAUGCAGGAUUUGAUUAAGUAAGUUAGCGUAUGAGUAUUACUAAGAAAGUCUCCUAUGUGCUUAAUAUGCAAAUGAGCACCAUUGUUAAAUGUUACGGAUUUGUUACCUCGAUAAUAAGAAGCAAUGGAGAGAUUGGACAGGUCUGAGUCACAUGAUUUGUGGCUCCACUGUCCACAUACCAGGCAGGAUCUUGCACUACUUCUGGAGUGGCGAUGUGAGCGGAUGUUGCUUGACCAAUCAAAUGGGUAUUAAAGGAAGUCUCACUCAAACCACUAAAGGUUCAUGUGCGUUCCUGCUUGAUUCAAAUGCUCUUUUUAGGUGUGGAAGAACGAACCACUUCUGGACUGAUUGAACUAGUGACAAAAAUGGCUUUAUCCUUGACCUGCAUUGUGAUUUGGUACAUUGUGAUUCCCAGCUGCUCCUGUGUAAGUCUCAUCAAAACGAUACCAACACUAGUUAACAGUGUGUGUGUGACCGGCCACAAUGACUUGGUGUUCCAAUUAUGACUCCUUCCUCUUCCCUUUUCCAUGAGAAUUGACUCCUCCGAAGUUCUAGUUCUCAUUUCCACAGUGGUUUUUGUUAAGCAAAUUGUGCCAAUGGAGCAUUAGCUAAUUGAACUUUGGGUAUAUUAAGUUAGGAAUUAUCACUAAGUUGCUCAAUUCUCUGUUCAUGAACCAUUAACAUGUAUUGAGCUUCUUCAACUGAGACCUCCUGAGUGCUAUGUUGAAUUAACACGAAAACUGGGGCAUACUCAUGACCCACACCUAUAAAAGGGAAUGAAUAUUGUUGAUCUAAUUUAUACACUUACAAGCGGAGGGAACCCAACCCCGGAUCCAGUUUAGGCGGAGGAAGAGGACUCCGGCGAGCUUCCUCGAUAAAGAAAGUCAAGCUGGUAGUCGCCGAAAGUCAAGCUGGUAGUAUAACCCAUGGCAGUAUUGUUUGCGGGUGUACGAUCUAAUCCUAAUCCUAUACCAGCAGGAGGUUCGACUUCCUUCUCCUCAUCGCUGUGGGCCUCACCUUUUGAAAGGCAACAUUCGAUUCUUACAACGGAUAAAGCAACUCUUACCUUUAUGCAGGAAUCGACCAAAGAGAGAAAAAGAAUAUACUAAAGCAUGAUCUCUAGACUUCCCCCAGACCCUCUGUCCGGCCUAGCGACCGUAUCUAAGCUUGGAGCUCCUGUCUCCUCAUUUAGAGAGCUUACUUAUGGACCUCAUCCAAUUGGUUUGAUUUCCAUUCGGUCAGCUGCCCCUCAUCUAUUAGUGCAUCGCCAAACUAUAGUAAUGGGCCUUAUUAGGUGGUCCGUCGGUGCGUUCAUUCCGAAUUUCUUUGUACCGCCCAGAAGAGCACGAGAGAAAAGCAGAUCCAAUACCAAGACGACUUCUUUUCUCCGGAAGUGCAGGAGCUGUGUACGGGUUUCAAAGAGCCGAAGCCCCUUUAGCUUUCCCUUAGACUAGUUCCUAUUCCCAUGAGAAGGAGGACACACAAGAGAAGUGGUUUUUCUACGAUCCGCUUGCUUGAUUGAGUACCUGACUUUCAAACAAAUCGUCUUGAACUGAGUACCGAAACUCGCCUACCGUCCCAACACAAGGCAAACCUUUCAUUCAUCGGGCUUUGAUUCAUGAAGGCAAGCUAGUGCGAUAUAUAGAUGGAUUUACUCAGGUAAGCUUAUAUGGAAUAGCAACAUUCAUUGGUCGAUAGAUAUGGAUUGAGUGCCACCUCACUACGUGGUAUAUCAUCUUUUUGAUUUUAGAUCACCUAUUACAUGACAAGGAAAGCUAUCUGAGAGUGAAAGCCCAAACGGAUCUCUUUUCACGGUUCAGGCGAACUUCUUUCAAGGUAGCUUCCCCCAGGGAAUGAAUUGACAAAUAAAGCUUCUGAUUCAAAAACGGAGAAAUGCAAGUUCAAUGUUCUUCUGGUACAAAUAAUUGGAGCCUGGGUUUGGUUCAAGAAGUGGUAGCGCUGGGGUUUUGGGUGUAAUGAAAGAAGUCGCUUGGGCAAAUUCGAUAAUGAAUUCCUCGCCUCGGGCUAACCUAACUCAUUGUAGCGUAGGUGUAGUGGAGACUAGUAGUAAUGACCAAAGUGACGGGAGGAGGCUAAGAGUGGAGUCGGGAGCUAAGAGUAAUGACGCAAGUGAAAGGAAGAGCCUAUGCAUACUUUUGACUAUUCCGCGAAGGCAAUAAACUGCUACUGGCAUCGAUCGACCGGCAUGAAGACACUUAACUUGGGGCAACUCCAGCCAAUGCCCCGCCUCAUAAGGUUACAGCCAGGGAAAAGGUUGCAAAGGAAGAACUCUUGCCAACCCUUUGACUUUUGGAUCGAAUGUCUGCUAAAAGUUAUUAUAUCACUUUUUCCCACUGGGGUCUCACGUGUGGCAGCUGUUGGAAGAAACUCCGAAUCCUCUAUCGAAGCUCCAAGGUAUUCCCUAUAUUUAGUAUUCCCCUGCCUAAAAGAAAUAGUAAGUAGGGUUACAAUAAAGAAAAAGCAUAUAUCAAAUAUCAAGUACGAGACUGGUCCGUCUGGAGGACGAGCUCCUAGGACUCGAGCAAGAGAAGAUCAAGCAGAGGGCCUUAUAGUGUGCCUAUCUAUAAGUAGUUUCCAGGUUCCUAGACCCCGGCCGAUUGUGUUACUGCUUUUGUUCCCCCCAAAAGAAGAAUGGAUUUCCACAAAGAGGUUGACAUUUGUAGCAGUACAAUAAGGGAUCUAUGCCCUCGGUAACCAUCAAGAGCACGACCCGCGGCCCCUCUUCUGACUUGACUUGAACUAGUUGUGUCGUGUGCUGUUCCCCUCUGAGCCAAGAUGAGCUACGGCUUGACAGUUUAUCGAGCGCCUGUACUGUACCAGGCCUUUCCUUAUGGUAGUGUGCCUCUAUAUUUGUUUUGAGUUUCCCGCUUUCCAUAAGAAGUCGCUAUUGUUCCUAAAGGCAAGAGUCGGGUCCAGCUCUGUUCCCUACAAAUAGCUUAGUCAGAAAAGCUGCAUCCCUUCUCACUCGUAGGGUAGCUCUUUUCCCUCGGUGAGUCGCUUCCCGUCCUUGCUUGUCUGGUACUUUCAUAAUGGGUCUUUCGCUCUCUCUUUCGUUUAGUGUGAAAUCCGGAUCCCAGCUUACCCCAGAAGAAAAACCUUCCUUCGAGUCUGUUCUUGUUCUAAGGGCAUGGCUCUCCCACAUCUUAUUAAAAAACGUAUUUAGUAUAGGAAGUAAGUCGUGAAUCUCGGUCGAACUUCGGUACCUUAGCCCGGUCAACAGCCUAGUUUCCUAGACCUCCUUCUAUCCCGAUAUUGAGGCAAGCCCGGUACCCCUUAUUGUGUUACUGAUUCCGUUGCCCAAGAACAAUCAAACAGUUCGUAGCUCUAAGUGAUCGGCAGUUAGGACGAUAGAGAGUGCUCUAGCCCGGUCCCGUCCUUGCGUCCUUGUAUUCCGAUUGUUCUUACCGAGUGGGGGCGAAUAUCAAGUCUUUCGUUCCGGGGUUAGGCGCAGCAUUCCCUUCCUCCGUUGCCUCUGAGUUUAAUAAGGAUAGAAGCUUUCCCGGCCCUUCUAUUAGGCAUUAUUUGAGCUAUAUGCUAUUAUUCCUCUGAUAGUAGCUAGAGAUUCUGAUAGUAGCUAGAGAUCUAGUAUCAUACCAUUUUCCAAAGAAAGAUAGAUAGUAUGCUAAUAUGGUAUGCUCUUCAAAGAUAGAUAGUAUGCUAAUAUGGUAUGCUCUUCUAGGGAUGGAGCACUCUGUAAGAAGGUCUAAGCUUGAGUCUGCCUUUUCUAUAGCAAUAGUAGCUAGAUGGGAAUGUCGCCUAGCAGCUAGUAGCUCUCUCUUCUUAUAGCUCGGUAGUUUGAUGUUUCCAAAAUCCUUUAUGGUUAGAGCAAGCUAGGCCAGGCCAAGUAACGUAUACAAACACAUAGCAAGUAGGCGCCAAGUCCUAAAACCUUUGAGUUCACCCCUGCCCCUGGUUCUAGUUUCAUCCAACAAGCUACUACUCAUGAUGCGCGUUAGUCCGGCCGAGUGGAAUCGUAAAGAUCAGCUCUUUCUGGUCGCCUAGUUGCUUGUCUGGUAAUAACUCUUGUCUUAGUUGGCUACUCUCAAUCUGGCGCAGGAGAAUAAGAAGGAUGAGAAGCAUGGUUGGUGUCAAAGUGGUCAGCAGCAAGUAAUAAGUCAUCAGCAAGACGUUAUGCUCUGUUCUUGUCGAGUGAGGGGCAGACUCCGGUUGUGCGCCAGUGAGUUUAUUGAGUUUUGUAUAUCUAUCUAAUUGGGUAGUAAUUCUUUAAUCAGAGUCUUAAGUGUUAACGGUUCAAUUCAAAAGGGUAUCUCGCUUACCGGAGCCCUUAUUGGGUGACUCGAUCCAUUGUUUGUUGCUUUCGCUUACUCUUUCUUUGCUUGUUCUGUUGUUUGACCCUUCUCCGCGUUUCAAUUGAAUCGUGAAGAUCAGCUCUUUCAGUUCUUGUUAAAUCGAUGAGAUCAGUAACUUAAUCUGGAUCCUAAGCGGGAUUCGAAGCUUCAUCUCCUCUUUCUCAUGCCCACUGAGCAGUAAAGACCUGGAACUCGUAUUUUCCAGAAAGGAAAGGAUGCUUUUGGGCGAGAUCCACUAUACCCUUAGAACUUUAUACUUAAGCGAUGCAGAGCUUCUCAAUCAAUCUUCUUUUAAAGACACUGUAUUGCUUUAAUCAAAGAUGCAAAUGCUAUAAUAAGGUAUAAAACAAGGUAAUAAGAGUAAGAGAAAGAUUCAAUAAAAGGUUGACUCGAAGCAAGAAAGAUGGCCUAAGGGUUCCGCGGAAGCAACAGUUUAUUGCUUUCAUUUUAGUGUACCCUGGCUUAUUAAACAAAAGAAAGACUUGGGUCUCCAUUUAUGUCCUAAAGAAAGGCUCCGGUCUAUGUUUCUGUCCUAUACUCAAAAGAGAAAGGGCUAAGGUAGGUCUACGUUAAGGGAGUUCAGGUGCUUUACUUUUUCCACCUCUCUUGCAUUAACCAUAAGUAUAACUGUGUUUAGUAGCCUCAUAAAAGAAUUUCCAUAUUACUGAUGCACCACCCUCUAGAAAAGAAUGUUGAAUCGAACCUCUUCUCUAUUGCCCAGCCCACGUUGCGGUUAAGUAGAAAGUCAGUAAAGUAGCGAAAGGAAGCAGCAAUCUAGGGUACUGUUUCUUUAGUUGCCAGCUGCCAGUGGAAUACCUUGUGGAAUCUGCUUUCUAGUUAGGAGUUAAGGUAUUAAAUGAAAUACAUGAGUUAGGAGUUCAAUAUGAGUUAUCGGAGUUAUAAUACCAAUAAAGCAAUCCGGAGUUAUGAGUUAGGAGUUAUUAGUUAUAUAUCCAAUCUGGUAUGGUACCUGAGUUAGGAGUGAAAUGAAAUACCGGAUCCUGAGACUUAUGGCCUUGUUGGUUGUUUAGUCUGGCCUUUGGAGUUAUGAGUUUAACAAGUAACAACUACUAACUGGCAAGGAAGCACUAACAGAGCUGAGUUGAGUCAAAAGAGCAUAAGUGGAAAGUGAGAAUGUGCCCCAGGAGUGAAAGAAUGCAACCACUAUAACUCAGACUGGAGUAAUUGUGGAGGGAAUCAGAGUGAAACCAGUAAGUGGAAGCCUUAAAGCCAGGGCAGUGAGAAAGUAUGGUUAUGAGAUGUAGGCUUGGUAAGCUAUGUUGGUAAGCUAUGAAAUUGUAGUUGAUAGUUUCUAGUGGAAUGAUUUGCCUGUAGGUGAGAGUAGCUAUAUUCAUUCUUUGCCAGUAGUCUCGAGUAGAUAUUGGAAUUCUGACAAUUGAGCACCCGGCUUGUUCUCUUGUUCCUUACGUUUGAUACCUUCCCUGCCUUAGUAGUAGCUUGGCUGUAGCCAGAGUCAUAACAGUCUUAGUUUACAGAGCCCAUAGCCAUAACAGUAGUAGUUAACAGAGGUGGAUGAGCAAGAGGGUAAAUCUUAUAGGAUAAAAGGAACUAGAACAGCCGAUAGCUAUCUGAAUGUGGAAUUUCCCAUAAAACGGGCACAGAUGAGCGGCCCUGCCGCGACACCGAACACAGGACUUAUUCUUAACUGGCUAUAACUACUUAUUUGUCCUACUGCCGCACAACGGCGUAGCCGUUGCUUGCCUAUCCGUGUCUUGGCUGUUAUAGUGCAUUUGAGCCUAACAUCUUUAGGGUUCCCUUGGGGCAGUUACCUCCUAUGUUCCAGUUCAUAAGUCAAGAGUGAGAGUUAGCUCGGGUCGGGGUGUCAUGUAAUAGAUGUGGGUGCCUCGACUAGUAGGCACGUUUCUCCAUAACUAAGACUUCAAUUUGUUAGUUUACUUAGGUAGAUUAGAGCCCAGUUCCUGUUCGAGUCAGCGGUAAGAAAGGUCAGAAUGCAACUAAGAGGUAAGCUAGUAGUGUCGUAAGGAAGUCAAGAAUUGCUAUUCCAAAUCCCGGUACACGAUGGUGAUGGUGAAUUAUCCCCGUUAUUACAAUAGAUGUCUUCGUACCAAUCUCAUACUUACUAUUCAUAUCCUGCAAUCCCAGCUUCAUGUUUAGAGUGACGAGUUUCAUUACUGGUUGUGAGCUUGGUUCUCAUUAGUUCAGUACCGAGUUCGAUCCCUUGUCUCGAGUUAUCAUCCGCGGGGCACUUGUUCACUCUUUCCUGUAGUCAUUCCGGCCUUGGCGGCAACUGUUCUAUUCGCAUCAGCAAAGGAAUCAGAUUGAGCUCCCACUGUAUAAGACCAAGGAGCGGGCGGAGCAAAGUAAGGCUUAUACACAUUAGUCAAAGAACAAAGGGCGUUGGCUCAAGAAUGCACCCCGGGAGCAGGUAUUAAGGCUGGCAGGCAGUGGUUCUAUUCUAAUAGUGAAAAGACAGGGUCUUGUUACCGGUAGCUCAAUUCCCUUUUCCAGUUCUCGUAUUAGAAGCUGUGGUUCGAGCCUUUGAGUUGCUAGUUUAGUCCAUUAGAUAGUAGUCCAAAUCCUAUUAGUUUAGGCGCGGUUCUCUUCUUUACUACUGUAUGGAAUUCUCUAGUAAUGUUUUCAUUAACCUCCUCCCCACAAUGCGAGUCUUAUAGAGUUCAUAGCAUCUACGAAUGAAAGAAGGUAGUUGGAGGGGAAAAGCUCAUAAGAUAAGCAAGAAAGCAAGUAAGGAGCAAGAGACGGCGAGGCGAACUACAGAAUUUCGUUCUUUAGUUUUCGAACUAAGCUAAGGAGUGGUAGAGACUAAUUGGAUUUCCUAGUUCCCUGUUCGAUUCUUGUCCUCACUAGCUCAAUUCCUAGUUCUGAUCUUAUAUAGUUAGUCAGGGUUCGCUCCUAAGGUUUUAUACCUGAGUUGUCGAUCCUAAGGUCUUAUACCUAUAUGUAGGGGUUUCAGUCUGAGAAGAGGCAGUUCUACUCUCGGAAGCAGUAAUUUCCAUUAGUAUGAGUUUACUUCGAAGGGAUCUUGACUUUCCCAUUUCAUCCUUACUUCUUUGUUUAAUGCCGGGUGUGCUACAUUAUACCUAUUAGUUUCUUUCUUCUUUUCUUGAUUCUUGUAUUUGGCAUCUUGGUUCUAUCUCCAUAGGCGCCAGGGAUCAUACCUAUGAAUUACAUUCCCUAUUAUAAGAUAAAGUAUUAGUAGGCACUGGUUGAACCUCAAAGCAAUAUGAAAAUAAGGGUAGGCGAGGUCCGUUUUGAACCCCGACCGAUCAGUAGAAAAAGAAUGAGUUUAAGCUGAGGGUUGGCUAAUGACAAGUCGGUACUAGUAGAAUUCAUGUGUUAGAGCUAUAGCCUUGUCAGUUGCUGUUCGAGUAGCGGUAUAGUGGUAGUUCAAUGCAUUGGGGCAGCGUUCCAUUAUCACUUUCUAGUUGAGUUUUGUACGAUGUACUUCACAUUCUAAUAUAAGUCAACUGAAUGCUUAAUUGAAUAAUGAAAUAAGUAAGGCAAAAUGAGAGGUAUGCUAAGAGAGGGAAGUUGGGAGUGCCAGGGCGAGUGAGGCUCCGGAUCAUUGGUUAAAGAAAGAAAAGCACCAGUGGAGUUCCCAUCAGUGGUAGGCUCUCAGCACCUUGUGAAUUCCUAGUUGGCAGCUCGAUUCCUGUUAUCACUAGGGUCGUUCGAAGUUUUUCAUUGCAUUCCCGAGCUCAAUUCGGAUUUCUAUAGUAGUGAAAGCCCCGUGUUAGCUAGGUAAUAGGUAAAGCCCUGCUAGCAGUGAUUCAAUUGCUUCUGUAGGUCUUCUCGGUGCUAGUUGGAAUCCCCCUUUCGAGUUAUCGUAUGAGAAGCACCGGUUGCUAUCUUGCUUGUAGUAAUGAAAGGCUAAGCCCCCAGUUAGAUUCUUGUAGUUAAUAGCUAAAGCACUAGUUGUUAAUUCCAUUCUAUUAGCCGUAGGUGUUUUGGUUCCCGGUUAGUGAGAAGGUAGUCCUGUUUGGUUUACAUUAGUGAGAGUGUCAAAGCGAGUGCAGUAAGCCCAAUAGCAGGUCAGUCAAGUCAGAAUGAAAGUGAGUCGCGGCAUACUUCUAUAGAGUAGAUAUGGAAAUGAAAGCAAGGAAAGCAAGGGUCUAUGUAAUUGAGGUAAUUGACGGGUGCCCCAGCAGUUACAGGAUUCCAAUUAGUAAAGGUGAGGCUCGUAGGUAAAGGCAAAGAUAAAGAUCCAAUGUCAGUAGGGAAAGAAUUAGUUCGAUCCUAGAGUCUUGUUGUCUGUCGGGUAUUCUUUUCUUUGUGUUAGGGUUUGAUUGUUGGGAGCCUUAGUUUGAUUCCUUGUAUUGGUAUGAAAUCUAUAAGCAUAGUAGUCGAUUCCCGUAUCCGGGGGGAGUCAUUUCUUUAUUCUAAUUAAAGGUGUAUUAGAAGCGCUCAUUACAGAAUUCAAGCAAGGUAGUAAGUCUGAUGGACCAGAGGGCUAGAUGUGAAAGGAUCCGAAUAAGUAGUACAAGAAUACGGAAGAUGUGUGGGCAUCGUUAGGCUAAUAGUCAGCUGCUCCAGUCUUUUUGCCUAUAGUUGGAUCCCCGCUAGUGAGAUAAGUCUUGGCGUCGAGUAGUUACUCGUCCGGAACUAACACUUGACAUCCACCAAUAGAAUUCAAUUCAUAACACGGACAUAGAAACCUUGCUUUAGCUCUUCCGCUACAUUCAACAUUACUUGUAUUUACUUCUAAUAACCAAUUACUUUGCUGCUAUUUCGUUCACUUAUAUUAGAAUGUGCUAUUUCGCUCACUUAUAUUAGAAGAUGUUUUCAUACUUGCGGGUCAAUAGCUACAGGCCUAAACUCAAAAUGAAGGCUUCGACUACUGCUAGCAAGGCCCCAACUCGACAUAAGGAAUAACCCCAAGAACACAGGCUAAACCUAGUGCUUUAAGGCUUAACUACCAACUAUCAGAAUUGGGUGGGCCUAGUGCCUCUCAUGCUAAAACAAGGUACCAGGGAAUCCAAACACUGGACUCGUUCUUACCCGGCUUCUUAUCCCCAAAGCGGGACUCGUUCUUACCAGGCAGGUUCUCUCUCGCUCGUAGACUUUCCUCUCCCUUUGUCGGCUUAACCGAGUAGUUAAUGGCUUAGCGUAGUUAAUGGCUUAACCGAGUUGUGGUUUCAAUCCGAUCCGGGUUGGUGCUUGCUUGAUGUUAAGGGUCGUGGUUAGGAUGCAGGCGAAAGACAUCGUGUGUCAGCAUCAGUUCAAUCUCAUUCAGUACUAACGGGGGAGUUGCCACAUUCCAUUCUUAACAUGGAGGAGAGUUCGUCAAAAUCCAAUCAAGUUGUGUCUUUACUUUGAUCUAUGCCAGGUGCUCGAUAACAAGCUUUAGAAUAAUAAGACAAUAAGGAUUUCCCGAGUUGGGGCAAGAAGAGAGUCUCCUAUAUCAAUAGAAGAUCCAGAAUGAGACAAGCAACGAAAAGUACUGUUUUUCCAGUUAUAACCGCAAACUUGUUAUAGUAUACCGAACCCAUCUCUACCAAUGAAUAAGCACCCGACACAAUAACCUCUCUUGUAGACAAUGAGCCAAUAACGGGAACUCGUAUGGAAUUGGAAGACCCGAUUGCAGCACUUGCAGCUGACGACAACACCUCUGAUUCCGGGCCUUAUCCUUCUUCCUCACCUGUUCUUGCUCUAUCUUCUGCUUUGACUCCUAAUUAUGCGGGAACUGUCACUUUAAGUGCAUAUUGAUUAUUGGCAUCCUCAGCCUAUGCGUAUGGUACUGCUGCUUUAAGAGCUAAUAUCUGCACUCACCCGGGCAAGAACUAGACUUGAUUUCCUCACUCACACUGAACAAGCACCAACCUUGACUUCUUUCUCUUCUCUUAUGCCCGGAACUAAAACGAAAUAAGCUAAUGCGCCAUUAUCGGUAAAGGAAGCCAAAUAGGUUGCUGACGCCAAUGACUUAAGGGCACCAAAAUGAGGAAGUUCAUCAUGUUAUUUAAGAUUACCUAAGUAUAUACAAUACACCCUUACCAGUUUGCACAACAGGACUUGCUUUAGGAGUUCAUUAAGCUCACACCCCAAAAUACAAGUAAUCAGUACACCGCAGCACACUUAUUGAUUGAGUUGGGCUUCUUUCUCGUCUCCAGACCUAUACUCAGAUGAUGUGUACUAAUCGCUUAAGAAGAGAUCCACUUGUAAUCUUGGCAAAGCGCAUUAAGUAAGUAGGUCCUGGAGACAACACCUCUGAUUCUCUCGUCGAUUCCACUCUGACUCUCUUUCAGGAUACCCUGAGCUCGAACAGAACGAACCACUUGCAGUUGACCUUCCCUUUCUUGCAUUCCCUAGCUACUGAUCCGGAUCUUUACUACCCUACCUAUGGUCUUACCUUCCUUACUGACUUUCUUGCUUAUGAGCGGGGAUCUAUUAGAAUUUGUUAGUCGUCAAAGAACUAGACAACGGUAUCAGCAGCCCGAGCCCAAACUCUUCUCUAAAGGACGGCCGACAUAAAUAACAGCAAACAUCACACUUAACAUAAUGUAUUUCUUAUUUGAUUAGUUAUGCCUGCUGGUGUCCUCGCCCACUCUAAACAGUAGUCAGGAUGCUAAGAGGCAGAAUCAGAAUUAGAUCACCACCCAUAAGACUUUGGCUCAUAGCUCUAAACCCCUCUUAAAGCAUUUAUUUCCCCUUUUUGCCUUCUACUGAUAACUACCAAACUAUCACUACGCUCUCUCACCUCCUGUCUCUUCGGGCUAUAACCCUAAUCUAUUCUUUCGGGCGUGAUACUGCAUCUGAUCUUGUCGACUCAACUCGAACACCACUGUAAGUUCCUCAUUGAAUUUAUUUCAUCAUAUAUCUUCUUAUAUAAUUACCUUAACCUAUUUCUAUACAAGGGCUUUUCACCUAUUCUAUCAAGCGUCGACACCGAGAUACAAUACAUGAACUGCUUACGCUUCAGAAGGAACUAGAACUCCACUUGACAACUUUGAGCUACGAGCUACAUCGGUCACAAUCAGUAAAUUCUCGCAUUCAAUCUACCAGUAUAGAUCUCUUUGUAAAGACGUAGCUUGUUAACCUUCACCCUCUCGAACGAACAGGCAAUUCUCAUCAUUAUAAGCAACCUCCACUCUCACAACAUCUUCUCUUUCUUACGUCUGAUCCAACUUAGGCUUCUUCUCUUGUAGACAACUUGAGAACUGGAAACAAACACUCUAUUACUUGUUUAUGAAGUCCCAUAGUUCGAUUGUUAGGCUGACUUUCCCUUCUUCGAUCCACCAAACAACUGUACAAGUGAGCGGUCCGAGAACUCAACACAAAACAAAGGCUUUAAAAACAAGGGUCGAUGUAACUGAGCUGGUACUUCUCAUUCCUUAGCUAUCUACCUGUACUCUUACUUGUUCGGGCAGGGUUUCAUGGGCGAAUUCUGACUUUAGCGCUAGAUGUGUUAGAUCGUACCCAUGAGUUGUUGUCUAAGACUCUAAAUACCUGAUUAGAUGCGCAACUAUACUUCUUAGCCUGCUUUACGCUGUAUUAUUUCAUUAUUGAAUUGUAGCUCCGCUCUUCUAAUACUAAUUUCUAGUUUAAGGGCUAUGGAGAGUAGUCCAACCUGCUCUACCUUUUCCUUCCAUUCCAAUUCUCUUGUUGCACAAAUUGACAUUACUUAUGGAAAUUCCUGUUUAUGAGUUAGGGCCUGGCACUGCUUUCUUUCAUUCACGAUCAAUAGGAACUUGAGAAGUCUGCUACUGCUUUAUCUCAGCCUUAGCCGCUUCUCCUUGUUUGAAACCUUAGCUGCAUCCUUGCUUUCUGUAUCUGCAUAUUGAUCCUCGGGUGUGUGUGUUGGCUGCAUGUAGGGUUUUGUUGCGUGCCAUACUCUAGGGUUUGGUUUCAACCCAUAGGGCAAUAGAAUAGGUGUGUUCUUGUGUAGCAAUGAGAAAUAGGGGAAUGAUCAAUAGGGGUGUGCCGGGCCGGUUAAUUACCGCUCACAGAAUGAUGGAUGUGACUUUCGUAAUGAACCCUAUUCGUAGCGUGCUGGCUCAAAUCAAUAGUUUGCCCGGGAACCAUCGAUACACGACCUAACGUGAUGCGCGAGAACCUCCCGUGCGCUAUUUAAGAAUGAGUUGAUGACCCUACCUUGCUACUAUCUGAAGACUUAUUGUGAUAUGACUUGCAGAAUGAAUGACCCGAUAUAACACGAUACUACCUUCUACGCCUGUGGACCAUCGUUGCAUGUAGGGAUGUAGUCCGAAGAACGAGUGAAUGGUCGCUCAUAGAAUAGUCAAAUACUCACAAAUAGAAUAUGAGAAAACACCAUGCUAAUAUAAGUUAACAUCAUAAUCAAUUUCAGGGUUGGUAGGCUCUAACUCAUAGGCAAGAGAGCAAGUAAGUAGUGGUGGUUUCGAUCUACAACUAAAGAAGUAAAGGCAGGAUAGCAAGCCUAAUAGCGAGCAAGAGCUGCUUUUGGGUCAGUAGCACAAGGUUCGAGUUCAGGCUCGGUUCCGAGUGUCUUUCUUUUACUUAUUAGUUUGGAUUCACUGUGGGAAGGAGUAAGUCCGAUAAGUAAGUCAAAGAGUAAGAGAAAGUGGCCAAGCAACGACUAGACAAGUAACUACUAAUGACCAAGCAACUAAGCAAGACGUUGGGCGGUAGCCAAUAAACAGUUCUUACGAAGUUAUUACAAUAUAUGCCUUCGGCGGCAGGAGCCCCGGUAAUAUUAGUGGAAUUCUGGGACGAGUGAGAAGAAGACCGCUACUUAGCUACCCGGCUGCAUUCUGGUUAGCACUAGUUUCAGUAUGUGGCUAGUUAGUGUCAUUCUUAUCUACUACCCUGGAUGCUCUGAUCCACUACCCUAGUUGCUUGGCCCUUGGUGGAAUUGUAAUGACUUGGCUGAUAGCUAAUAGUAUAGGACCGAUGAAUCAAUUUUCUCAAAUCAUAAAAAACGAAGUUAUGAGCAAGUCCUUUCCUGGCAGUCGUUUAUCACUUUUUUUCAUAAAUUGGAUUUCAUUUCACCACCUAGCCCGAGUAACUGAGAUACCCGCGUUCGGAAGAUUUGUCAUAUAUCUCUUAUAAACCCCCGGCAUCUAUCUGAUCUUGAAACUAAAGAUUCUCCUGCGCCACCUUAACCUUACUUGAAAUCAAAAACACCUGGCCGCAAGCAACUGGUAACAUCUCUUCUUUAACGAGGUCGGCAAGCAAGGUCUAAUCUUUAACCAGAGUUGAGGUCGCCAUCCCUUGUUGCAUCCGUUAUCCUAGCUGCGGGGGACUUUAUUACUUAGUGCAGGGCCGCUAGUCAAUCAAUGUGAUGCCACAUAUCCAUAUAUUAUUAGUAAUGCACCUUAACCCUUACUUCCUGAACAAGCAGGCAUACCAGAGUUCACCUUUCCUUUAUGCCCGGUAAGUCAAGUAAGUCAACUAGUUCAAUUGCUCUUAACCAACCCUGUGUACAAGAAGUAACCAAUACCCCUCAGUAGCUUGAUCGGGAUCAUCUGCUUUCUCAAAGUAAGUGAUAAGCGGGUCUUCAAGUUUCUCAUUCCAUUUCAUCUCUGGAGCACCCGCCUGCCUGGAAUGGAAUAUCUCUCUUAUCUAUAUUACCGGGUAUUUAAUUGUAUCCCGAGACUCAUUAUAGAGGAACUUACAAUAAGGGCCUCGAACACCUGAUUUAGACUGCUUCUCUGACCUAUGGCUCAUAUAACUGCAUUUCUUUGAUACAUGAAUUCUUAUCCAAAGUGUUUUAGUUAUGAACCACUAACUAAUAUGGAUUCUUCACCGCCUAAAUAAGAAGUUGUAAACUCUCACAGGACAGGACAUUCCGCAGCUUACUUUAGAACAGCUUCUUUAAAUAAGUAAGUUGGAUUAGUAUUAGAAUGGAUCUACUCUUUUGACUACUACUUAAAGGGGAUUCCACUAGAACAAGAACUGGAUCGGUAUUCCACUGGGGAUAUGAAACAAGGGAUGAAACUCAAACAAGAGCAACUAUACCUUCAGCAGAAGCAACUGGUUAUUCUCUUUUAACUACAUAUUCUGUUGGGCCUGUACCGGCAACUGGAUGCAUUCCUCGACCUGUUGUGGAACUGGCAAUUCUCCAAGUGACAAAAAGAAAGGGAAAAAGGAUUAGUUAAGUCUCCAGGAAAGCACUCUCUUACUUGUUGAUGCCGCGUAACGGGUUUACUGACGCUAGAACUUCAGAAUGCUAACGCCUAUCUCUCUACCAUUAGUAUCAUAAAUAGAAGCAGAAGAAGUUGUUAGGCCAAACAACUAACUACUAGUGAGUUUUACCUAGACAAUUAGUUCAUUUGAAACAGGACAUUCCACUUCAUCCGCGUCCUGAGUGAACCUGUUUUUAUGGCGGUAGCGAGCGGAAAGGACUUACCCGCUUUCUAUUAGUUGACUUCCCGCAAUAGCGCUGGGCCACUCUCUUUCCUGAAUUUCUUGAGACCUUCUUUCUUACUUGAGACCUUCUUUCUUACUUAAUGGAAAACCUGUACGGGGGAGUAUAGAGCUGUUAACUGUAGUAGUGAGUUUACUUACCGGUCCUCUACGAAACUAAGGAAGAGAGUUGUAGAAGAGAGUUUACUCAUUAAAGAAGAUAGUUCCCCUCCACGCCUAGGUCUUAUAGAAACAGGUAACCACCCGCUCCAAUAAAAUAGUAAGUUAGUACAACUCAUGGUAUAAGCUUUACUUCAACAAGCAGUGAGGCCAUGCGAGGGCAGUCAGUCUGGUAUUCGAUCUCUAGCUAGAGUUGGUCAAGAAGGAACUUUGCGCCUCAACGCUAGGCCCUGUACUUGAUUCUUCCCUUUCACAACACAGCUAACUCAGUACUCUCUUCCGCCCCUACCCUAACUCGACUUCACCUCUGAUUCCACUGGAAACAGGAUAUUCUCCACGACAACUAAGGUAAAGAACAGAACUUAACGCUGCCAUUGAUGGUUACCUUGACCACCCACGCCUAUGUCCUUAAUGUAAGAGCUGCCUAUCAUCGGUAUUCUGAUACAUUUUCUUAGAAGCUGCGUACUUAAUAAUAGGGCUAAAGGAGAGAAGGGAAGCUGUGUAUUUCAAAGCAUAUAGAAGCCCGGAACCGACCUAUACACUUACGAGGUAUUGGUAUUAAGAGAAGAGAUUUGAUAGCAAAUAGAUAAUAUCUCCUCUGAUCUGAUCUCUACGACCUAACUCACCCUACGGAUGCUGAUUCUCUAUACGACCUAACUCACUUAUAAUUACUUGACACCUGAACCACUUGUUUCGGACCUCAAUCUCUUGCCAGUUCAUUCUAACCUUACUCAGGUGCCUGAUUUGAUAUAAGAAAUAUAGUUGCCCGAUCUAGCGCAUUUGGUGGGAGACAUUAAGGCUUAACCGAAGAGGUAGGCUAAAAGGACUUCUUUCCAGAGGUGGGCAAGGGCACCCUAUUUUCCUUGGUCAACCAAUACAGCUUUUCUUUCUAUUUCCACUCCCGGGUUGGCAAGAAGGAGCCCAUGGGUUGGUGACUGUCCAAUAAAUCCAUUCUCUUUCCUCAACAACCCCAAGUCUAUAAGGAAAGGAUAGAUAAGGAUCUACAGAAGAAGAUACUCAGCGGACUUGACUUAGAGGCACUGCUGAUGUUCCAGCUCCAUACGAGUAGGUAUAUGAGCCUCAUUAAGAAGACGAACACUAGCGGCAGGCAAGGGGGACAAUAAGGCUUUUCAAUAGUAUACGAGUUCGGGUCGGCAAAGCUAAAGGGAUGCUUGUGCCAUAGUUGUCUAGGUUUCUUGCGAGUAAGAGUCAGUUUCUCCUCUAUAUAUAAAGAAAAGAAGUAUUUGUUUCCUCGGCGCGUAAGGGAGCUCGUUAAGUCUAGGAAUUCAAAAAGAUCUUCAUCAGCAGUGAGAGUUAAGUAUACCAACCAGAGAGAGAGAAUAAGUUAUGCAAGUAGAAUUCAUUGGUCAACCAUUACUAAUAAGCGGUCUUCUACCCUAAGUUCAUGAGUUUGCUACGAGCGGUGCGAGGGUUCAUUAGAGGUCGGGGCAGACUAUCGGGAAUAAAGAUCUGACUUUGUUUCAAGAGAAGAUGGAUGCCGAAGAGUGCGAGUAACGUCUAGUGAUUCUGCUGAUCUACCUGUUGUUUCCGCUGUUCCCUUAAGACCUAGGCUAAGAUGAAACAGCCAAUCUAUCUCCUCUUGCAACUUCAACUCUCGGGAUUACACUCGGGAUUCCACAACUCCUGAUGGAUAGCUGGUCUAGUCUACUCGAUCAGAGGCAAGAGAGGUUGGGGCAUAGUAAAGUACAAGCGAGGAAUCAUAAAGUAUCGGCUUUGAAGCUUGAAGGAAUGUAGACCUUUAGUUCGGGUCGGGUGCAAGUGUUGAAGAGAGAUAUUAUCCACUGCUUUUAGGUGAUUCUGUUCCGCCAAGCGUAUACUUCUCUAUUGACUACUUGCUGAACACAUGGGUUAUACUGGAGUCAAGAGGGAGUUAACUGUUAUUAAUGUAUUAAGUAGCUAGCUUCCCUACCGCCAUUAACGAACAAAGUUGAAGCGCCUGCCGCUUGAACACUUUACUUGGUUAUUUAUGACUCCUAUACUAUUGGCUAUCAAAAAACACGGGAACUAGGCUGUAAGUUAGUUAAGAUGUACAAAUAGGGGUAAGUGAGUGAAACUAGCUCUUCCAACUCUGAAAGUAGAACUACGCUUGCUGGGUCCCUUGCUAGUUAGAAAGCCUUUGCUUGUUACAGUGUAGCUCCAUUAGCUAGUUCUGGUAGAGAAACUAAGUUAAUACGAAGCCUUGCACUCUAUUCUUCCCGGCCCCGAACCCUUUUUCUGUUUCAUUGUAUAAGUAAGCCGAAUCCACUAUUUAAGGUAUUUGCUGUCAGUGAAUCAAUCUCGUCUCUCUCUUUGGCAAGUCAGCAGCAAACGGUAUAGUUCGGCAAAAGAAUAAGUGGGUGCAAUUCCAUUCUGUUGGACUAGAAUCCUAUAUCUAUAUUAAUAUCCAUAUCAACUGCCCACGUAGCUUGGCAAAAGUAAGGUUAGCAGAGCAGCAAUUCAAGUAAACCAGUCUCGUGAGUGUGUGUUGGCAACGAGAAAAUGAGUUGGAUUAGCAGCAGUCUAUUUACUUCAAUCUAUACUUUUCAGAAAGAGUACCUAUGAGGGUUGUCAAGAAAUGGAACUCGCUUUAGGGUUGGCAAGGAAGAGGACUAGGGUCGGGCAAUAAGAUCGGAAUUCUCACUUCUAUGGUGAAGUCUUUUUAGGCACCUAUGGUAUGUGAGCUACUAGACCAAAGUAUGAGUUAUGUGUUUGAUUCUUUCCAGUAAUAGCCUGGUUAGUCAAACAAGACUCAAAGGAGGGGUGGGUAUACUCAAUCUAUCAAGUCAGGAUCCCGGGCUAAGGCGAAGAAUAAUAAGUAACAUAAUUUCCGCUCACAGGAUAAGCUUAUGGGGUUAUGGGGCAUCUUUUCAUUGAAUACAACUAAUAUCGCCUCUAAUGCAUUUCCAGCCUAUAACACAGGUGUAUAAGAAUGGACCUAAAGAGAUUAAGUGUCAAGGGUGUGGGAAUAAUGGGAAAUAAUACAGAGUGAAACAGGCGAGUAACAGCUUCAAGUAAUAACCAAGCUAGUGAGCCAAAGGUAGUAAUCAAAAGAAUGGUCAGAACACGAUGGAGAAGAAUUUGACUCGCUGGACGCACCCUUGCUAAGAUAGGAUCCAACUACCGAUAACAAGAAAUUCAUUGAUAAGUAAUAGAAUGAAAACCCAGACAAGCUACCACUACUCAUAAGAAGUAAAACGACCUCUCUACCACUACUAAGAAGAAUAAGGGAUACGACUCCUACUAACUGGUCUUCAACUCAGAUAUUCCUACUUAGACUACUUGUUUGGGAUUCCACUUGCACAGAAAGAGACUCGUAGCCAACUAAUAUGUAUUCUGAUUAAAGGGAAAGUCGAGUCACAUUAUACGCUACUUGGGGGAACAGGCCUACUUUGAUCUCUAGGAACGUUACUUUCAGAGCCAACAACUCUCUCAAUCAGGUCUUCAAGCCAACUACUUAAUAGGUCAAACUCACCACUAAAGCACCGAACCAGCCUCUACUGGGCCAAGCAGGCAAAGGGAAAGCAAAGAACUGAGCUCUACGGGGAAAGCCAGGGUAAACUUCAGAACUAGUUUAGGAAAGAAUUCAUCAAUGUAUUUAGAGCACUGGAUUGAUUGUCUCUCUCUACUCUAAGCCAAGAGCGAGCACCAACACUGGCGAACUUCUUUAUUAACUAACUGAACUUCUUUAUUAACUAACCCCGGGCAUUCAUUCCAUUACAUUACUUGCAUUAUCGCUUAUAGGCUUUAGGCUGACUUUCUUUUGGCCUAACUUUCCUGGCUAUUAGUUCUUUGACUCCUUUCUACCGGCCUUACUGUCCACUCCCUAAAUCUGACUUCACUGUAUUAUAGGCUUUACUUGACCAUAUUAUAGUAUGCCUCUCCCUUAUUCUAUUCUUGAGAACCCCAUUGCAUAUUUGAUCUUACAAUAAGGAAUUGGACCACUACUAACAUACUAACAAGACAGAUAUCACUACUUAUUGGAUUGAGACCGCUACUUAUCGUAUUGAUGAAACCGGGAAUCAAACCCAUAAGUAAGUAUACCAAAACAAUAUACUAACAUAAGAAAGAAACUACCAAUACCAAGACCAAGUUAGUAGAUACAGAAAACAAAGAAGAAAGAAUUGAGUAACACAAAAGAAAGAAUGGAAUUAUUAUAUUCUAACGAUAAAAGAAAGAAGUAAGUUAGGAUAUCGGUCUCGAACUAGAAGCCCGUUGCUAUUAGGGCACUACCUUAUUUAUUAUCAUAUCAUAAUGAAAUGUCAGUAAACCAGCCAAACUAGAGAAUAUGUGCUUUCUAUUGAUAAUAUGUUUUCGUCUCUAUUUAGAAUAUGUUUGUCGUGUAAUAAGAUUGAUUAGUCAUUGGACUCCUAAGUAAUAGACCUAAGCUAAAGCAUCGGAAUGAAGCACAGAAGCUAGCCUUCCUUUCCUACCCUCGGAUCUGGCUUGACUUUAUAUGCCUAUGAGCCAACCCUUAUUACUUCAAUUAUUAUUUACCUUCUUAUUCUUACUGCCCGACAUCUACAUCUGUAUCUUGUCUGUUAGCCUGCCAUACCUUCAUCUAGAUCUCACUUUCCUUAUUACUAGACUGCAGUUCGACCCAGCUACUACUGCCUUAAAUGCCUAGUUUUGAGUUGCACUCUUCCGCCCCUAACUCGAAGUCGAAGUAACCAAGACUUGCUUUUGUGUCGGUUAUUGAUAUGACAUAACUUUCUCUACUUUCUCUUAGCUUCCAUGAGUCUAACACUACUGUGAUGGGGAAUCGAACAUUCCGGGGCACCAUAUUCGAUUUUGGAAUACUCCCGAAUAGGUUGAACAGUCAAGACACGCUGCAAGAGAGGCCUCUAUAAUAAGUUGAGGCAAGUAAGUAUACUACCUCCAAGUUCCGUAUUCUAAGGAAAAGGAUUAGAAGCUCUUAUUUCAUUAUUGAGAACAGUCUUGCUCGCCUCCAUUCCUGUUAGCCAGGUAGUAAUUCCAUAUUUCAAGAGAAAGUAUUUAAGUACACUAGCGCAUUCCCAGUUUCAAGUUUAGGAUAGGUCGGUUCCACUCUGUGUAUUGUCCCCUCUAACUCUUGGGUUACUGUUUGACUCCCUAAAGUCACUUACAGAAACGAAACUCUGAGAAACCAUACCCCAGCUAUGUAGAGUAAGUUGCCUAUUCUCCCUAUUUGCAGUUAAAGUAGUCAGAAGCACCGGCUGCAGUCUAUGAGGUACCAGUGAAAAGCCCUAGUUUCCAGUUCAAGGUUUCGGUCUUAUCGUACAGUAGUGAAGAAUGAUAUAAAGGGAAGGGCAGACUAAAGUGACCAAUAAAGUAAAUAGAACCAAACUAAGUAGUAGAGGUACGAUCUAGUGAUUAAGGUAUUGCACUCAUAGGUAUGGUCCAGCACACACAGAUUAAUCAAAAGUAGUAUAGCAUGGAAUCCAAGGAGUGUUAGUAGCCAAAAGUCUUCAAAGUGGAAUAUAUUCUAAUUAAUGUCGAGCAAUCAGAAUCAAAUAAGUAAGUCGUAGGUUGAAACCGAUGUUAACAAGACCUUGACCUUCACCUAGGAACCCGGGAUGGUUAUAUUAAGAAUAAGAGAUAGGCAAGGCAGCUUAGGUAGCAAGAAAGCAAGUAUAUAGUUUCAGAACGAAGGCAAGGCAGCUUAGGUAGCAAGAAAGCAAGUAUAUAGUUUCAGAACGAAGGCAAGGGGAGGUAGUUUGGGAGCCAGGAGAGAGGUAGUAUAGUGAAAGCUUGUGUUUCGAGUUGAGUUCACUGAGUUCCCAAACAGUAUAGUUUGGCCUGUUAGGCAUUGGGUUGAUUCUUGUCAACAGUAGUUCUUUCUUAUAUCUACUGCUCGGUGGCUUGGAGCUAUGCUUGGUAUCCAGUAUUCUGUAUGGAAUUCCUUUUACACUGGACCUUUUGGAAUUCUGAUAGUGGAUAGCUUUCUUCUUUUCUUGUUCUCCGGGGCGCCUAGAGUUAAUCUGCCUAGUAGUGAUUCCUUAUAUAGUAGUAUUGUAUUGGCUUCCGUUCAUGGUAGCUAUAAGCCUGAGUGCGUGUCCGCUCUAGGUUAGGUGUGUUUGUGUCUCCCUUGGUUAUGUGUAUGGUGUGUUUGUGUCUCGGGUUUGUUGGUUUUGUUUCAUAUGUGCCUAAUGGUCGAUGUAGUGUUACCGCUACGUGGAUGUCUGUAGUAACAUAGUCAUUGGUUGCAUAAGUAACAGCGGAGUUGUAAUUAAUAGAACACUUUUACUUGGUUCUAAAGCGUAGUAAUGGAAUUGGCAUUGUAUAAAGUCAGCUGCCCGCUACCUAAACUCAAAAGAGAGAAUAGAGCAGUGCCUUAACAGACAGACUAUAUCUUUUGGCGGUUCUCUGUAAUCCAACUAAUCACUACCAUAGUGGAGCUGGCGCUUCUCGUUCUUUAUCUAGUGAUAUGGAGCCCGCCUUUACUCUUUUUGUUUCCAAAGCUCAGUAAUAGCAUAAUGAAUUAAUAUAUCAUCAAAAUAGAAUAAUAAGUGCCAAGCAACGACUAUGGACGAUCCGCAGUCCAGCGCUCUCAACCAGUAACAAAUGGCAAAGAACUCAGUCUAAACCCAGUAGUCAAAAACCUUACCUUUACUACUCAACACCUUACUUGAGAACAGAGCAGGACUACAAUUACCGGGGGAGUAUCAUUCUUUACUUAUGGUUUCAUUCUUACAGUUGCUUGGCCCCUUGUUUAAAAUGCACUAUGUGCUCGGGGAGCAAGAGAAGAUAAGAGGGAUAUGGGGAAUACCAGAGUCUGGUGCUAGUCUAGAAGUGACUUCCAACUUUGGAAAACAGCUUAAGUCAAAAGAGAAACCAUAGCGGAGACUGCCCUUUACUAUUCCCUACGACUACAGAAUGUCAGGCAGGAGCCAGAGCCUAGUAGUUAAAGGCUUUAGUGGUAGGCUACCUCUCCUAGUGUGCUUGGUCAGACUUGAGGGCGGGGCAAUAAGGGUUGAAGCUAACGACUAAAACUCGUUCCUUUCAUUCUUCAUUAGUUGACUUAGCUACCAUAUGAUUUAUUCCCAACUGACAACCCUCGCACCGAGUAGUAUAUUAUAGUUGACUUUCUUCGUAUAGUAGAGUCAAGUUCCUAGAGUCAUUAGUUUAGUUACCCCAAUGACUUAAGGGCACAGGCAUGCUUUAACGACUUCACUAUAACCACUCCUGUUUUCGGCGGUAGUGAGUUGCGGCUUUACCUUAUCUUAGCUUUUCUCCCCUGUCUCUCGUUUUUCAACUCCAAAUUCCAAUCCUUCGACUUCUUCCUGGAAGGAGAGUAUUAGUAUCCAGCGACUUUCUCGCCUUAUGUAUUUAUUGUUUCGUACAACUAGAAGAAGCAUCCUGCUAACUAAGAAUUGAGCUAGCGAUAACAAGACUAUAGCUAGCAACGGCGAAUUCUACUGGAAAGUAUAAGAAUCAACUAAUAAGUAUGAAUGAAACAGUGCAAGGAAAGCCGACAAGAUAAGAUACUGUGCCAGGAAAGCUGUCAGCAGUGUUGUUUACUUGCUUCUAUUUCUAUUAGUGUAGAUGUGGUGGAUGUGCCUAUUCGCGCAGUAAGCAGUUUUAUGAGGUUACUAGUUUCUGACUUAUAUUAUUUGAGUGAGAUUCAUUUCCAUUGAAUUCUUUAGAUACAGUUUUGAAGCAAUACAGGGCAAUACAGAAUUGGGUUCAAGAGUUCGGGUUUUACAGCAGGGAGAGAUAGACUUCCAACAAUGAGUGGAAGAAUAAGAGCGUUUACGGGAAGUCCGCCUCUGGGUAAGGAGUUGUAGUUUGAAAGUCAGAUUGAGGCGCAACCACAAAUAGGGCUUGGGCAGCUGGGGCAUAAAGUAAGGCUUUUGGUUUGGCAGUCUCGAUAGGCUGAUAGACGCGGCAUUGAGAACGAAAACAAAGGGGCAAAGACAUAGUCAGUAGGGGCAAGAUCCGGAUCGUAAGUUACAGAAAGAAAGUCAGUAGCUAAAGACUUAAGGUGGUAAGCCUAGAGUUCCCGCACUCAUACUUUGAUUAGAUAAUAGUCGAUUCUCUCUACCAGUGAUGUCAGUCUCAUCAGCUGUAGCUCGAUUCCCUAUCUCUUGAUUACAACCUGGCACUGCUUACUUUGAUUACUAUGUUCCUCUUUGACUCUGACUAUUUAGAUAUAACAUCUGUAUUUGCUUACUACGCCGGCUAUUAGCCUUCCCUUACUAAACUCAUUCCUGUAGUCCACCUGCUUGUAUUAAUAGAGAAACAACCAUACUAUCUUUAGCACCAAUUCGAUUCUUCCUUUUCUCAUUUAAGUUAACUAACUACCUGGUUGCAUUAAAUAAAAGAUAUAGUUUGCAUUAUCAUUAUACUAAUUCUUCCUUUUCUCAUUGAUUAUGAAAUCUUAUAGAAGCUUGCCCACACAGGGGUUUCUUUCAGUCUAUAAUAAGCUUGAACGAUCUCUCCUCCCUUUUGAAACUAAACUCACUAUUCUCUUAGCGCCCCGACCUAUAUCUUCAUUAUGUUUGUAAGAAAUCCAGCUGCACCACCCAUUCAUAGAGUGUCAUCGCUUAUUCAUAGAGUAGUCUCGCUCAUUCAUAGAGAGUAGCUUCGAGUGUAAUCGCACCCAAACAAACAGUCUGUCUCAAAUACAAAUGCAAAAAGAAAGCUGCUUUGCGCUACUAAAAUAGAAAAGAAAAUACCUUUUUUAGCCCAAAUAACCUUAUCUAAAUAACCAUCAAUACAGAAUGCGAGAGUGAACUAGAAGACUCAACCCCAAUGGCGAAUGCAGCUGGCGGGGGGCAUACAAAUAUCCAGUAAAGGCGGAGAACAAGGUAUGAGUUACAGGCCAAUAGACAGUCAAGGGUUAUCUAAAGGAGUUGGAUCGAAAAGCCCUUUCUUUACUAUAACUAUACUAUGAAUUUGAUGAUUCAUUUGACAUAUUUUGGAUAUUCCUCUGCAGGUGAAGAUUCGGCGUCGGCCUAGGCUUCUUUAUACCUUGGAUUUGGUACGAGAGCCUAUGCUUUAGGAACAGGCUCAGGCUCCAUAGCUUCAAGUGUAAAGGAUCCUAUCACACAGACAGACGAGAAAUGGGAAAACUAAUCACUGGAAAACGAAUCACUAGAAUUGAUGUUACCUAACCACUUCAUAUCUUUCUCUUUCUUUGAAAACUCCCCGGGUAUUCUUAUGGUAGGGACUAGGAGCUCGGAGUUCUAGAGUAUAGUAGGUGGGAAGAAAUCACUCGUAUGAGUUGUUGUGACGGUUACGGUAUGCAGUGCUCAACCGAUAGGAACGAUAGGUUAGGAGGAACGGAGUAGCUCCAAAGAUAUAGGAUGUUUUGGACUCUACCGAUAUUAGCUGGUCCUUUAGGGAACGAGCUACAUAAAAGCGGGUGGUAGGCCGAAGCAGGUUCUUGAGCUCGACGGAAAGGAAUAUUUCUUACUGACUUACGAGCUACAUACUUUCAGUGAGAAGGAUAUGGGUACGUUGCCUUGCGCACUAGUGGUUUUCAGAUUCCCAGAGUACAGCGCAACGUCCGACCUUAAUGGACGAUAGGGGCUCUUUCUUAUUCUCGAAUCCCUUUUUUCAGUACAAAGAAUCAAGUUCUAUGCUUUAGACGUCAGCCGCAUCUGCUACUACCUAUUCUAGCAAGAAAGCAAACCACCAACGGAUCCUUCCACUUCUAUCACAGAGUCUAAGGGUUCCGCGAACCGAGAAACCUUUUUGUUUAAAGGCCUCGCACUUGUGUCUCCCGUCAUGACGACAGCCGGCCGAGAUGAUAGAUUGACGUCAGCCGCACAAUAGCCUGUUUGAAUCGAAUCAUAAACUGUUCGUCGUGGGGAGUGCUAAUCGAGGGCUUCACUUCUUAUUUCGCUAUUUCACUUCCCUGCUCUGGUUCAAAACUAGCUAGGCAUCUUCGUAAGUCUCGUUAACACGCCGGCAUUUAUCUUGGAAUGGAGGACGGAACACCAAAUCUUUAUGUCAUUAAUUAGACCGGCAUUUAUCUUGGAAUGGAGGACGGAACACCAAACCUUUAUGUCAUUCUAAAGAAAGGGGUGAACCGGUCGCUUACCCUUAUCUUAUAAGCCUUGUUAGAUGAUUCAUAAAACCUUGCUUCUCUUUCUGAUGAGAAAGCUUUAUUGUAGUUUCUGCCUCUUAUGAGCACCUUCUAAACCAUGCCCCACUAGACUUUGUUAUGAGCCAGCUUAACCCUUUAGUUAUGUUACUUCUAAAACUCACUCUAUUCUAUUAGCUGCAGUUGUCCAAAUCAAGUUCACAAUCCUACAAUUUCUUACUAUAACCUCCAUCGAGAGCAAGAGAAAGAGAAAAAGCUCCCCGGGAAGGAAGGAUAACUCAAUUCGAUCACUGAUUAGAAACUCGCUUAAUCACCGUAGAGGUUUACAGGUAAAUCGAGGUCUCUAGCAUAUCCCUUUUUAGGGCUUACAGUUCAAUGUCACUGAUGGGGAAUCCAUAGAUUGUAGUAGUUCCCAAGAAGAACGUAAAGAAACGAGUCUGUAUCGCCACUUUACGAAUCUAAAUGGCAGCUUGCCCCAUAAAGAAAAGACAGCUAUCCCCUAAAAUGGACCCGAAGGUGGAUGCGAUUCUAAAGAAUGAGCUUCCUGGAGCCUCCUCCGGCUAAAACCAGAUCCUAAUGCAAGUGGCGGAUCAAAUCCAUACUUUUAUACAAAUUCUCGCAAAGCCUUACCAGUCAGGGAGGCUAACGAAAUGGGCGAUCGAACUCAGCAUCUACUACAUACCUUCUAGGGCCAGAGUGGCCGGGCAUCGUCGAAAUCAACUCCUUCCUUCGAGGCGGGAGCAGACUCAACUCAAAGCCAAAGACCGAGAAUGAAAGCGUACUGUAAAAAAAGAGUGGAGCUAGCAGGCAGGAAGUAUUUUCCAACUGUCGACCGGAGCCAAUGAAUUAGCCAAAGCAGCCUCCGCAGCGAGCAACGAAUCUUAUUCCAAUUCAACAACCCGGUUAGUCAUAGUUAUCGACUCAAACAGUACGGAACCCAUAUAACUUAGCUCUUAUUGCGACAUUCCUUGCUUGAUAUGUAACUCAUUUCCAUGAAAGCAAACUAGAACUUGAGCUGCAACCCAACUAACAACUGUGAUAUCGAAAGCUGUCUCUCGAAGAGGCAGUAGACACAGAAAGAUCUUUAGAAGGGCCUUCCUACCGGACAGAAACAUUAUUUCCUAGACCAAUACGGAGACACGAGACCAGGCGAAAGCCAAUCGAAGGGCGCCCAAUGUGCAUUUUGAAAUCUAUUACAAGGGUUCGGUACAACUAAAAGUGUUGGUUCUAAUCUUCGUCGAAAGGCUGAGCCCCCCUUGACCCAUGUGAUUUGACUCCCUCGGAAGCGGUAACGGAGCACCUCGGGUGAGUUUGUCUUCUAAUACCGCAUGGUACUAUUUCACUCGGGCUAAUUUGAUUAUUGGUUUAGUAAGUAGCUUCUCGCAUGUGUUACUCUUCUGCUUUAGUGGGUACAAAGUUCGGAUUGAAGGAAAGGAUGAACGCUGGCAAAAGAUGCUGCCUUCUCCGCUUAUAUGCUUGUUAACUUAGUCGAUUCCUAGAGCUACUUCCGGUCGAAUAGCAUCUGAGAAAGAACGUUGUGUAAACAUCUGUAAUAAGAAAGACUUCUGAUUCGUUAUCGUACCCCUUUACCAUCGGCAGAUCCCUUUCCUUACUCGCUUUAUUUGGUAUUCUGUCGAGUACCUUCUUUCGUUCCUCUGAUAGCUUCUUAUUGGGCUCUCGAUUUUCUUUACACUCUUUUACGUGCCAUGUCUAUAGUGACUCUUUAAAAGAGAAUCUAAGUAUAGUGACUCUUUAUAUACGAGCGAGGUAAAAGCACAAGGAGCCCGGUAAUAGCAUAGGUGCUCUUGCUCCCCUCAGUAGGUUCGAUUGAGCCUAACCCUCGAAAUAAGUAAUUCAAGCGAGCUACCGUGUCCUUACCCACUAUGUACUCCAAAAAGGAAGCCAUCCACGUAUCUAAGAUGGUUUUUCUUAAUUUGCAUCUCAUCUAAACUUCAUGGUUUAGUCACUUUUAUGGAAAGCCCGAUUGAAGCCGAAAAGUAGAUAACAUAGGAGCGGGGUAGAAACCCUGUUUGGAAGAAUUCCCUCUUCAGACACGUUGGACUCUUAUCUUACUAUAAUGAAUAACUGUUCAGUGAGCGAACCUUCCCAUAGUGUAUCGACGGAGUCAAGCUACUGACUUUACCAUGUUCUUGGACUGAUGACUCACGGCUUAGGGUGAACCAAAAUUGAUUGAUGAAUCGAAGCUCUACCCGACUCGCAGCGCAUGCCACACCCACGACUUAUGUACCUCCCUUAGAAGUCCUAAUCUGCCUAUGAGACAGACAACUUACCUUAGACUUCGGGGACCGGCCAAAGCAAAAGGGGAGUGGAACCGUCAGUCCAGACGAAUCCAGAAAUGCAUUUGAUAGCGACAGUCUUUAAAGGCUCAUUUAUAGGGUUCCGGAGUCUUCAUUCUAUUACAGGAGUAGGUUUUGGAAGCCGUCACCAGUAUAGAAUCAGGUGUAUAGAGCCUCGGAAAGUAUGAUGUUGGUUAGGGAUAUGUGCCUACUUAAGAAGAUUUNNNNNNNNNNNNNNNNNNNNNNNNNNNNNNNNNNNNNNNNNNNNNNNNNNNNNNNNNNNNNNNNNNNNNNNNNNNNNNNNNNNNNNNNNNNNNNNNNNNNNNNNNNNNNNNNNNNNNNNNNNNNNNNNNNNNNNNNNNNNNNNNNNNNNNNNNNNNNNNNNNNNNNNNNNNNNNNNNNNNNNNNNNNNNNNNNNNNNNNNNNNNNNNNNNNNNNNNNNNNNNNNNNNNNNNNNNNNNNNNNNNNNNNNNNNNNNNNNNNNNNNNNNNNNNNNNNNNNNNNNNNNNNNNNNNNNNNNNNNNNNNNNNNNNNNNNNNNNNNNNNNNNNNNNNNNNNNNNNNNNNNNNNNNNNNNNNNNNNNNNNNNNNNNNNNNNNNNNNNNNNNNNNNNNNNNNNNNNNNNNNNNNNNNNNNNNNNNNNNNNNNNNNNNNNNNNNNNNNNNNNNNNNNNNNNNNNNNNNNNNNNNNNNNNNNNNNNNNNNNNNNNNNNNNNNNNNNNNNNNNNNNNNNNNNNNNNNNNNNNNNNNNNNNNNNNNNNNNNNNNNNNNNNNNNNNNNNNNNNNNNNNNNNNNNNNNNNNNNNNNNNNNNNNNNNNNNNNNNNNNNNNNNNNNNNNNNNNNNNNNNNNNNNNNNNNNNNNNNNNNNNNNNNNNNNNNNNNNNNNNNNNNNNNNNNNNNNNNNNNNNNNNNNNNNNNNNNNNNNNNNNNNNNNNNNNNNNNNNNNNNNNNNNNNNNNNNNNNNNNNNNNNNNNNNNNNNNNNNNNNNNNNNNNNNNNNNNNNNNNNNNNNNNNNNNNNCCCGAAGGCCUUAGUGGCGAGGAGAAAAAGUUCUUGUGCGAUAGGCCAGAUGAAGGUUCAAUCCCAAAAACGAGCUCAACCCGCUAUGGAAGAGACUGUUUCAGUCUAUUUUGGUACAGCAAAGUUCUGUCAAGGAAGUCAAACUGGAUUCCAUUCUAGUCUUUCUUACGAACGAUGAGAAGACGGAGUUAGUGGCCCUGCUUAAUGAGUUCAUCGAUGUUGUGUUGUUAGCAGGCGAAGUCUCUGUCCCUGGUUGUUAGCUGUCGAAGGGGCCGUGGAAGGGUAUUGAAAAGUUGGACAUCAAAAGCUCGCUUACUCAGAUAUUUCUUCUAAAAGCGGUCCUGUCCUAUUAUCUUGAUUAGAAAAGUGGGCAUAAAUCCUUUACUGAGUGCCAGCUUGUGCCGCCUCUUCUCAAAGGGGGGAUUUCGUCUAUAAAGAAAGUUUCUUAGCAUGCAAGCAACCUUGCCGAAGUUAGGUUAUGAAAGAAUGGGAUCUAUCUAGUAGCAAACCAGCAGCAAAGCGCUUCCUCGAAGCUUAGACGAGUAAGAAAAACUGUGACACCGAAGUGGACUGAUGUAGAGGACUUUAGGAACCUAAGUAUCUAACUUGAUAAAGCAAGAGUUGGAGGUCUUGGGAUGUUAUUACUACUGCGCCACUUAUCAUAAUAGAUCAGAAGGCUUUGAACAAGGUAUCCAGUAGAAAAGAAGGCUUUGAACGAGGUAUCCCGGAUCGGGUCAUAGACUAAUAGAGUUAAAGAACCGAACCAGUUAAUGUAUCCCUGUUCGCAUGGUUUAUACGGUAAACCCUCUGACGGUGUAAGUAGCGACUCUCUUGUCUUUUCAGCUAACCCGUCAACUUAUUACUAUCAGGUAUAGCUCUCAUGAAUACGCAGUUGAACAACCAAUACAGUUAUUGUUAUCAAGUCCGUAGUGAUCAAACAGCCAGAGACAGGGUUCUGACAGAAACUUGGGAAGUCUUGAAGUUUUAUUGAAAAGCUAUAUUAUCAAGCGAUGGAGGUGAGUCACUAGUAUGGCGACGUUUGUAAGACUCUCUAUUAUCCUUGCUAUUUGGUGAAUCUUAAUGGGGCCCGGCCCGCCCCCGGAUACAAUUGAGCUAGUAGAAGCGCUCGAUACAGAAGCAUCUUCCUCUACAAUAGCUUGGGAAACCUGAUUGAAAUGCUUUGGAUAACCAAGAGGCGGUAGAAGCACCCCGUGAUAGCGGAACCAAUACCACUUUUCCUGUGAGUGCUGCGCCCUUUCGUACUGACCGAGAUACGGAAGAAUGGCUAGGAAUUCCAUGCAUUUUCCUUUCAUAUGAGAAAAGAACAAAGGGGCUGGCUUCUAGGAUCGUGUCACCUAUGCAUUUAUGCUGCUAACCACUACUGAGUAAACGGCUGUACCAGUGAAAUCUCAUAUGACAGAAAACGCCUAUAAAGCACUGCGCUUUCCCUUGCCCAGAUGUUAGCCUUUCUAAGUCAAGUAAUGGUUACCCUUAGCCUCGUAACAUUUGACGACUACUUACAAGCGACGAGGGGACUACUUUGCCUCCACGGAAGAAGAGACGCUCUCUAGCCUUAGGAACCUGUUUAGAAUAUAACUCUGGUAGGGAACGUGUGACAUUGGAGGUGAACGAUCACCACUGGUCCUAAGCUAUGAUUCUUCGUGGAUUACUACUCUUUACUCAAAAGAAUCAAAUAUACAUCCUCUAACAUUAUGUAACCCAACAUCACUCCUAACUUAUCAAGCAACAACUGUAGGGCCUGGCCUGUGCUCAGUACGGGUCUUCAUUGUUAAUACUUAAGUCGCUUAAUAUAGAAUUCCGUAACAACCAACACUAAGUCACUUAAUAUAGAAAGAGUAUAACCCUAAAAACGGACUGCUGACUAAAAAGAAAGAGUCACCCUAAAAACGGACUGCUGACUUACUUAACUCACAAUUAAGGGCUUCAGUUACUCUUCUGCUGGGCCUAAGGAAAGAAUGUAGUAGAUAACUGUAAGCAAGUAACCUGAGAAGUGCACAUGUUCUAUAAGCAAGUAACCUGACAGCAUUGCUUCGUUUAAUAACUCUUAUCGGCGUACUCCAACUCAGUUGUGCUAACGUGAGUUUCGGAGUUUGUUUCUCACCAGUGAUAAAAGAAUGUAAGUGAGUCAUAGGUUAUCAAGUGAUAAAAGAAUGUAAGUGAGUCAGUAAUAGUAUUUUAAAGCAGGGGAGGAAAUGGAAUCAGGGACUUAGUAUACGCUUGGCCCCUGCUAGAUGGCUCCGAGAGACAGAUCAAUUUAUGAAACCCCGGUAGUCCAGGUGAGAGUAGAAAGGGAGAGUUGUUUCAUGAAGUGACUAGGCUAGGAAGCCCACCGAUUCCCCGAACUGAUACUAUACCAAUACCUAAGGCAGCUAACAGACAGAAUAAAACAGGUGAGUAACAGCCCUGAAAGCAGUACCAACAAGACUUGUUGAAGACCUUAGCUACUGAGUUGAAGCCUUAGUACCAUUAGCUGCAGUCUGAGAAGCGCUGGUUUGAGUCUCUCCGUCGGGGGUUUCAGUCUGAUUGGAUCGAGUUUCAGGCACCAAGCAACUACGUCAGACCAAGACACUCGGGCAAGGGAUAUCCUCAGUUACUUUCUUGAUUUCUUGAUUUCUUUCACUUAUGCUAGUCUCUUCUUUCUUUCUUUCACUUAUGCUAGUCUCUUUGAACUCACCCCUCGUAGUAGUUUAUACUUGUAUGUUUGUCGUCUUGGCUUGGCGCUUCCAGUCCUUUCUUAUCAUUUCUUCUCUCCACUUAUAUAAGCUACAGGUCAACAACUCUACCUUAAUCAAUUUCCCAUCUUGCCUCCCAAGAGUAUAGUUUCCUUUCCUAGCACCGACACAAUCACUUCUUUCUAAGACAAUAAAAAGGUCAAAAGCCAAGCACUACAAGUGGCUUCAGAACUCUAUCCUAUAAGAAGAAAGAGUAUUUUCUCGCCUGUUAACUCAUCCAAUGGCUAAUCCACUGUAUUAAGAUCCCAGUUAGUAGUUGUGCAAGUCCACCAAGCCACGUAUACUCGGGGAAUGUUUGAAACUGACCAAGCAUAUACUACAAAGGCAAAACGGGAGCCAAGUAACUGCUAUGUGUUUGUGAGCCAGAGGAUAGUUAGUGAGAGUUGCCAUUGCUAAUAAGAAUGACACUCAAUGAAAAACAGGCUACUAUCAGAAAGAAUGGAAUGAAUUGGGCCAUAAUACAUAACUCGCUAGCGCAUUACCCUUAAGUCAUAGUGAUAGGGAUGGAAUUGGGCCAUAUAAUACAUAAUUGCCAGCACAUUAACUACUUAUGCUUUCUUUUGAGGUCAACUAAGAGACUGGUUCGGUGCUUUACCAGAGGCAGCAGAGGCAGAGGCACGGGUGAGUUAGCCGGGGAAGGAAGAAUGGAAUUUGAAGACAUUCAGAUGGGAGCAAUAGAUAUUAUAUAUGAUGGUUGCCAUAAGAGGAGAAGAGCUGUCCUACCGCCCGAACAAAGGACUUGUCGAGACUUUCCUUGACACUCUAGUUUAUGUUCGUUGAUUCUACUGCUUUGAUACGAGGUGUCCAGAAACUUCAUCAUUAGCCAGGCAGAGGGAGUGGAAGAAGAUCAAUCUAGUACUGGCUUUAGAAUCGAAUUGGAAGACAUAGGCGAUGAACUCAGGAACAUAGCUAACCUGCCCUCUUGCCUUGACCAAGUUGGAAAUAAGCCUGAUUGCCCUUGCCCAACCAGUAUAGUAGUGAAGUCAGAGCCUAAUUCUGGUAUCAAACGUAAGAUCUCAAGUCUUAAGUAGUGGUCUGGUCCUGUUUCAUCUUUCAUCUGUAUGAGUUUACAGAGAAGAAUGAAGCGGGAUAGAUCUAGCCAAUUAAGUAAUAAAUAAAGAAUACAGUGUCGAGGGGAGAGAUGAGUUCAACUAAUAAGGGUUAAUCCAUUUAUUCAAUACAAUUACCAAGUCCUGUACCCGGGUACCCAGAGUUAUGAGCAAGUCCUUUUUAGUGUUCGCCUGUACCUAGGAGUAUAGAGUUGUACUAGAGUAGAGCUGUCCGAUUCUAUUCCCGCUGCAGUACAAUGAGCAGCAUGCCAAGAUCCUAAUGUUUCCGAAUAAAGGAAAACCUGCGGGAGACAAAAGGGAAAAGGAUAUCAUAGGUCUCCUGGGUAAGCUAGAGUAAAUACUGCAGACUGGAGACAGAGGUAUCCUAACAACAGAGGCUGGUCACACCAUGAUACUUUGACUAUCUAAGAAGGAGCCUGCCUCCCCACACGCUUAUGAUGAGUAUAUCUCCUGUAAUGCCCAAAUGCCUAUUUCAUAGUUGCUUACAAAGAGAACUGUGGAGGGUAGCGAUCAGAUAAAGGUGGGUUAGGUGCUCUCCCUCCUGGAAUUUGCUUGUGUCCCCCUGCCUCCUCAAACGAAAACCCUCAUAGAACGAGUCAGUGACGUGCAGGUGCGAUGGGAGCAGUUCAAUACCUUUUAUAAACAAUAUCGUCCUUUUACCCUCGGUGUUCUUCAGGAGAAAGACAGUGAGCCCCACCAUCACUGGGACCAUAUGGGCCAAUCCACCCAUGUUUGCCAAAGUUGCUGGAUUCCGAGUUUGCCUAUUUUGCCUCCUGGCCGCUCCAAGUUUACAUUAGUGGUUUCCGCGUGUCUAACAGCCUUAGUGUUUCAUAUACGCAAGAGUUUGAGAGAGCUAGCCGAAGAAAGGAGUUACUGUUCUGCCGGGCUGUGGAAUUAUGCCCUCUGCUUAACUUCAUUAGGCUAAUCUAACUCUGGGAUUCCACUCGAACAUCAUCACUUGCAGCUGAACGGAUAAUUAAUACUUCCUUAGCUUUCCAUUAACGAUUCUACUCUCACAUCAAUUGUGGAACGAGACCUUUGGUCGCUAACAAACAUGGAUUUCAGUCGAACUGCACUUUCGUACACUAACCUUGCAACUUUACUCGUACACUAACCUUGCAACUUUACUUGCUCUUGCAGCUUACAAUCCCACCUCUGAUUCUCUAAUUGACUUUCCUCUGACUUCAUAGCUCAAUCCUCUUCUUAUCCCUUAUGAUUAUUCUUCUCCCUUCUUCUUAGUUUCGGAGUAGAAGAACCGUUCCCUUUGUAUUAUUCUUAACCUCUCUACUAGGCUAUUCUUAUUACUUUAACAUCAUUUCCGGAUCCUACUGUUGAUCCUGAUUGAGAGUCCUUUCCGAGAUACUUUCCUCGAACCCCCCUUUCAGAACCGCUAGUAUACUUUCUGGAUCCCGAUCAACCUCUUCUUGACGCGCCAACCUCCACUGGUCCUAGAACUAUUACUGGUCAUUCUUCUUAUGCUUGAGCCUCAGAUCCUGCUUAUAAUCAGACAAGCCGACAAGUGACUACUCCAGUUUUCGUCAGGGCGUCAGCGAGUUUUAUUAUCUCGCGGUAUUAUCUAGUUUCUUCCGAUUCUGUUUCGAACAGCUUCCUAAUCACAAGUGACAGAACAAGUAUACUUUGCACAUAAGCCUUAGAGCACCGCCAGCUUACUUUCGUACUGCUUGUGAUCUCGUAUACUUGACUUUGGUUUGGCCAAUAACCUCUUUCAAGUAUCAAGUGGAGUAUCAAGAAAAGAAAGAAGUCGAAGAAGGAUCAUCUGCUGGAGAAGAAACAGUGCUGCAUCCAGGUGUUGGUGGUUCUUAACUUCCAGUAUAGGCAGGCCGGGCGCUAAGCGAGACUACUAAAUGCAUCAGCCAGCGAGGGGAAGGGGUGUAAUAUAAGAAGUAACUAACCAGCCCCAGGGCUCUCUCCCUCAAUUCCCAACCCUAGUUCUCUUUCCUUUCUGAAUUGACUAAAACAGGACUUGCUUCUCACUCAUACUAACAACAACUAUGGCUAACGCUCUGAUAACUCAACAAACAACCAACUAGACUACUGCUAAGGUAUAUGUUAUUAGGCUCAAAUUCAUUGUCUCCUGACUCCUUUCCUUACUCAGAGGCAGAGACCCCGUUGUGCUAAUGCGAGUUCUUUGAAUAGAAGUGAGGCACCGCACCGAAAUAAUGGUUUCUACUUGCUCUAGUUUCGUUAGCGCAACGUCCCGUCCCGACAAACACCUAAUGCCAAUGAAGACAGGAACUCUUAUAACUCUGUAAGCGCUAAACUGCUUGGCUUGUUGACUUGUUGAAGAGAAAUUCCGUAUACCCGUCAUUGAAAGAAGUCACCAAACCUAACAACAAUUACUUACUCAACCCUUUGUGACUCUAAGGAAUAGUUGUAAGAUAGUGCACCCGCAAUCGGCACUGACUUGACAUCGAGCAGCGCAUAAAAAGAGGUGGAAUUGACUUUCGACUUCUCAAGCAUUAACCGAACACGCAACUAACCGGUACCCUCCCAUCUACAAGCAAGAGGAAGAGCGCCAAAGGGAAUAAGUCCAGUCAAGUACCAUAGUCUAGCCUUCAAUGUGCCAAUCGACAUUCUGAAAGUCAAUAAGCACGGACGCUAAUAAGUUUUGAAACAAAAGAGAAGCCGUCAAGUCAUAAUAAAUAAGCCAUAGGAAAGCUGUCAAGUUAAGUCAUAAUAAAGAAGCAAUAGGGAAGAGCUUUUGUGUGUUAGUGAGUUACAACAGUAAGGUUACACUUUCUUACAUAAGUUGUCGUGCAUGUGCAUAUUCUAUGGAAUUGAUCUUUCUUGAGAGUGGAAUUUCACAGUGUUGUUACUUUGACUCUUUCUUACUUAUAUAAUAUGAAUAGGAGAGUAUAUGCACGCACCAUCUUAUAGCUAUCAUACCUGGCGAAAGCAACAACCUUAGGAACAGGCAACUAGAACAAGCAACAUUAGGAGUUCAAUCAGGUUACUUGUUAGCGCGUUAGGCUUAUUGUGCUUGCUCAGGUGCUUACUUUGCCCUCACGCCCAGAGACCGACCUUCGUUUUUGGACCGCGCUUCAACGCCCUAUCAUACUUAGGCUUCCUUGAGAUUUCUUCCUUCCCACUUCUACUGAGCUUCCUUGAGAUUUCUUCCUUCCCGCUUGCUUUCUUUAGACUUCUUUCUUUCUCGCUUAUCUUAUACAGAUUGAUUUCCCGCUUAUACUGAGCUUCCUUCCCGCUUCUAUCAAUUCCUUCAAACAAGCCCUUUUAGAAAGCGCUAUCACGUUUAGAGUUACUCGCCUAAAAGUGGUUGGGGACUCGAAAUAGGUUAUAAGUCAGGUCGCGGGAGAGUGGAAGACCAGGGACUCUAAGUAUAUUCUAUAUAAAGAGUUUGCCGAACGGCCUAGUCUAACUCUUUGAUGAGGUGGUUUUCGUAUCACGGAUCUUGGUGAACGUUGUAGUAGUUCAAAUGGAGGGUUCCCAACCCUCGGAUCGAAUUUCUUUCUCUGUUUUUGGUACCGGCAUGUCGAUAAUUGCUUUCUUUAGCGCAGGUCGACUUCUAUUUCUCUUCUGCGGACAAUGAACCCGAGUAGCUUACCUAACGAAGCACCAAACCAACCUGGCUUUAUAUGCUUUUUGAGGAUGAAGACGAAGACCUUAUUUCCGUAAUAUGUCAAACACUCUCUGGAAAUUCACGGUAUUCUUAAGCCCAUGACGAUCAUGUCAUCGACAUAGACCUCCAUUUCCUCAUGCAUCAUAUCAUGAAACAGCGCAGUCAUGGCUCGCAUCGCCCCGGCAUUCUUUAGACCAAACGGCAUUACCUUGUAACAGAACAUGCCCCCCUAUAAGAUAUGGUUAUCAAGUUCUCUCUCGCUGAUAUGGUUAUCAAGUUCUCUCUCGGUCUUGUCUUCCUCGGCCAUCUUGAUCUGGUUAUAUCAAGAGAAAAAAGCAUCUAUAAAGGACUGCAUCCCAUGUCCAGCGGUGUUGUCCACCAUAACAUCAAUUUUCGGAACGGAAGAUCAAAGAGGAUUUUGGGCUUGCCUUGUUUAGGCGACUCAGAGAACCCGCUUUCCAAUUUAGGGAAAAACUGUUCUCGAAGAAGCGUGACCAUCCAAUCCAGUAGAAUCUCGUUACUAUCCCGUGUGGUUAUGGGGGCGGGCCUACUGUCCACUUUGUGACUCGGGCGGCAAGCAAGUGAAUGUGAUCCCACCCUCCAUCCGCCGGUGUGUGUGUGAGCUUCGCUCCUUAUAGCUCUACUUCGCUGCCGGCCACUUUCGCUCCUCUACCAUAUGUCAUUGAUUCAUUCUGUGGAAGUUAGGCACGUUACUCGAUAGCGCGGGCACAAUACCUUUGAAUGCAAACAAACAAAGAAUAGCGAGACCACAUAUCAAAAGGUUGGUUUUGAACCCCCCAUCCAUUGUUUAGAAGUCCCUGAGGGAGGGGGACACGGGUAUUUACUAAAGAAUAGAUAUAUAAGGGAAACUUUCCUAUCUACUAUAUCUAUAUUUCUUCAUCGAAGAAGGUGCCUUCCGAGUGGUUUGGUCGGAAAUAAAUGUUUGCCUCUUUACAUUUCCGUUUCUUUCGAUGAAAUCGACCCCACCCCCUGUUCUUAGACGGGAGUAGAAAGCUCGAAAGCUAGUCUCCGGGAGUAGAAAGCGCGAAAGCUAGUCUCAGCCUAUGUAUCUGGACAGCCUUUUCUCAUCUCGGUAAGCCUUGCCCCUUCGAAAUUCUAGAGGUAAUGAGAACAGUUGACGAGUGAGGCGAGGGGUUUCUUCCUCUCAAUCGACGAGGGCUUGAGUCCACUACGGCAAGUACAAUGCGCUAGCAGUAUAUUCUAUAACGCUGGCUUCUUCUAUAAAGAAAGCAGUCCUUGGGUUUGGGACUCCGUCUUGUCUUUAGGGACUAUAUUCAUUGUCAUUAAGCAAUCGUUUCUUGCGUUAUCUGUUUUUUGCGUAUAAGAAUCGCGGAACGUAUGUGGUACCGCUUAUGGUACUGCUUGUGGUAAAGACUGCUCUUCCUGUAUACUUACCUCUCCUUCGAAUCCUCUCUCUUUCUUCCAUCAUUGUUCUGUAUGCAGUUUUCUUUGGCCACUCGUAAGUAUGCUUCAUUUGGGGAGGGUAAGCUUCGAGUGUUGAUACCUCGAUUCUUAUAGGCUAUAGAUUGGCGGCAACAUCUUCCAUAGUUAUCUAAGCAUUCCUGAAGAGCCUUAAGGUGGGUUUCAAAAGAAGGUUUCUCUGGGGUAGUUAGGGAGGAUUUGGUGGAUUAGAUCUGAGACUGGGCUUUUCAUAAAGCAAGGACCUAAAGAAGGAGCGGGGUUACUUUCGAAGGGGACGGAAAAUGAGUCUCUUGAGCCAUGAUUUUCAAAUAAGAAGCAUCUAGAGAAAGGAGAGUGAAAGAGGUUGAGCACAAGAAAAGAGAUUGGAAGAGAAUUAGGAAGUAAGACCAGACCGGUAAAGGAAUGAGAGAUCCUCUGAAUUCUUUGUGAGGCUUCCCCAUUUUAGUGAAAGUUACCCCAUAAAGUCCAUCUACGGUCAAUCAGUUUCCUUCCGACUGCAUUGCAAACUCUUUCAUGCCUCACUCCACUAUAAUAAGGGAAUUCCAAUAGUUGUUUAUUAGCUUAUGUAUUCUAAAGUCAUUGAGAAAUUCGUCAUUAAGAUUAACUGGAUCUAUUCGGCUAUUUCUCUUAACAUUCGCAUAGUGUCCACAUUUCGGGUAGAGGAGACCUUCCUUUCCAGGAAAUGGGAUGAGUAUUCUUCACCUAAGGAUACCGAAACCACUAGUAGUGAGAAAGGGCUUUCGCUGCUCUUCUCCUAAACCUCUUCAAUUAGAGCUAGCUAUAGAGCGAACUUUUGCUAUGCUUUAUCACUUUUGCUAUGCUUUAUCUAUAGAGGCGGGGUUCCCCCUCCACAACCUGACCCUACCUACCAACAUACUUUAGUACAACUUACUCGGUCCUUCUUCAGCCACUUCUUCGAACGAUUAUGAAAGAGUAGCAAGGCCUUCUCAUAGCCUUUGAAUCGGAAGCCCUGCCCUAGACCAGACCCAACUCGCUUCAGACUCACUUUCAAGCUCACAAUUUCCAAAGUGUUCAACUUCAAAAGAAAGGUAGGAGAAAGACUCUAUACAAGCUAAAAGCGGCUAGGAGUACUCCAGCACUACCACCAGUUAGUGAUUCAACCACGGCGAAAAUGGACUGCGGUUAUACGCUUACACCAAUCCUAUUGCUAAAAGAGCUGAUUCAAUAGCAAAUUGCUAAAAGAGCUGAUUCAAUUGCCAAGGUGCUGAAAGCCUUCCCUUAUACUGCCAACUAUGCUAACUCUUCUAUUCUCGACAGAUGGUUUAUUCAGGGGAGCUGUAGAAAGACCCGAAAUCAGGCAUAUUCUUAAAGCAUCCUUUACGCCACACAUACUUCUAAUGCCAGGAGAGCUUAUAAUAAGUCCCUGUUAACUCAUGUCUACUUCUCUUUCAGUAAGAACCAAUUUAGUAACAAUAACAUUGGACUAAAUGCAAUUUUCCUUCCUAGAGGCCAGUGGUAGAAAGCUCAAUCGAGUUUGAGUUCCUCUUUCUUGGGGUCAAAAUAGGCUAUAAGUAGGCCGUUUGCUAUUGCUUGCUAUACGAGCAGUUUACCUUUAUACGGCUUGCUUGGCUUUCCUAUCGCUCAAUUGUGUGGUGGUCGACCUUAACGCCAGAAGAAAGCAAGAUGAGGUCCAAACUUCGUAGACGUAGAGGGAUACUCUAUUCUCCCUGGUACUAUAUUCUCCCUGGUACUAUAUUCUCCCGGAACUCUACUGGAAUCUGUCAUUCUAGUAAAGGUUGGGCGAGAAAGACGAAAACUAGAGUCUAAUUCUUAAUGUGCUAGAUCAUACCUGAUAGUUCUAAUUGCAGAAUUUCAUCACCUUUGCUAUUUCAUUUUCCUAUAAAUCAAAGGUGUAUUGUUUUAGUGCUUAAUGCUUCCCUAUUAUACAAGAAAAGAAUCAUCUUCCCGAUUCUACCGAGGCAGUUUAGAUGAGCAUUGGGCUUCUUUAUACGAUGAACUACAGCCAACUUGAAACCUUACUCGUGGACUACACUCGAACUAUCAAGCUUAUUCUUGACUUACCGCUUCAAAGCCAUUCCCUAAAACAGAAGAGAAACCAGCGUUAGGAGUUUACAGCACUUCACCAGUUGACUCUUCCUUUCUAGUUCUGUUUGUUUCCUUGCUUCUUUCUAGAACUUGCCUUAGCACAACAGCUUGUUCGUAGUUGGCAGGCGUGGGGAAGGUCAAUUAGAUUCUUCUCCAAGAGAUGGAAUGGGAAUGCUACUUGGUGAGCGGGUGCAUUAGAGAGUUCCGGACUGUAACAAAGGACUGGUCUUCGACAACAAAAGAAGCCGAAGAUGAGGCACCGAAGAUAUUCUAUAAUAGGAGAGCACUCGUUCAUGAAGCUGCCUAACACUAUCAAGCAGGAACGAAACUCAACCCGUACUAACACCGAUGAAGACAGCACUUGCGCCUUAGCGAGCUCACAGUUCCAUUAAUCUUUCCGUUUUCACAAGACAAGCAAUGACGUCAGGAGUUCCAGAUGCGCUUGAUGGUUUCGUUGUGCUUACGGGAGGGAGUUGAGUUAAAACAAGGUCAAUUCGAUUCUUCAGUAUAGCUGGAACAGGUUAGGAAGUUCGUUUGUGUUCCUCUCAGUAAGUUCACUAUCUUCCUUCUAUACACACUAGGAACGCAACCUUUCUUUAGAGCCAGCAGUCCACUAUGUUGUUACUCUCUUACAUAGUAGGUACACCGCAUUCAAUUCCAUAAGUUCAGUAAGGAAGCAAGAAGCAGUUGAGUAAACAGUGAGUUUCGAGUUAGGAGUUUUCACACGCUAAAAGAUAGGAAGCUUAGCAGUUACUAUAUUAUUCCAUAUGUGGUGGAAGAAAGAUUUCCUUUUCCACUUCUUGUUCCAUUGCGCGCGUGGUUUAGUUUAGGAAUGUUGUAGAGCGUGAGCUUUAGAGAAUAAGGAUUGACUGUUUUGAAGCAACGAGCAAACUAACUCUACUUCAGUAGACCAUGCUGAAGGCCUCUUUAUCGUCUAAGAACAGAGGUUAUACGUAGCUAAUGGCAAUUCAAGAGUUUCGGGGCUACCUAUCUUGCUUGUUCUUCUUGUUCAUUAUUAUAGAAUUGGAAAUAUAGGAUGGAAAUUGGGCUGAGUGGACUAAGGCGGCGCUACUAAUCCGUUGGACGAGUUUCGUACCGAGGGAGGGUUUUUGCACCGAUCUCUACGCUCGCUCUGAAUACUGGAGCGAAUUGAAGGAAUCUCUAUUCUUUUCUGUAUUUAUAGGUAAGGUGAAUCUAAGGCAUAUAGCAAAGAAGAAUAACCAAUUAGCAAACAUCAAUCCUGUUAUUCCUCACGUCCUGGAUCAUUAGAUUAGAUAAGAAUCCUCAGAUGAAGAAAGAAACUAGGAAUGUUACUACAGUGUAUAAACAAAGAGUUCGAGAGUGACUUGACUCAACGAACUAAUGCUUAUGUGCUAGCCCCUCGAUAGUCUGCUCAACGAACAAAUCUCCGGCUUUUCAUUCCUUUCUAGUGACGGGUAAGAGAAGAUAGCUCGACCGUGGUAGCCCCGUAGAGGAUCACUUGUACCACCUUAGGAAAGUGCUCACUCGGUUAAGGGAGUACAAGCUAGAAACAAAUGAAUCUCGUAGAAGCGGGAAGGGAGUUAAUGAGUUAAGGUAUUAAAUAGGGGUAAGUUAGUAGUUAAAGGGCCAAGUAACCACUAAUGUCGAUUCCGCAAGUCAAGUGGAGUUCACCUUAUUGCUUUAAUCAGUGAAUCUAGAUAAGAAAGAGCUUUGUAACGUGUAGAACUCAGUAAUAGGGGAGUCAACUCCUUCGCCACCCAGAGACAAAGUCAGCUAACACAUUAUCCCAAAGCCCGGCCUUAUAGUCAUUUGCACCUCAUACUGAACUGUCAACAAAUCCACUCGCAUUUAGGCUUAUUGCUCGGAGUUAGCGCCCCAAGAGAAGAGAGCCAGCAGUCAACAGGAAGUCGGCAGUAAACUAGAAGUCCGCAGUAAACAGGGAGUCAGCAGAAGAAUAAGCUUCAGGCAGGGGCAAUUGCACUUUCUCCUAACACGCUUUACCCCAAUAAGUAAGCUGACGCACGACAAUCAUCUACUGUUCUUUCGAGCCUCCUUCCUCACUAAGGUGCAACAUGAUACUAAGCUUGUUUCGACUCAAACUCCCUAUCGCCGAAAAUAGGACUGGAAGCUAUAAGUACAGAAGUAAAGUCUCAAGGAACCGGAACCAUAGGAUUUGCCAUUAGCUACCUUUACCCUCUGUUCAACGACUCGAAAUCAAGGCUAAGGUCGGGUCUCUUGUGCACCCAAAGAGACUAAAGUCGAAGAUACCGCUCCGUUAAAGCUAGAACGUUUAGUUAAAGCUAGAACUAUAAGAUACAGCUCGUAGUCUUUUAAGUGAGUUUAGAGAAAGAUGCAAGUCCUGUAGCCAAAUCCAACACCCUGCCUUCCCGCUUCAAGUAAACGAUUUGAUACCCGCACCUGCGCUACCAAUAGAGAUGACAUCCUGUCCUGUGCUACCAAUCAAUCCAUUUUCUCUUCUUAUAUGGCUUGGCGCUCUCUACUCCACUCUUAAGUUAGAGACAAGCUACUACUGACUCGUACAAACUCUUUACUUGCCUUGCUCUAACAAUUACUCAUUGAUACUCGGGGCAAGCGUAUACUACAGUAGCGACCAAGCUUAGGGACAAACAACGCGAAGACAACUAUCAUAAGAAGAAACUUACAUAUAGUAUAUUGAUGAGUGGUUAUUACUAAACCUGUGCCCUGCCGCCAAGUCCUGUAUCUGAGAGUCUGUAGAGUUAUGAGUAAGUCCUGUGUUCGGGAACUCAAUCCUACUCAUUUCAUUCUGACUUAAGAGUUGUUGUUUGUUAGGCACUAGUGUCAGGGUUAAAGCAAGUUGCGUAAUACUAAAGCUAACAAGCAAGAUAGAGGCCCGGCAGAGAGCGAAGAAAAGGAAGUCAAGCAAUACAGAUAUGCUGUCAAGUCAGAAUAAGGUUUAGGCAGGACAGGUUCCUAGGCAGUAAAGCAAGGAUCAAUGCCUGUGGUCUUAUAUUAUAAUCAAAGUGAGGAUAGUCAGCCUAGUUAGUGGGUUCUAUUCUGAUAUUUCAUAGUUAAAGAAAGAAACCCCCACACAAGAAAGGAAGAUUGAAAGACCCACAGCACAGCAGGGAAGCAUGACACUUUUCAUGAGCUGGGGCAAAAAGAAAGAAGAAGUUAUGAACAUUCACUGUUCUUUAAGGCUUCUUUGACUGUGCAAAUGCUGCUGUUCAGGCUGGAUCGAAAGUUGUAUCCAUUUUACAGGAAAGGAAGAUACCAUCGCUGAUCGUUAUUUGCAAACCCGGGCACUGAGAAGGCGAGGCUAAAGUGGGCAGUGCAGGCAAAAACAUAGCAAGUAAUCACUCGUUAGAAACUUGUUAUUCCGGGAACUAGCGGCCCUGCCGCCAUGAAAGCCGGACUCCGGGCCAAGCAACUAAGUAAGACGGCCAAGACACGGAUAGACAAGCAACGAAGCAGGAAGGUAAGAGUGAGAGUUAGUUCGGGCAAGAGAACUGGUAUAGAUAGGUUGGUUUGGUGCCUGAAAGCAGUGCAAGCAAUCCUUCCACUAGUGCAUCUCAGCCUGUAGCAAGUAGGCCUGUUCCUGUGUUCGGGUGCUGAAAGCCAGCAAGCGAUUCUGAAAGUGUAGUUUCGAGUUUAAGCAGAAGCUGGGGCAGAAUCUAGUACAUGCGCAAGUUGGGUCUGCAGCGGAAUUGCCUGUUGGAGUUUUCUCGUAUUUCACUUUGAUCUUGGAAAGAAGAAUUGAAGACUGAAUUUGCAACAUCAACUGCUUCUACGGAUAGAAGACCAAGAAAAGAAAGCGCUGACCACUGCAGUAGAAAGCUGGGUACCAAUAUUCGAUUCUUCAGCUGUUAAGGUUUAAUUGGACUAAGAUCUCUGGGAGUGAGGGCGAGACUAUGCUUUAAGCAUCAGCAUCAGCGUCAGGGAGCUGCAAGUUCUCAGGUUUAUGGCGUUAAUUUCGUUCUGUUCCUGUCUUCCGCGUUAGUGGUUAAAGUGAAGUUAAGUUCUGAUAAAGAAUCCUGUAUUGGUGGAGCACAGGGAAGGGCAGACUCAGACAAGUAACUACAACUACAUAAAUAAACGAACAACGUCUUGUUGCCGUUGCUUUUUGCAUUUGAGAUAGCUAUCAUCUACCAAGUGGAAAAAUCUGCUUGUUUCAUUUGAGAUAGUUAUCAUCUACUAAAAGUGGAAUAAUCUGAGAGAAAAAGCCUCCACGGGUAAAUAAUAUGAAACUCAAACUGCUGGGGCGACUCCAUCCGGUCCAGAGGACUAGCUAACCGGUGAAUAAAGUUAGUCACUCAAUUGAAGUAGGGAAUUAUGAAAAGAAGAGCGGAACAAUCUCCUUAAGAGAAGAAUCCAUGCAAUCUAACUCAAUCAAUAAAGUCAAAAAGCUUCCCAUACUAAAGUCAGUAGUCACGAGAGACUAUACUAUGAUGAAAUCCAGAGAUGAAAAGGUUCCAAUGAAUUGUAAUUCGACGCUCCUCCUCCAUUUAUUAAGACUGUAGGCCUGUUUAAGUAAUUGGAGGCUAGACCCAUAAAUCAAGCAAUUCCAUCGAAGGUAAUCAAUAAAGUUGUAGGACCGGUCGGUUAAACGGACUAGGGUAGGGCCAUGGGAGAUCGAUGGGAUUACGCGGAGCCAAGUGCUAGACUUCUCCGAUGCACCUCUGACAAAGCAUUGAAAGAAGAAGACAACGCUAGUACAAUACAAUAGAAUAGAAUAGUAAUAGUAGACUCCCUAUAAUACAAUAGAAUAGUAAUAGUAGACUCCCUUUAUGUACUAAACUCAUCGCUAGUACAAUACAAUACAUAGUAGACUUACUCCUAGUCUUGUCUUUCUUUAUGUACUAAACUAAUACUGUGCAAGGAAAUGUCCUAAACUAAUACUGUGCAAGGAAAGACCCACAAAAAAGGGGAAGCAAGGACCCGAAUAGUCAGAGGCCAAAGAUUCAAAGGAGAAGGAAGCACGGGUAAAGAUUUCUAGUAAAGAAUUCCAAGAGAGCAGACGUAGGCAAGUGAAGACAGAUGAGGAUGGCUAAACUAAGCAAUGCUGCGAAAGCAGACCACUCCCACGAACGCAAUCCGGGAUCGCUUUAUUCCGUAAGUUCCAAGUCUACUAAAUCAGUAGACGACAAGCUGUAACGAAUGAAGACGACCCGAGAGCCAUUCUUUCGAAAGCAGCAGCUGCGGAUACAGGCGAUGCCCCGUAAGCAAGUACUCUCAUUAUGCACUGCACAGUCAAUCACGCACUGAUCCUUCCUAUAAACCUCAAUUAGUGAAAUGGAAUCUCUUCGUCAGAAUCAUCCUUCUCUUUCAUGAGAUUAGCAUUUUGCUCUCUCUUCAUUGCAUUCGGCAUGAUCAGGGGGUUGGUUGGUUUACCCCUUCCUUCUUUGGUGGGCCUUCCUGCCAGACAUAAUGUUUCUGCCUUGUCUGUAAAACUUCCUUAAUAGUGUAUUUGAAAAUCAUAUGUUUGAUACAGACUUAUUAAGAAGGAUUGUGCUCCUGGGCCUGGAGAUUCUGGUCUUUGUACUGAUGGUAUCUAUUCUCAAAUAACGGAAAUUAGCUCUAUCGCGCAGCUAACGGCUGUUUUCAUUCACAAUCCCUGCGGUUGAAGAAGGUCCAAUGUACAGGUAAGUGAAACUGCCCUGGAAAAGCUUGAGAUAGGUGCUUCCAGCUUAAGUACAUGGGGAAUAGAGGUCCUAUAGUUUAUUGGCUCUUAGGUGGACUGUCCCUGUAGCUAAAGUCAAGCCGAGUUCGCCUUCGCAUUUUCUCUUUUUUGAGACAGGGGGAGACCUAACAAACUCUCUAUGUUUGUCCUUGCAGCUAACAAGUUGGAAGUCUUCCCGGAGUACCUGUUAGCUGUUCUAGUUCAGAACUGUAUGGGACCUCUUGCUUAGGGCGGUGUAAGCAACCCGGCAGAAGUGGAUCGGAAGUGUCCUCUUUCACAAAGGUAGUCUUAGCAGCCUAAGUAAUAGUAAGCUAAGCCUAAGUAAUAGUAAGCUAAGCCUAAGUAAUAGUAAGCUAAGCCUAAGUAACAGUAAGCUAAUAAGUCAAGAAAGAAGGUGUAGCGAGAGAGCUCAUUUGUUUACGAUUCUAUUCAUUGAAGUCGCCUAAGUCAAUUUCCAUUAAAGUAGGACGAGAAGGGAGAUGAGAAGCCCUCUGGAAUAAGAAAGACCCCAAGUGAGCCCAAGCAGCCUUAAGAAAGUCAAGGAGGUGCGCUGCACUCAUAAGGUUGAUUGAGAAGCCCGUUCGUGAGUCCGUUAAGCAUUUAAUAAAGAGAGACUCGCUCAUAAAGUAGGUUGAGCGGUGAAUUCUAUGAAUCGAGCCCAGCCCCGUCUUAGUAAUUAACUAAGAGAUAUUCGUUCAUCUUCUCAACAAACGUUCAUCUUCUCCACUAAUAAUUCGAAAAUCCAGAAUCGGCUCAAAUCUCUGAAUCGGCUAAUUGUUCUCUGAUAGCGCCUGCUCCAGUAUAGAUUUCUCGAUUUCUAAAUGUAUCUAAGCCUUGGAAAAAGGGUAGUAUGCUGUAUUUCCGAGAUUGGAUUUCAUAUUCGAAUAAACCUCGUAAUCGUAAGCAAAGUCAAGUAGGCUUUUGAGCUAUGGGCCUAGCAUAAUCCAAAUCGAUAUAGGUUCCUGUAGGAUUGGAAUUCCCCCCUUUUGGAAAAUCAGACGUGAAGGGUUCCUUUCAUCCGGCUCAAGUCCGUAGGCGCGUAGGAAUUCUAGUGAUUUGUUCAAAUCCAAGACAUAAACAGAGAAAAGUCAAAUGCUUCUUCAAAAGAACCAGAUAAAGAAUGGACACAAAUAAAGGAUAUCUUGGAAUAGAAACAAAUAAAGGAUAUCUUGGAAUAGAAGAUAUUUCCUUAUCAUUCCUUUCCAUAGAUUUCUUAUUCAUAUAUUUGGAUUAGAAUUGAUGAAAAAAAGCGUGACUAUACCAAGAAUGGGUUAACGUAGGAAUAGGCGUAUAGGUUAACGUAGGAAUGGGCGUAGAAUCCAAAAAGGAAUUCUGCAUUUAUAGCAAGUUGAAACAAGACCUUUGUAACUGUUACAGAUGUACGAGGUGUCGGGGGGUUUUGAUUGGGCCUAGCUGGUACUUCUGGAUUCAAAGGAGCAGCCCUAAGCUGCUCAAGCUGCGGCAUUUCAUGCUAUUCGUACUGUUGUUUAGAAGGGUAUGCAACGAGCAGAAGUUAUGAGAAAAAAGGGUCCAGGUCUCCAGAAGAGAUGCUGCAUUACGAGCCAUUCGUAGAAGUGGUAUACUAUGAAUGAAGGUUUCGUACGUGAUGUAACACCUAUGCCACAUAAUGGAGACCCCCUUCCAAAGAUGUGUGUAGAAAUAAUAAUAAGAAAACUCCUGGAAAGAAAGAGAAAUAAAUGAUUCAAUGAUCUGAGAAAAGAAUAGUAGAAGUAUAGUAUGGUUCGAGAGGAAGUCGCAGGAUCUACUCGAACACUACAGUUACGGUGUGUUGAAUCAAGAGUGGACAGUCAGCGUCUUUCUUAUGGUCGGUUUUGUUCCCACGCCUUAUGAAAGGUCAAGCCGAUACCAAUUGUAUUGCCGUGCAAAGGGCUUUACUAGGAGAAAUAGAAGGAAGAUGUAUCACACGUGCUAAAUAAGAGAAAGUGCCGCAUUAAUAUUCAUAGAUCUAUGGUAUUGAAGAAUCGGUACAUGAAAUUGGACGAAAUUGGAAAGAAUAAGUAUAUAUAAGUCAUAUAUCCAUAAGAAGUAUUGAUAAGUCAUAUGAAUAUUCUAGAUAGAUAAUAGAUAUAUAUAUUGUGAUAGACGCAUCCAUUUGCAUCAGGGGCCCCGCCAUACAUACAACACCGCUCAUGAUAUCAUCUCACCAACUUCCGUGGAAAUAGUUGACACAACACAACAUCUAUAUAUAGCUAACCUGACGGAACCAAUAUCUUUGUGUAUUGGAUUACAAAUCCGGAGGGAUCGUAGAUAUCGUACGAAACCAACCACUCACUCUCCAAAUAGAAGUUAUCCUCGAGAUGCUGUAUCUAUGCCUGUUCGAAGCAUGCUGUAUCUAUGCCUGUUCGAAGCAUAAUAUAUAUCUAGUAUUCUUUCUUAUGGGCCAAGAGACACUUUUUCUAGAAAUAUGGACGAAAGGAAGUUUCACUCACUCCUAAGAAGAGAAGGAAAGGAAGGAAGCACUUAUUAAGCUUCUCUAUAUUCUAUAUCCAUAUGUCUUUAUGAAGCUUCGCGUCAUUUUAUAUAAAUAAGUAUUCCUUUUUCUACAUGCGGAGGAAGAGGACAUGAAUUUCCAAUAAAAUCAAAGUACGGCCCCGAUUAACUAAUCUCCGGAUUAACUAAUCUCAAUCAAAACUCUAUCUCAAUUCCAUUUCCAUGUAUUUUGAUUGACCAAGAAGAAUGACCUGACCCAUAAUUGUAUCAAAGGGAAGGGUAUUUUACACUGUUAGCUAGUUCGUUGCAAGUUGAAACUAAAUAGAGGGCUCUCCACGCCUACGAUUUUAGGAAAGAGCAGAGUUUAGGGGCCAGAUCUGUUGAGCUCAGGAAAGUGCUUUAGUCAUGUAAGGGAAGUGAGCAAAUCCUUCUCGCUUUUGAUCUUGUCGAUUCCCCUUGGCUUGGCUUUGGCAAAGAAAGCUGUCUACUAAAUAAACCCGGAGCAAUUUCAUAGCUACCUUCGAAGAUUAUAGUGUUACUCCAUUUUGGGUGUGAUCUAGUUCUUUGUAGGGCGCCCCUCUUACUCUGAGUAGGCAUAGAGAGAAAUAGCCCCUUACUGCUUUACUGCUCUCCGCUGCGCACCGUCGGCUUGGCGAAUCCAUCUGCCUAACAAUCAAUCUCAUAGAUAACAGGAAGUAGAUCAAUUUCGGUCUACACCUUACAGGAGGAAGAGGUCGGAUUGCCUAAACUAACCAAUACAACUCUCAAAAGAGCCCACUAACGCUAUAUUAGGUGGUAAAGACAUAAAGAAAGAAGCGUCGCAAUAUAGAUAGGUGGUAAAGACAUAAAGAAAGAUCGUGUCCGUGAAUGAUCGGGUUUCAACGGCAUCCCAACAUGGGGAUAUAGGACGCGUGUAUAGUUCUCAUUGGAAAGAAAGAAGCCACAUAUUCCAUAUCUUUCCCGCCUGACACAGUUUGACACGCAGUGAUACGGCUCAAAAUCAUUAGUCUACGAAGGAAUCUAAAGAGAACAAGCACGCGGGAAAAAGCAAGUGUCUGAUCAGAUCAAUCAAGAGAUAGGGCUUCGGCCAAACAUCUUUUUCCUAAGCUAAGACGGACGAGAGUGAGACUAUUGCAAAAUCUCUUUAAGGAGAGAGUGAAGCAUUCCGCUGGGCCAGAGGCAAGUUAAAGACUAGUAGAAAGAAGUAUUUGAAAGACAAGUAGAAGCCAGUUCAAAGACGAGUACGCUUACGACAAGUAGAAGCCAGUUCAAAGACGAGUACUAAUAAGAUAAGCCUUGAGUUAACCUGUGUUUGGAUUCCUAAGGUGGUAAGUCAACUCUGGAUUUGUUUGUAAUAAGAGCGGUUUUUGACUAUACCCACCUCGACCCCGAACCUUGCUUCACCAUCUUUGAUUCCGAAACUAUUGUAUCUCCGCCUAUCUUUCAUGUCUCUAAAACGGAAACGCUUAACCUAACAUCCGUAUUUUCCCCAGGAUUAAGAUAUGAAGCGGACUUGGAAGUCAGAGAAGGUAUUAGUUUUAUUGAACUGUAUUUCUCACUGCUCACUGGGAUGGAUUUCAUGACUGGGCGUAAAGGGCACGUCGUCAGCCAGCUUUGAUUCUAUCUAAGGUGCUUCUAUGACUAAAGUGUGUCUUAGAAAGGGGAUUGGAAACAAUGGUGAAACUAAGAGGCCUGCUUCGUCUUGCUCUCCUAUAUACUAAACGGACUUGCCAUCUCUUCUUGAUUCUUUACGGAUGGCCGCCUUCUUGAUUCUUGACAGAUGGUAUAUCUCACCUACUUGCCUGAUUCUUGACAGAUGGUAUAUCUCACCUACUUGCCUGAUUCUUGACAGAUGGUAUAUCUCUCUCUUGCUUAACACUGGCUAUAAACAAUGAAUGAAGGAAACCGCUUAUAAGGCCAUAAAGCUAUUGUUGCAACUUGAGUGAGUUUGGAAGGAUAACACUCAAACCGAUAUAGGCCGGCCUGCCUGCCUUUUAGAACGUUUUAGACUUGGAGAAAUAUUGAUUGCUGCCUGUGUGGCUAACCGAACUCCUGCGCGCAACGUUAGUAGUUGCUUGCUGCGCAUUUCUUUCUAUCCCUUCCCUAUCUGGUGACGCUGGACUAGCCGAGCCUUUCUACUCUUGCUGGACUACCUUUCUACCUAUAACUUUCCCCAACCUUCCAAACUGUCAAAGAUUAGCUCGUGCCUCUCCCGGUAUGGAAGCCAAGAUGCCAAUUAGAGCUCCAAUUGGUUAUUGAGAUUGCGUUUCUAUUCAUUUUUGGACUAGUUUGAUUGUACUUUCUUUCCACUGAAACUAUUCCCGUAACUAUUUCUUUCCACUGAAACUAUUCCCGUAACUAUGGGAGGCACUCCUCUGAUACGGAUACUGAUGCACUGCUUGUUAGCGGUAAAUAAGAAAUCCCCUAUGUUGAAACGCGCAUGAAUGAAAGGGUUCUCCCCACGAAAUAAUCCCCUAUUCCUGCUAUUAUCCUAUUGAUUGAAAUUGAACUAUCUCUUUCCUCUUAAUAUGGUAUCGCGAGAUGAAAAACCGGACGUUAAUCAAAGCGAAAAUAGGUUUGGGUAUACUACUUUAUAAGAUAUAUAAUAUAAGAGAAAUAAAGGAAUCCAGAAAGAAUAAGCUAAAGAGCAAAUAAUAGAAGAAAGAAUCAGAGGUGCUAAGAGCCUUGCCAUCCGGGCUUAUGGGUCCUAUUCUUGUGAACCCGGAGGCUUAUAUAGUAGUAAGAUCGAUGCUGUAAAUACUUCACGCUAAUUCUAACAGUAAUAAGUAAGGGAAGACAAGAACCGAUUCCACCUCAAUCAGCUCGACCUUUUAUGCAAUUAUGAACGGACCACUAUCUCGAUUCCAAUGCAACUUCUCUUUUUUGAGCUGACGUAACAAACGUAGUGAGCCUCCCGAUGAAGCCAACAGAAAUCCUAUCCGAAUAUGAAAAAGAAAAGGCAAUUGAAUUAUGGUGGUAUACCAGCCGCCAGUUCUUCCACUUCCAGUUCCAAUCGGAGCAUAUAGAUCCGUAAAUAGAUUAGUAUGUAUAGCCACUUCCGUGGUGCUGGUCGUUUUUCGAAUGGACAAAAAGUAUCUUUUUUCUGGGAACAUGGUCAACCAUAAAUUCUGAUGUGAGUGAUUCUUCAUCCACCGAUGCAGAAAAUGCUCUAGUUUUCCAUGAUCAUAUGAGGCAUGGAAGUUUCUGGGCAAGAGGUCGGCGCGAAGUGAUUCAUCAUGCUCUAACAUUAACCGAUCGCUCGUUGGGGACGGUUUAUAAAUAAUCAAAUUACCACAAAUAGAAUGAGAAGUGGGUCCGUGUAAAUGAUCGAGACCUCGCAAACUACAACGUUCCUUCCCCAUAUGGAGUUCGGGACCCAAAGGCAAGAGUUGAGUAAACUGUAUCUUAUUCGUAUUAGUUGACCUAAGCCGCACCAUUCUAGCUGGGAUGGGGCUCGGUCUCUGAACCGUACGUGGGACGAGUUUGAGCCUCAUACAGCUCGGGCCGAAGACCGGGGGAAGUUUAGGAGAGAUGGGGGAGAACCAGCUGCUGCCGGUCGAGACGGACAGGAAAGGUUACGGGGCAAAGUUCAGAAGCUAUUCUCCUAACCCCAAAAACAUCCCCUAUAGCGCUUCGCGUUCUUUCUAUUCUAUACCAGUCCAUUCUAGCUAUCAUCUUCAUCUAAUUAGUGCAGUAGUAGUCGUCUGCCUCUAAAGAAGGAAGGAAUUGGCUUGGCGGCAAUGGCUAUUAUAGUAGGGGAGCACUUGACCGCCCGCGCAUUCUCUCUCGCCCUAAAUGGAAUGGCUCUCUUAGCUGCGCCCUGACUCGAGUCCCCACGUCUGCUUUUAUCCGCCCACAACCCUUGGAUUUGCCAACACGACUUAAGGGCCCUACCUGGAAUUCUAUGCUUACCCGGUCCGGGACUGGCUUAUUGGGAAGCCCGUUCCCACAGCGCUCACGACCCGGCUGGCCUGCCUGCGGUAGUGGGAAUUCUCCCGUUCCCUGGUAAAAGCGUUGGUUGGAUGCGGGAUCUACUCCACGAGGAGCGGUACGGACGUAGAUUAUAUCAUCACGACCUCUCUUUGCGUACCUUUAGGGAUGCUUAACGCCACUUCGCCAACUGGCAUUACCCUAGCUUUCGUCUCUCUCAGUGUGGUCAGCACUGGGUGUUUCCGAGCUGCGAGGCUUACACCCAUUCGCAUUAGUUCAUCCAAAGUUCCCUACCCUUAUGCACCAAUUUAGGAAUAAGCCAUCUUCCUAUCAAGGUUAAGGAGUCAACUGAGCAUCUCAGCGGCGGGAUUGAAUACCCGGAUCGAAUCAGAGUUCACGCCGCCCACCCGGAACAAAUAAAUAGGAGGCGUGGGCCACAGGUCGCACAUAAGCCACCGGGUCGCACGACAGAAAAACACCCAAAAGAAAGAUGCAGACUCCUCCAUGUGAGAUAGGAAGAUUCAUCUGCACUUUUUGGUAGUAGUCGUGACCAACAGUCAUCAGCAGUCGGCUCGUUGGUAAGGCGAGAGCUUCAAGCCUGGCCAAGUAACGGAUAGACAAGACACUAGGCAAGUCGACAAACAACGUCUUACUUAGUUGUUCGUCAGUUGUUACCGGACAAGCAGACAAGCAGGCAAGUAACUUAGUGUAGCGGCAGGGAGCUUCUUGUUGUGCUAAAGGAGUUGCUAGGCUGUUAAUAGUUGUCCGCUGACGCGGCAGCGCCCGCUCACGCUUCGCAGACUUAUCACGUGGUAUAGAGAAGAGAGAUAGAAAGAAUUGACAACUGAGCAGACCGCAGAAAGAUGAGAAAUAUGACAAGUCCCCUAUGGAUUCGAUAAGAAGGAAAUGCAGAACGGGAACGAUACGAAAUACAGCAUUUCUUGCGGAUGAGCUUCUCCCAAUUAU
rnacentral:lncRNA from 1 species